AAUCCCAUCCAUCCGUCCUCAAUGCCUGAUGCUGGCACGAUCUACAAACAUCCACAUUACAUACUUUGCUCAGAACACAAAAGCUAUAGAAAAAUUAAAUAUUUAACAUUUCUGCUUCUCACAUCUCUCUUUUAGGAUCAUCAAGCAAUAACAAACCACACGAGUUUACAUAGAGCACCAGGCUUAAACAGGAGCACAACUUACUGACUUCUCAAAAUUUCUUUUAUAAGACACACAUAUAGCUAACAUAGGGUUCCCAUAAGAAUUUAAAACUCAGCUUUUGAAGGAGCAACUCUUUUCUCUUUUUCUUUUAUAUUAAGUAGGCCAGUCAAAAGGGUUUUUGUCUAAAAACCUCAGCAGAGAAAAUUCUUACAAAAAUACAUUUCCCAUUUUUCGUUUUACUAUCAUCACCCAAGAAGUUAAAUUGCCAAGCUUUAAGCAAUGGCGAGAUAAGAGAGACAUACCUUGCUGUUUGCAUCAGGAGCAAAUUUGUCAGCAACCACAACAUCUGUUGGCAACAAAAGAGAGACUCCUUUGGCCUUAGCUUUGGCAAGGAGUUCUGUAGCCAAUUCAAGUUUGUCUUCUUCAACAAGGGAGGAACCAACUGAAAGACCUUGUGCCUUGUAGAAUGUAAAGAUCAUUCCACCACCAAGAAGAAGGAUAUCACACUUCUCCAGAAGCGAUUCAAUAACUCCAAUUUUGGACGAGACCUUGGAUCCACCCACUAUGGCUGCAAAUGGUCUCUUUGGGUUUGAAACAGCGCCAACAAGGUAGUCCAGCUCCUGUAGUUGUAGAGAGAAAUAAACAAAUAAGCCCAUGGUACCAUUUGUAGAGACGAUGCUUUGACGCAGAAUUGGCAAUCAAAGGAAAGUAGAAUCUCUAUCAAUAAAUCACCUUCUGCAGAAGGAAACCAGCAACUGAAGGCUUCAAGAACUUAGUGACUCCUUCGGUAGAAGCAUGAGCUCUGUGAGCAGUUCCGAAAGCAUCAUUAACAUAGAGGUCAGCUAAUGCAGCAAGCUUCUUGGCAAACUCAGGAUCGUUCUUUUCUUCCUCCUUGUAAAACCUGACGUUCUCAAGAAGCAAAACUCCACCUUCAGGAAGAGAAGCGACAAGGCUUUCCACUUCCGGACCGAUACAAUCAUCAGCUUUGGUGACCUGCAAAACCCACCGUAAAAAAAUGCUCUCAAGCAAAGGAAGAAGAUUUAUAAGUGAGACAAAACACGAAUUUUACCUGAAUACCAAGAAGCUCGGAGAGCCUAGGGACAAGAGGAGCCAAACUGAACUUUGGUGUGACUCCCUUUGGCCUUCCCUGAAAGAAAGAUCAAAACGCACAAAGUGUUGUAAUUUAGUUCAGGGGCGAUGGAUAAUUCGAAUGUAUAGUGUGUGGGUGUGGGAAUAUUACCAGAUGAGUGGAGAGGAUGACUUUAGCACCAUUUUCAAUCAAAUACUUGAUUGUUGGAAUAGCUGCACGGAUUCUGGUAUCAUCGGUGAUAGUCUGGUUAUCAUCGAGAGGUACAUUGAGAUCAGCUCUCACGAAAACCUUCUUCCCCUUUAAAUCAGCUGAGGUCAGAUCUCCGACGCUCUUCUUCGCCAUAGAAACCACUCCUUUGCUCCCCUUCCCCCGCACUGAUUCAACCUUGGAAGCAACGUGGAGGGAGAAACGACGGGAAUCGAGAGUGGCGGAGAAGCCAAGAGGACGCGCGGAUACAGAGGUAGAGGGAAUUGGCAAGAGAGAGGCGCGUGCACGAGUUGCGUCGGAGGAAGCUACGCCGCCGGUGGACUUAAAGAAGGAAAAGGCGCGACUUGCGGCGGUUGAAGCCAUGUGGAUCAAAGGAGAUAAAAUGGAUUAGGAGAUGAGAAACAGAGAGUGUGACUCAAAGGAGAUAAAAUGGAUCAAGGGAGAUAUAUGGCCAUUGGGUUUUUAGGGAGCUUGCAAUAUUUUUUUCUUAUCACUGAUGAGAGGUUCAGAAGCUUUGAGGAAUACUUGGGUUACUCUUGUUCAUCUCUACUGAUUAGCCAAUCAAAAUAAAAUAAUAUGUCAUCUCAUAUUAUAUUUAAAAAAUAAAUCAAAAAUAAAACAAACUUUAACCAUUCUUUUAUAAAACCAAACCGAAGUACAAUUUUGUUUAGUUACAAAAUAUAAACCUAACCACAAUUUUAUCAACCCAAACCAAAAUAUAAUUUCGUCUAAUUACAAAAUCUAAACUUUAACUACUAUUUUGUCAACCCAAACCGAAAUAUAAUUUCUUUAAUUACAAAAUCUAAAUCUUAACCAUUAUUUUGUCAACCCAAACCGACAAUAUAAUUUCGUUUAAUUACAAACUCUAAAUCUUAACUACCAUUUUGUCAACCCAAACCGAAAUAUAAUUUCUAUUAAUUACAAAUCGAAAUCUUAAAUACUAAUCUGUCAACCCAAACCGAAUUAUAUUUUCUUAAUAAAAAUCUUAUUUUGUAUCCUUAAUUUGCUUUAUUUUAUUAUUUUAAUUUUAAUUUACUUUUUAAAUAAAAAAUGACGUGACAUAUUGUCGUAUUUUGAUUGGUUAAUUAAGAGGAGAUAAAUGAGAAAGGGGUGAACCCAAGUAUUUUCACCUUUUAUUAUCACAUAUUCUCGAUUACUGUUUUGGCCACUGAAAUAUUUUUCUGCCUGAUCGUGCAACUAACAAAAAAAUGUAAAAAACUCACCCAUAUCCACAUUUUUGUAAAGAAUGUACUAAUUUUAUUGUGCAUAUGAUAGUUUGAUCUACAUAAUCUUAGUUCCUCUGUCUCCAUUGUAAUUCAAUAACCCAAUACAUUUUUAAUUGAGAUCUGAAACCCAAAUGAUCUAAAGUUUGCUGGUUGGCAGACCAACAGGCUUGGCCCUGGACCUCUUCUCCACAGCACGAGAGAGUUGCUUCACCGCUUCUUUUGGCAAAUGGCGAGGUUUGCUAAGCCACAGUCCUCCAUCUACUACCAUUGUCAGUCCAUUUACAAAUUUCCCUGUUUAACCAAACAAUGUGUCAUCAGCAUCUACCAUUUAUAUGUUAUAUACUAAAGACAGUGAUUUAACUCAACAUACCAGAAUCACAGCUCAGAUAAAGUGCAGCCAUAGCGAUAUCCCACUUCUCACCGAGCUUAUAGAGAGGCAUGUACUCCCGGGUUUUGUUUUCAAUCUCCUCAGGUACAAGUUUACUCAUCCCCGGGGUACCUCCAAUGGGACCUGGUGCAAUCCCGUUCACUCUGAUAUCGUAGUCUGUUCCCCAUUCUAACGCCAAGUUUCUUGUCGUAGCAUCAACAGCAGCCUGUUUCAAGUUUCAGACUCAUAAGAUCCCAUUUGCUACAUCUGAUUGUUCCUAUAACUCAGUUCUUGAUUUCAUAACCAAAACUCGAGACACUGAAUGAAUUUACCAUAAAAAUGGGAUUACCUUGGCUGCAGAAACAUGUAUUUGGUACCAAGAAGCUGUGUAGUGCAAAGUAGCACUUAUGUUAAUAAUCGAACCACCACCAGUUGAUGAGUCUCUCCCAGGCCCAUCUUUCUUAAGAUACUUAAGUGCUGCGUGACACAUGUUGAAUGUUCCUACUGCAUCAAUGUCCAAGACUACACAGCAACAACAACAACAACAACAAAAAAAAACGUUUCCUUCAGCUAAAGCAACACUCAAAAUGACGAAAUCUCAGGCACAAUUCCUCUCAAAUCAUUAUAAAAAAAAAUAGAUGAUGAACAAAGUAUGAACCUGUUCUGAAGCCAUUAGGAGACAAAUCCUCAGCAGCAGCCAGGAAAUUUCCAGCAGCAGCGUUAACAAGAAGAUCAAUUUUACCAAAAUGCUGAAAAGUGGAUUCCACAACUCUUCUUGCAUCCUCUUGCUUACGAACAUCACCUUCCAAUCCAAUAGCCUAAAACAAGGAAGCAGCAAUAUCAGACAAAUCCAAGGAGAAAAAACAAAAAAUCGGGGAAGGAGAGAAGGAAUCACCUGAAUCCCAAGAGAGCGGAGAGCAGAAACGGCGUCGUCGAGAACUUGUUUCCGGCGUCCCAUGAUGGCGACAGAAGCUCCAUGUUUGCCGAACUGAGAGGAGAUCUCAAAACCGAUACCGGAUCCGCCGCCGGUGAUGAGAGCUACCUUACCUUUGAUCACAUCAGGUUUGAACGGAGACUCCAUAACCACCACACACACGCAAACUCGGUAAAAGCACAAUCUAACUAAACCAACAAAUAAAAAAACUAUAGAGCCACUCAACCUCUCACCUACUCACCAAAAUCAAAUUUAAAUAUCUCCUCCGCUUUUUUCUUUUAAUUUAUAAAAUUACAAAAUUUAAUUUAUUUGUACUAAUCACAAAUUUGUUGCCUAAUGACGACGAUUUACAGUCAAAAGUUUGGUUAACUCGGGAAUUAAAUAAUAAUAAACCACGAAACUAUGUAAUUAGUUUUAUUUUUAAUUAAUUACAUAAAAGUAUUAUCAAUAAAUAAUUAAUUUUAAGAAAGAAAAAAAAAAGGGAAACGAGACCCAGCCCCCUUUUUAUUUUAUUUUUUGGUUGGCUUGAUCUAUCUGCGCCGCGAGCUCGCUUCCAUCUCCCAAGCUCCUUGUCGAUUAAAGAUUCUCACCCCCCCCCAAACCAAAGCUUCAGACUUGCGUAUCUCUCAUUUUUAUCUCGAUCUCAAAUCACGUCCUCUUAACUAAGACUGAAGUGAAGAGAUUUGAUACAAAACCUAAUUCGUCUCCUUUCGAAUCGAGAUACUUUUUUUUUUUAACAUAGAUUAGUGGGUUAAAGUUUUGAGAUUUGGAAACUUAACUGUGAUGUUUCUGGCGAGUGAUGAAAUCGUUACGUUUGUUUUAUUGCUCUGAAGUGGAAAACCCUAGUUUCGGGGACUUUGUGGAGUGGCUAACUUUGCACUCUGCAGUCAUCUUCUUAUUCGCCCUCUUUGGCGGUUUCUUUGAAGACUUUGCACAGAGGCGUUAGUAAUGGCGUCUAAAGGUGGGAAAUCUAAACCUGACAUGGUAAUGGCGUCCAAAGGUGGGAAAUCCAAACCUGACAAUGAGUCUAGAGCUAAGCGCCAGAAGGUUAGCUUCCAAGUUUUCGUCUUUACGUUUUUGACUUCAUCUUCCGAGCUUAGUGUUAACGGGUUUUUUGUAUUUGUUUUCAGACGCUCGAAGCUCCUAAAGAACCACGUCGCCCUAAAACUCACUGGGACCAUGUUUUGGAAGAGAUGGCUUGGCUGUCCAAGGUAAUACAAGACUGCCAUUCUUCUUUAUCAUUCAGCAAGGAUGGGUAUGCAUGCAUGCUGUUUCCCUUUCUUCUAAUUGGUGACGUUUUGUAGGACUUUGAGUCUGAGAGGAAAUGGAAGCUGGCGCAGGCCAAGAAGGUUGCUUUGAGGGCCAGCAAAGGCAUGCUUGAUCAGGCAUCUAGGGAAGAAAGGAAGCUAAAGGUUCUUUCCUCUUUUUCUCUUUCUCUUUCAGACUACUUACACACUCCAGCAUUAGUUUUAUUUUACAUUAUUGCUUUCUUACAGGAAGAAGAACAACGAUUAAAGAAAGUAGCCCUCAAUAUCUCGAAAGACAUGAAGAAGUUUUGGAUGAAAGUUGAGAAGCUGGUAAUUCUUUUACUCUUCUUCCCGGGACUUGAAAUUUAAGGUUUGGUAUAACUUCUGUGUAUCUGAAACUUGUUAUUCUGUGUGGUCUGGCAACUUUGUAGGUGCUUUACAAGCAUCAGCUGGCACGCAAUGAGAAAAAGAAGAAGGCUAUGGACAAGCAGCUUGAGUUUCUGUUAGGCCAAACCGAGAGGUUACUAUGGAAUGUUUCUUACGUACUUUUGUAAACCUGGAACAUGUUUAAAAUAUUUGAAUUUGACCUGUUUGUUUAUGUUAGGUACUCAACCAUGUUGGCAGAAAAUUUAGUGGAGCCUUAUAAACAGGGCGAAAAUGCUUCUCCAAAAGCACUGCUUGCUAUCGAAUCAAAAACUGAUGAGGAGAGGGCAGAACAGAGACCUCCAGAGAUAAAUUCUUGUGAGCACCCUAUUACUCAACACAGCAUUAUUGUUAAGUGUAAGCAAGUGAACUGGAUCCUAACAAUAUAUGACGCGGUAACUGCAGGUCUUGAAUCAGGAAGUCCUGAAAUUGAUGAGGAUUAUGAUCUAAAAUCCGAGGAUGAGACCGUGAGUUUCAAUUUAUCAUCUUUUUAUUUUUGUUUUACCACUUAUUGGCAGUUACUGUGUAUCACAGCUUGAAUAUACCUGCACCUCAAAGAAAAUAUGAAAAAUAGCUUGAUCUUUUUGUCAAAGAAAUUGAUAUGUUUUGUCAUGACACCACCCUGCACCCAACAUAUAGGCUAUACUCUAGUUUUCGAUAGUUUAUGUGAAGAUAGGAUUAUCGUACGUUCAGUUAUACCUGAUCUUUUGAGGAGUGAUAUGUUCCAUAUCUCAUUUUAAACCCACAAUUACACUUAGGAAGAUGAUGAAAAUACUAUUGAGGAGGAUGAAAAACACUUUACCAAACGGGAAAGACAGGAAGAGUUGGAAGCUUUGCGAGAUGAAGUGGAUCUACCAGUUGAGGAGCUGCUCAGACGUUAUACUGCUGGGAGAGGUUGGCAUAACUCUGCGCUUGCUAUUUGUUGACCUUUUAUUGCUCAUUUACUUUGAAUUAUACAAGUUGAAUCCUCAAUAACUGUCAACUAUUUGAAUUGCAUCCUCUUUUGUAUAAGAGUUUUAUUUUGAUUCCUCAGUCAGCCAAGAAAUCAGCCCAGAAAAUGAUGAAAGUGGAGACAAAGUGGCCGCAGUAGAUCAAAAUCAUGGAGAGGGUUAGUGGUCUUAAGCCCCUAUAAUUUAUUGAAAGCAAUGCAACUUCUCUUUGACUUCAUCAUCCCAUUUGACAUUUGCAGCAGACAUGAACAAUCUUACUGCUUCUGAAGAAACUGAAGAGAGCCCUAGUGUUCGUCGUUCUGUAAGUUGUAUGUCUUUUUAAAAUCCCAUUGUCCGAUUUGUCAUCACAAUUCUGGCUCAAAUGUAAUAUAUAUCAUUCACUUGCAGAAUGAUAGUUUCGGUCAUUUGACAAUACCCAAGACCCAUUCUCAUGACGUUGAGCCAGGCAUGACGACUGCCUCUGCGAAGUCCAGAAAGGAAGAUCAUACUUAUGAUUUUAACGAUGAACAGGUAACUAGAUCUGAUAUCAUUUGUGGAUCAUUUGUCAGAAGAUCUUAACGAUGUUCUUCGCUGCAAUUGGCACAAGGUCUCUGAUUCUGACUAAUGAUGAACUUGAUGUGUCACUGAUUGUAUUAUGUGCAGGAAGAUGUUGACUUUGUUGUUGCCACUGGUGAGGAAAAGGUCAGCCAUCUCAUCAAAUGCCUGAGAUUGUCAUUUUAAAUUAUUUUUUUUCUUUUAACUUGAUUCUCUUAGCCUAGGCUCUAGUCAGUAAAAGUAUUGAACAAGCAUAUAGAUUGAAGUUGGAUAUCUGCUCUUUUGGUGCAGGAUGAUGAGACAACACUUUCUGUUGAAGAGGAAUUAGCGAAAGCAGAUAAUGAAGACCAUGUUGAAGAGGUGACAAGUCUAUUAAUUAUUCUGUUUUCUUGUAACAUGAAAAUCGUUUUCAGCUAGAGAGUUUACAAACAGAAAUUUCCCCUUGUACUGCAGAUUGCUCUGCUGCAAAAAGAAAGUGAAAUGCCUAUUGAAGUACUGCUCGCAAGGUAUAAGGAGGUAUGCUUUUUAAGUCUCAUGUGUGCAUGUGUUCAGUAGUAUUUACCGGCUUUUUUCUGAAACUCAAGUUUCCUGUAAUAGGAUUUCGGUGACAAGAAUAUUUCUGAGGAUGAAUCUGAUUAUUCAUGUGCUCAGUCUGAAGAGUCUGUUGUAGACUCUGGCGAAAAUAGGCAGCAAGCUAAUUCAGAUGAUGAGAACGUUGAUUCAACAGAAUGUAAUCAAGAUCCAAAGCCUUGCUCAGAAAAAGUUGUUAACACAGCCCAUGAAAUAACAGAGGAUAAUGGUAAAGAUAGUAGUGAUAAAAUUGCUGAUGCAGCAGCAGCAGCAAGAUCUGCGCAGCCAACUGGAUUUACGUACUCUACAACAAAAGUUAGAACGAAACUGCCGUUUCUUCUCAAGCAUUCUCUGCGUGAGUACCAACACAUUGGUCUGGAUUGGCUUGUCACGAUGUAUGAGAAAAGGUUGAACGGGAUUCUGGCUGAUGAAAUGGGUCUUGGAAAAACAAUUAUGACCAUUGCUCUUCUAGCACACCUUGCAUGUGAUAAGGGAAUUUGGGGUCCCCAUCUGAUCGUAGUUCCAACAAGUGUGAUGCUUAAUUGGGAAACUGAGUUUCUUAAAUGGUGUCCUGCAUUUAAAAUUCUCACCUACUUCGGGAGUGCAAAGGAGAGGAAAAUCAAGAGACAAGGAUGGAUGAAGCUUAACUCAUUUCAUGUAUGCAUAACAACCUAUAGGCUAGUUAUUCAGGACAGCAAGAUGUUCAAGCGCAAGAAAUGGAAGUACUUGAUUCUUGACGAAGCCCAUUUAAUUAAGAAUUGGAAGUCUCAGAGAUGGCAAACACUAUUGAACUUCAAUUCUAAACGCAGAAUUUUGUUGACUGGUACACCGCUGCAGAAUGAUCUUAUGGAAUUGUGGUCACUGAUGCAUUUUCUGAUGCCUCAUGUCUUUCAGUCUCACCAGGAAUUCAAAGAUUGGUUCUGUAACCCUAUAGCAGGGAUGGUUGAGGGACAAGAAAAGAUCAACAAAGAAGUUAUUGAUCGCUUACAUAAUGUCCUCCGUCCUUUUCUUCUACGGCGUUUAAAAAGGGAUGUGGAGAAGCAACUUCCAUCGAAACAUGAGCAUGUUAUUUUCUGUAGACUGUCUAAGAGGCAGCGCAACUUGUAUGAAGACUUCAUAGCAAGCACAGAAACACAGGCUACGCUUAACAGUGGAAGCUUUUUUGGGAUGAUAAGUAUCAUUAUGCAGUUGCGGAAAGUGUGUAAUCAUCCUGAUCUCUUUGAGGGUCGUCCUAUUGUAAGUUCUUUUGAUAUGGCUGGCAUUGAUGUGCAGUUGAGCUCAACUGUCUGUUCGUUGCUUUUGGAAAAUCCGUUUUCCAAGGUUGAUCUCGAGGCUUUGGGAUUCUUGUUCACACAUCUUGAUUUUUCUAUGAAUUCUUGGGAAGGGGAUGAGAUUAAAGUUAUUUCAACGCCCUCAGAAUUAAUCAAGCAACGUGCCGACUUGAAGAAUAAUCCAGAAGGAAUCCCUUUGAGUUCGAAAAACCACAAAAAUCUGCAAGGGACAAAUAUUUUUGAAGAGAUUCGUAAGGCCGUCUUUGAGGAAAGGGUUAAAGAAACUAAGGAUCGGGCUGCGGCCAUUGCAUGGUGGAAUUCUUUGAGAUGUCAGAGAAAGCCGACUUACUCUACAUCUCUAAGAACUCUUUUAACCCUAAAGAGUCCUAUCGAUGAUAUACACCAUCUUAAAGCUAAUCGUUCAUCUUACAUGUAUUCAACAAUCCUCGCUGACAUAGUUCUUUCACCGAUCGAGCGCUUUAAGAAGAUAAUUGACCUAGUCGAAGCUUUCACACUUGCGAUUCCAGCAGCACGAGUAUCUUCACCUGCUUGCUGGUGUAGCCGGCGUGACUCUCCUGUUUUUCUUAGUCCAUCUUACAAGGAGGAAGUUAGAGAUUUAUUGUCACCUCUUUUGUCUCCAAUUAGACCUGCAAUCGUUCGGAGACAAGUAUAUUUUCCAGAUAGGCGACUGAUACAGUUUGAUUGUGGUAAGCUGCAGGAGCUUGCUAUGUUGUUGAGGAAAUUAAAAUUUGGGGGUCACAGAGCGUUGAUAUUCACACAAAUGACCAAGAUGCUUGACAUCUUGGAGGCUUUCAUUAAUUUAUAUGGUUAUACCUACAUGCGUCUUGAUGGCUCCACUCCUCCAGAAGAGAGGCAGACGUUAAUGCAGCGGUUUAAUACAAAUCCCAAAAUCUUUCUUUUCAUUUUGUCAACCCGAAGUGGUGGCGUUGGCAUCAAUCUUGUGGGUGCAGACACAGUUAUAUUCUAUGACAGUGACUGGAAUCCUGCUAUGGAUCAACAAGCUCAAGAUCGCUGCCACAGGAUAGGUCAGACACGUGAAGUCCAUAUUUACCGGUUGAUAAGUGAGAGCACCAUUGAAGAGAAUAUCUUAAAGAAAGCAAAUCAGAAGCGUGCGCUUGAUAACCUUGUAAUUCAAAACGGUGAGUAUAACACCGAAUUUUUCAAGAAGCUUGAUCCCAUGGAGUUGUUCUCUGGGCAUAAGGCUCUGACUACAAAGGAUGAGAAGGAAGCAAGCAAGACUUCUGGGGCGGAGGUACCUCUGUCAAAUGCAGAUGUUGAGGCUGCUUUGAAACAGGCUGAAGAUGAGGCAGAUUAUAUGGCUCUAAAAAGAGUAGAACAAGAAGAAGCUGUGGACAAUCAAGAGUUUACAGAAGAACCUGUAGAGAGACCAGAAGAAGAUGAGCUAGUAAAUGAAGAUGACCUAAAGGCUGAUGAGCCUACUGAUCAAGGUUUAGUUGCAUCAGGGUCGACCAAAGAAGAAAUUCCAUUGUUACAUGGUGAUACCAGGGAUGAGAUAGCUGUUAUCACUACUUCAAGCCAAGAAGAUGAUGCUGAUGUAUUAGAUGAUGUCAAGCAAAUGGCUGUAGCAGCUGCUGCUGCUGGACAAGCUAUCUCAUCUUUUGAGAAUCAGUUACGUCCUAUUGAUAGAUAUGCGAUUAGAUUUUUAGAGCUUUGGGACCCCAUCAUUGUUGAGACUGCAAUGGAAAAUGAAGCGGGGUUCGAAGAGAAAGAAUGGGAACUUGACCAUAUUGAAAAGUACAAGGAGGAAAUGGAAGCUGAGAUUGAUGAUGGGGAAGAGCCUCUUGUUUAUGAGAGUAUGUGUACCCUUUUUUGCAUAUUCAGUCCAAUAAUUUAACUUAAUAAAGAACCUUGCCGAUGAUGUAUCUUUAUAUAGUGUAAACCCAUGACUUGGUUUUUAACUGACGUGAGAUGUUAAUGCUAUUUUCAGAAUGGGAUGCUGAUUUUGCAACUGAAGCAUACAGGCAGCAAGUGGAAGUCUUAGCUCAGCACCAGGUGAGAUUAAUUACUGCAUCUAUCAUGUCAUGCAUUUCAGCUUGGUCACGUAUUUACUUAUAUGUUUUGUAGUUGAUGGAAGAUUUGGAAAAUGAAGCUAGAGAGAGGGAAGCUGCUGAGAUGGCCGAAAUGGAUCUGAUACAGUAUGACACUUCUGAACCCACACAGUUCAUUGUCUAUAUGAUUAUCUAGGACAAUGCUGUUGAAAAUUAUAUUUCAUCAUAGAUAAACAAACACUGGAUUCUAGUUAUUGGGAUAGUGAUCAAAACAAGUAGAUUAAUUGAACCAUUCUUUUCCUCAGGAACGAAACUCCUCUUGUACUGAAGUCUAAGAAGAAGAAAAAAGUGAAGAAAGCCAAAUUUAAAUCCCUGAAGAAAGGAUCACUGGCUGCUGAAUCAAAACAUGUGAAGUCCGUUGUGAAAGUUGAAGAUUUGACUGAUGAUGAUAAUGAAGAAUUCGCCUAUGUGAGUAGCAGUGACUCAGAUUUGGUUACACCGCUUUCGCGAAUGCAUAUGAAAGGCAAGAAAAGAGAUUUAAUUGUUGACACAGAAGAAGAGAAGACCUCGAAGAAGAAAGCAAAGAAGCAUAAGAAGUCUCAUCUGAAUUCAGAUAUCAAAUACAAACAACCAAGGGCUCUACAUGAUGAACUGGAACCAUCAAAGCCGCCUGAUAGUAUGGUCGUUGAUAAUGAAUUGAAACUGACGAACAGGAGUAAAACUAUAGGGAAAAAAUUCAUCACUUCCAUGCCAAUAAAGCGUGUUCUUAUGAUCAAGCCAGAGAAGCUGAAAAAAGGGAAUCUGUGGUCUAGAGACUGUGUUCCCUCGCCUGAUUCUUGGCUGCCUCAGGAAGAUGCUAUAUUGUGUGCCAUGGUUCAUGAAUAUGGGCCUAAUUGGAGUUUAGUUAGCGGAACUCUUUAUGGAAUGACAGCUGGUGGGGCUUACAGGGGACGGUAUCGCCAUCCUGCAUAUUGUUGUGAGAGAUAUAGAGAGCUUGUCCAGCGACAUAUUAUGUCUGCUUCCGACAGUGCAGUGAACGAGAAGAACCUCAACGCAGGUUCUGGGAAGGCGCUCCUUAAAGUCACCGAGGUAAGGUUGAUUAUGUCAUAGCGCUAGGUUAGCUUAGCUACUCACUAGCAUGCAUGAAAGUUGUGAUGAUUUAGGGAACGAUGAAAACUUUUCUUGUAAAUAGGUUCUUUUAAUCAAGUGAAGAAGAUUAUAAUGGAAAGGAGAUGCUUUUCACUAAUAUCACAAUUUUGGUGCAGGAAAAUAUUCGGACACUCCUAAAUGUGGCAGCUGAGCAGCCAGAUACGGAAAUGCUCCUACAAAAACAUUUUUCUUGCUUGCUGUCAUCAAUUUGGAGGACGUCGACCCGUACAGGGAAUGAACAACUGCUCUGCUUAAACAAUCCCAUUUUUAAUAGACAGUUUAUGGGCUCCGUGAACCACUCCCAAGAUAUGGCCAGAAAGCCUUGGCAGGGGAUGAAGAUCACCAACUUAAGUAGAAAGUUGUUAGAAGCCGCUCUCCAGGAUUCCAGCACGAGUCAGCCAAACAAUACGGUUUCCCAUUCUAGGUUGCAGGAGAAUCAACCUAUCAAUAAAGUGGGAUUAGACUUAACCUUGGAAUUCCCAGGUGGCAAUGAUGAUUCCCUGCCUCAGUUUCCACCCAUGAUAAGUCUGUCCAUUGAUGAGUCAGAUUCAUUAAAUUAUGUGAACGAGCCCCCAGGGGAAGAUGUUCUUAAAGGUUCUAGGGUUGCUGCAGAAGACCGUUACAGGUUUGGAAAGCUGAGAUAGUUGAUUUUUCUUCCGAUGAUUCUGAGCAGUAAUAUUCACUAAAGAAUUGGUGAUUUUGUUUUGUAGGAAUGCUGCAAAUGCUUGUAUUGAAGAUUCAUUUGGAUGGGCUUCAAACACAUUCCCAGCCAACGACCUGAAGUCAAGAAUAGGCUCGAAAGCACAGUCCCUGGGGAAACAUAAGCCAUCUGUCGCAGACUCAGCCAAGUCUUCAAAAAGCAAACAGCGCAAACUCUUAGCAGAGCAAACAGAAGUGGCAUGGGUUAGGCCAAAUGACCCAAAUCUCAAGUUUGAUUUCACACCUGCGGAUAGGGAGGAUGAGGAGGUGGAGGUGGAGGAGAAGGCGGUUUUAGAAGAGAUAGAGAUGAUAAGUUGUUCACAGUGGUAUGAUCCAUCCUUCACUGCAGGCCUUGAUGAUUGCUCAUUAGCUUCGGAAAUCUCAGAAUUAGAGUAGGAAAAGCCUUUUGUAAAAGUAUAACUGGUGAUGAUUGUGGAUGACCAUUUUGUUAACCACUAUUGAUGGGCAAAAUCUUUUGUAAAGCAGAAAGUGACAGCUUCGUAGGUUUUUUGUGUUUCCAAAGUUCAUCUAAUAUCUAAUCUCAAGUAUGAUUUUUAUCCCCACCGUAUGGUAUAAUUAUACCAACAUCUGCUUACUGCUUCCGACUCGUUUAUAUCUAGUUUCCAAAAUCUCUAGCUUUCAGAAUAAUACAGUGUGUCCUCAGAUUCUAAAAUUGUCUAAAAGAAAGAAAAAGACGAUGCAACAAUACAUGACGGAUCAACUCCUACAAAGUUUGGUUAUCCAAAAAAUUGAGCCACUCAUUGUAAUCAUCAAACCCUGGUUCAACCAGUAGUCGGCUCCAAAACUCGUUAUCUGAUUUCCCAUUGAUCUCUAGCAAGUCUGGUUUAGAUGUAGGAGGAGGAAUAUGGCUAUCUUCAAAGAGACAUUCUAGUGAUUGUGGUGCAUUCACCUCAAAUCCACAUGCAAUUUGCUCCACCAAGAUUUCCUCAAACUCCUCUUCCUGGUUUGGCUUCUCACUGCUUCUAAUAACGUCCUUCAAGACUGAUGAGAUCGAGGAAGAGGAAGAAGACGUUGAGGACAAUGACUGAUUAGUAGCAUCAGAUGAUGAUGAUAAUGAGUUGCUCUUCAUCAAUCGCUUCUUGAGAUGAGUGUUCCACACGUUCUUGAUCUCAUUGUCUGUUCUUCCCGGAAAGUGGGAUGCGAUCAUAGACCACCUGAUUACAUAAUGCUCUAUAGUUAAUACUACUUUCCUGCUUAUAAAUGUAUGUAUGUACAUAAAGAUUGAGAUGAAGGAGACACGAUUACUUGUUUCCAUGAGCUUGGUGAAGGUGGAUAAUGGUAUCUUCCUCUUCUUUGGUGAAGUUGCCUCGUUUGAGGCCUGGUCUCAGAUAGUUUAUCCAUCUUAGGCGACAACUCUUUCCGCAUCUCAUCAAUCCUAUGAAGUUACAACACAAUUAAUUUUGCACAACCAAAACUACAAGUUAAACAUAUAAAAACUAGGAAUAAAGACAAGGUUUCAUAGUAUUUUAAUUGAAAGCAAUUUAACCAUGAAUUCCAAGAUUGAACCCCCCAUCUUCUGGAAGAUUUUGUAUGAGAGACUAUAUACUGUAUUCAACUUUAACAUUUAGAAGACAAAAAUAAUAAUAGAUAAUAAACACGAACGUUACAGAUUCUGGUCAAACUUCUCUCCUCGUAUUUUCUAUGCAUCAAAGAAAUAUAUGCCACCUUUAUGAGAGAUAGUCACCGAAACAUUCACUAAUUUGUAACAGAUCAAAGAAUCGAUAAGUGACCAAAGGAGAAUAAGAAUCAUCGAUGAAGGAGAAUAAGGUUUUGUUAUGUAUCAUCCUCAGAUUAAAGAACAUUAUAUAUGCAUCCGAGAGAAAAAGAGAGAGAUGUUGAAAGCUCUCACAAACAGAUUAAUGCUAAAAACAUGAAAAAGAGAAAGAGAGUGAAGCAUGCAGACCAGCGAGUUUGGGAAGAGAUCUCCAAUUGUGAUGACCAUUUUUUUCGAUAAAAGCUCUGAGUCUUUCGCUUUCUUCAUCACUCCAUGGCCCUCUCCUCACUUGGCUCUUGUCACAGCAUGGUGCUCUUUUCUUCCCCAUCACCACCACCGACUUUAAUUUUUUAGAGAAUCUUAUCGACAAGUUUCAUGUACUUGUCAUCAUCUCAUCGAUCAUAUAUAUAUAAGGGUUAAUUAAUUACUGAUGAGACCACAAGGGCCAUGCCACUAUUUCAUUUCAUGUACGAGUAAACCUACUUGAAUAAAUUAUAGUAAAUGGUAUACAAUAAUCCAUUUUAGCAUAUAAUUUUUUUUUGAUUUUUUUUCUUUCUUUCUUUUGAUAAUAUUCGUCUAUAUCUACUUUCUUUUCAUAUUCAAACCUAUUCUCAAGCGUUUAUAGCAUAUUAAUUAAUUCAAUAUAUUUUUCUUUAANNNNNNNNNNNNNNNNNNNNNNNNNNNNNNNNNNNNNNNNNNNNNNNNNNNNNNNNNNNNNNNNNNNNNNNNNNNNNNNNNNNNNNNNNNNNNNNNNNNNNNNNNNNNNNNNNNNNNNNNNNNNNNNNNNNNNNNNNNNNNNNNNNNNNNNNNNNNNNNNNNNNNNNNNNNNNNNNNNNNNNNNNNNNNNNNNNNNNNNNNNNNNNNNAUUAGUAUUUCGUUCUAUCACCAUUGACUAUCAUUUGGAUCGCAACUUGACUUUAUGAUAUUUAUGCAAUGACGACUGAUAUAGAAAUAUGUUUUUUCUUUUUUCUUUGUUACAAAGUAUGCAAUAUGCAAUUUAAAGGAAACGUUAAAAUCUGUAAGAUUUUAUUCUAAAAGUAGAGAAUGUAAAUAGCAGUCAAGAAAACCAAAAAUGUAGAAUAAGUAUAUAGAUAUGGUAUAUAACUAUAUAUGUUUUAAUUUUAAUUAGUCCAUUAUAUUUAUGCAGUGACAGCCGCAAUAUUAGCCUGUAAAUUAACACUUAUUAGAUUUCAACAGGAUGAAUACACGAACGUAGUGAAUGUGUCAAUGUAUCAUCAAACAAUUGAAUGUAAAUAAAAGUAAAAUAUAUACAAAAUUUGAAUCGAUGGACAAAAAUGUAUUAUGAUAUGAGUGGAGAGAAGAUAAGCGUAGAAGAAUACUAUGAUGCAUGAUACCUUACACAAACUUCAACUUUAUAUUUUAUUUUCUUUUAUUUAUUCAUUUAUUUUACAAAACAAAUAAGUCAUAAGUGAUGUGUGCUUGUGUUUGUGUCUUCUUUGUUCAGAACACACGACGUCGUUUGACAUGUUCAUGUCUCCACGCGACUGAAAUUGAAGAUUCUUAUUUUCGAGAGUAAGUUUCGAGNNNNNNNNNNNNNNNNNNNNNNNNNNNNNNNNNNNNNNNNNNNNNNNNNNNNNNNNUUAUGGGCUUUGUAACCAAAAUGGGUCCUAAGGCCUUUUCGGAGAAGAGUUGGUCUCUACGACAGAUCAGGUAAAAAUAUGGUACAACGUGCCACUCUUCAGAAGUCAGUUAUCGAUGCAAUCAGCAAGACAGCAAUCAUGGUGGAAUUUGUGCAUGCAAACUCUCAGUCCCAACAUAACCAAAACCUAUAGUGAGAUCUUCGAGAGAGAUUGGUACAAACUUCUUCUUUGUCUUCUUUCCCUAAACUCUUCUUUGUUCUUCUCCACCACAUCUCUCUCUAACUUCUGUGAAACUCCAAAAGGGUGAAGCAACCUUUAGGCUCCUGAAUCAUCUCAGCUUUAUACAGGUACAACGACGUAAUUUUUUGUGGAUAAGUAAACGGUGAAGCAACCAUAAGUAAGGGCCUAGAACUAGCAAACAAAAUACUGAAGGCUCUUCUCUGGAAUCCGGCUCGUCUAGAACUAGGAUGAGCCAUCAAAAGAUUUGAUGAAGCAAGAAAAGAAAAAAGAUAGCCAAAUAUUAAUGCAAGUACUCAAGUCAAUCUAAAUCUAGUUAGAUGCCUCUUUCUAUUUUUUUCAUACAGAACGUACGUACAUGAUCUAAUCAUCUAAAUAAAUCCAAUUUGAGAAAUGCCAUAAAAAUGUGUCUGUUGGCUUUUAUGUGAUAGAAGAAGACUCGCUCACUCAUAUAGCAUAUAUGGAAUAGUCGGGAUUACUGNNNNNNNNNNNNNNNNNNNNNNNNNNNNNNNNNNNNNNNNNNNNNNNNNNNNNNNNNNNNNNNNNNNNNNNNNNNNNNNNNNNNNNNNNNNNNNNNNNNNNNNNNNNNNNNNNNNNNNNNNNNNNNNNNNNNNNNNNNNNNNNNNNNNNNNNNNNNNNNNNNNNNNNNNNNNNNNNNNNNNNNNNNNNNNNNNNNNNNNNNNNNNNNNNNNNNNNNNNNNNNNNNNNNNNNNNNNNNNNNNNNNNNNNNNNNNNNNNNNNNNNNNNNNNNNNNNNNNNNNNNNNNNNNNNNNNNNNNNNNNNNNNNNNNNNNNNNNNNNNNNNNNNNNNNNNNNNNNNNNNNNNNNNNNNNNNNNNNNNNNNNNNNNNNNNNNNNNNNNNNNNNNNNNNNNNNNNNNNNNNNNNNNNNNNNNNNNNNNNNNNNNNNNNNNNNNNNNNNNNNNNNNNNNNNNNNNNNNNNNNNNNNNNNNNNNNNNNNNNNNNNNNNNNNNNNNNNNNNNNNNNNNNNNNNNNNNNNNNNNNNNNNNNNNNNNNNNNNNNNNNNNNNNNNNNNNNNNNNNNNNNNNNNNNNNNNNNNNNNNNNNNNNNNNNNNNNNNNNNNNNNNNNNNNNNNNNNNNNNNNNNNNNNNNNNNNNNNNNNNNNNNNNNNNNNNNNNNNNNNNNNNNNNNNNNNNNNNNNNNNNNNNNNNNNNNNNNNNNNNNNNNNNNNNNNNNNNNNNNNNNNNNNNNNNNNNNNNNNNNNNNNNNNNNNNNNNNNNNNNNNNNNNNNNNNNNNNNNNNNNNNNNNNNNNNNNNNNNNNNNNNNNNNNNNNNNNNNNNNNNNNNNNNNNNNNNNNNNNNNNNNNNNNNNNNNNNNNNNNNNNNNNNNNNNNNNNNNNNNNNNNNNNNNNNNNNNNNNNNNNNNNNNNNNNNNNNNNNNNNNNNNNNNNNNNNNNNNNNNNNNNNNNNNNNNNNNNNNNNNNNNNNNNNNNNNNNNNNNNNNNNNNNNNNNNNNNNNNNNNNNNNNNNNNNNNNNNNNNNNNNNNNNNNNNNNNNNNNNNNNNNNNNNNNNNNNNNNNNNNNNNNNNNNNNNNNNNNNNNNNNNNNNNNNNNNNNNNNNNNNNNNNNNNNNNNNNNNNNNNNNNNNNNNNNNNNNNNNNNNNNNNNNNNNNNNNNNNNNNNNNNNNNNNNNNNNNNNNNNNNNNNNNNNNNNNNNNNNNNNNNNNNNNNNNNNNNNNNNNNNNNNNNNNNNNNNNNNNNNNNNNNNNNNNNNNNNNNNNNNNNNNNNNNNNNNNNNNNNNNNNNNNNNNNNNNNNNNNNNNNNNNNNNNNNNNNNNNNNNNNNNNNNNNNNNNNNNNNNNNNNNNNNNNNNNNNNNNNNNNNNNNNNNNNNNNNNNNNNNNNNNNNNNNNNNNNNNNNNNNNNNNNNNNNNNNNNNNNNNNNNNNNNNNNNNNNNNNNNNNNNNNNNNNNNNNNNNNNNNNNNNNNNNNNNNNNNNNNNNNNNNNNNNNNNNNNNNNNNNNNNNNNNNNNNNNNNNNNNNNNNNNNNNNNNNNNNNNNNNNNNNNNNNNNNNNNNNNNNNNNNNNNNNNNNNNNNNNNNNNNNNNNNNNNNNNNNNNNNNNNNNNNNNNNNNNNNNNNNNNNNNNNNNNNNNNNNNNNNNNNNNNNNNNNNNNNNNNNNNNNNNNNNNNNNNNNNNNNNNNNNNNNNNNNNNNNNNNNNNNNNNNNNNNNNNNNNNNNNNNNNNNNNNNNNNNNNNNNNNNNNNNNNNNNNNNNNNNNNNNNNNNNNNNNNNNNNNNNNNNNNNNNNNNNNNNNNNNNNNNNNNNNNNNUAGAAUGAAUGGUAUUAAUCAAUAUCCUUCCUAAGUACCGUACAUUGACGUAUUUACCCUUCCGGUAAUCUCGGUAAAACAUCACACUCCGAUCUUACUGGCUCAAUCCAAACAAAUUGAAUCAAUGUCCUAUAAACCCAUAAAUUACGAAUACAUAAAUUUAAAAAAAAAAAAUCCAAAUUGCUGCAAAUAUUUCCAUUAAUAAUAAAAUCUUCACAAGAAUUUCAAACCGAUCCUCAAACCGGCGAAAAAAAAUCAGAAAAAAUCUGCAACAACAAAUUGUUUUAAAAAAGAAAAACUCUAAACUUGUUUCCUUCUUCUUCAAUUUUUUUCAACAUCAUCAAACGAAUCUAGAAAAAAAGAAAAAUUAUAUACCUAUUUACAUCCAAAACGACGAAGUAUUACUCAGUAUCUGAACAAAAACCACCAGAUCUAGAAAAAAAAAAACUUUGUCUAACUACCAAGAUUUCUUCUAAGAAAAAAAAAAGCUUCUUCUUCUUCUUAUUCUUCAAAUCGUCUCGUCUCCGAUUAGAUCAAUCGACACAGGAAGUCCAAGACGAAGCGACUCCAUGAUCCUUUCGAAGACAAGGACAUGGCAUGNNNNNNNNNNNNNNNNNNNNNNNNNNNNNNNNNNNNNNNNNNNNNNNNNNNNNNNNNNNNNNNNNNNNNNNNNNNNNNNNNNNNNNNNNNNNNNNNNNNNNNNNNNNNNNNNNNNNNNNNNNNNNNNNUGUCCUUCGGGUACGGAAGAGCUCUGCUUCUUCGACCGACGAGCCACCGAUGAACGGAGGAAUGAUUCUGUACGGCGCCGGUUACUAGGUCGCUGCGAAUCUGAACGGAGGAGACUGUAUUGAGCCGAAUCAGCCACGCGUGAGAGACGGCGGAUCAAUUGCUUCAUCGUCUUCUUUGCUUGAGAUUGAAUACUUUUGCUCAAAGAGUGGUUGAUAACGAGAAUUGUGAGAUUUUUUUUUUGCUUGUGAAGGACAAGUGAAGGGGGAGAUUCUUAUUAUAUAUCGAAGUCGAGGGUACUUUGGGGAUUUCUUAUCUUUUUUAUAUAUAAAUAAAGUUGGUACAAGGAAGGAGUACUUGCCAGGUACACACACUUACUUCGUAAUUUUCCACUGACUUUCAAAUCACUAUUUUUCAAAUAAGAAAAAGAAAAUUAAAACGAAUAAAUAUCUUUGAUUUUUCUUUUUGAAAAAGGAAAUAAUAUUAUAUAUAUUUAACUUAGGAUUGAUUUUACCAAUUAUAUCAUUGGUGUGAUUCUUUUAAAACUAUAUUCUUAUUGGAUGAUUUUUUUUUUAUUCUUUUAGAUAACUGUUUGGAUUUCCAUUAACUAUAUCCUGCAUUAUCUUAAACAUAAUGCACAAUUAAAUGAUUGUGAUAAUAUUAUAUCCUCCAAUUAAUGAUAGGAUUUAGAUACCAAUUUUUAAUUUCACUUGGUUAUUCCUAUUCUAUCAAUUAUUAUAAUUAUCAGAUAUACUCUUUUCCUUAUUUAUUACACGCAAGGUUCAUGAAGCAACUCAAAAUAUAUAUUUUUUAUUCCCCAUGCUGUAACAUUAUUAGUUUAUCAGAAGAAGAAGGAAAAAUUAUAAUUCUUCAUUCUAAGCAAAAAGAAAACAAUUUUUUUUUUAACUAACUAAAUAAGUCUACAUAUAUUUGUUUACAUGCUUCCAUAUAGUUCCAUGCAGGCGUUGUAAUCAUAUACAUUAUGUAGUUAAUAACUUAAGAUCGGAUAAUCCAAUUUUACUUUGGAAACUUUUGAGAUAUUAAUCUGGCAUUCUUUCUCUAAUCCUAUUCGAAAUAUAAAAAGGGGUAGAAUAAAGACCGCCUCGUUAAUGUUUAAUAUUUUCAAUUUAUUAAAUUGUAAUCUAGAAAAUAUCAAUGAAGUGUGGUAACAAUAGUUAUUUUUGUGGAAGUUGUUAAUUACAUACAACUUUAUCCUGUAACUUUGUAAGCUAUCAUAUGUAAUUUCGCUAAUGAUUUUCAUCGACCUAAUAUGAUAACUUUCUAAGCUAUCAUAUUGAUGCAAUUUCUACUUCUCUAAUUUUAUUGUUAAUGACGCAUCAAAGACACUUAUAUGUUGCCAUAAUCACAUCAAUAUAUAUACUGACAAUGAUUAAUAAUCUCUCUAACUAAUUAAUAUGAUUUCAUAAUCAUAACAAUACUAAUGCUUUUUAUUAGAUAUACAUGUGAGAUCUAUUAUAAUUUCGCUAAUGAUUUAUCAUUGACCUAAUACGUCUUAUAUCCACAUUUGUUAGGAAUAAUGAAGCCUUCAGAAUCUGGAAACAAAGUCUAAUAUAGAGGCUGGAUUUCAAAUAAAUGACAUACAAAUUAUUUCUGGAUGGAAAAUUUACGAAACAAAAUGUGGAGCUUCAACGUCUGUUGACCCCAUAAGAUGACAUUAAGGUUUCUAGAACUUGGACCAAAGUAAUUUAAUAUGAGCCAUUAAUUUCUGUAAUGUUACGAUUUUUCUUUUUUUUCUUCUUUUGAACAAGUAUAUAUAAGAUUAUACAAAUAAGUCCAUACUCACCCCGACGACUUCAAAGACUUCAAUAUUCAUAUUGUUUAUUCUGGUCAUUCAUUCCCUCACGUAAACAUCAUUGAAAAAACUAUAACCAUUUUUAAGUUACUUGUAAGUUUCCAUUAUGUAAUGUACUUUUCUCAAGCCUAAUCAGUGUAGUUCAAUUAGUUUCAGAUUAUAAUCAAUUAAAUGAUAAGCUUGCAUGUUAUCGUUUUCAUUGUGUAAACAUAAAAAAAGAUCUAUCACUUUCAUAAUAUAAACACAACUACACAAGCCAUUCAUAUAGAUUAACGUGAUCAUAUAACUAAUGCAGAGACUACAUAUAUAAAUAUAUAUAGUUUGUAUUGUAACCAAACUUCAUGCAUAGAAAAUAAUGUCGUGCGUGGAUAUCAUGAAGGACCAUCACCAUGUGUGUGUGAGUUAGACUAGAUAGAGAAUAAAAGUAAAGCAGAAUUGUUGAAAGGAUCAGUCUCCGUUCUGUAAAGGUUAAAACUUUAAAAGACAAAGAUACGAUGUGACCUCAUUUUCUCUGGUUAUCAAAAAAGUUGUCUGACCCCUAACUUAUCUUAGGGGGGUUGCAACUUUAGACCACUUUAGGCUCUUCAUUAACUUUUUUAUUUUGAUUUUUAUACAUAAUAAUAAUAUGACUAUUCCACUGUGGAAUUUCCACAUAUAGAUUAAUCAAACUAAAAUAGUCUCGUACUACUGCCAUGCAUCUUUGGUAUGUUUCGUCCGAUGCAGAAAUGUCGAACCCCAACUUAGGUACGUCCCAAGUUUUACGUCACAACUAGAUAAAUGUCAACGCGAAGAUAUGUCUGUGUAUAUAAGUAUAAGAUGUAAUGGUAAACUAGUUUGAUUUGUUAGAUCUAAAAGGAAACAAUAUAAAAGCAAAAGAAGCAAACUUUUGAGUUUUGAUGGAGUGUUAAGAAAAACUAAAACAAAGUCUCAAGUGGUUAAGUCCCUUACGACUCCUUGUCGUCAAGUUUCCGUGGAAGUCCCUGAUCUCUUAUACAUGUUUCGUAAUACAGUUUAGAUGGUUUUGUUAGUUUCUUGUGGGAUUGGAAGUGUUCAAGUGCCGUCACGUAGUUGCCCAUUCUCUCUCAUUAAUAUCUAUCACUAAUAAAAGUUUGGAUAAAAUCAUCAUAAACUGAUCGACUUAGUAACUAUAUAUGUUUAUAUAUCUGAAUCCAAUACAGGAAAAUCCACACCUAGGCGGCAUUAAACACAAUAAUUUAUAACUAAAGAAGGCUAGAAUCAAUAUCUAAUUUCUGCGUUGUUAGUUAUAUAUGUAAAUAAAAAUCAUGCAUGUAAAGAAUCGGUUACAUUACUAAUGAUAGCUAAUAUUUAGUCAUUGAUAUUUUGAUUAAUAGCUAAAUAAUUAAGUUGUACUAGCCUACAUUUCAAAGAAUCGAAAUAUAAACAUAUAUAAACAAAUGCAUAUAGAAAGAAGCAUAUGAUGCUCAAAAUACAUGUUAUAAAAUGAUAAAAUAAUAAGAGAAAAAGGAAAGGAUGAUCAAUGAUAUAUGUGAUUAAGAAAUAGUAAAAGACAGCUGAUCAUCAUCAUAUAAUAAUACUAAAUAUUUAUGAAAAAGAAUAAAAAAAAAACAGAGAUAGAAGAGCAAAGAGAGAAUAUUCCUGCAACGGCAAAGGUUACAACACAUAAGAGAGGCCAUGACCUCAAAAAUAUCCAAUGAUUGAGAGAAACACGUCAAAAAAAAGAUUGAAACACUCUGAUUUGAUUAUUACAUAGCUGUAACGCGUUACGCGCUAUUGCAUCCUUCCAUCAUUAAACUAUAUGGAAUUAUAUAUGUCGUCACCGCUUCCAUAUAGUAUUAUACUAAAUAAUUUACAUUGCUGAUUGCUCUCUGUAUCUCCGAAUGUGAUAACUGAAGUACUUAUAAUUACACACUAUGCUGAGUAAUCUUAAUUCCACCUUGAGAUUUAUGAGUAUAUUAUUUUUAUGGGAAAACAUAAGAUAAGAUAAGUGGGUAAUUUUUAUAAUUGCUAAGUUAAGUAGUAUGGAUUAUAAAAGUGGUGUGGUCGUAAAAAGCAUGCAUUGGAUAAAAGAAAAAGAGUAGUGAGUCGUCACGUGAAAGGAGUUGAGUUUCGGUGGUGUGGGAAUUUAAUAAAUAAAAAAUAAAUGAGAAUGAAAUGAGAAAAGUCCGUACGGGUGCAGUCGUACAGGAUAACCUACCCACUCCUACCUCCUUUUUAUUUUUUAUUUUUUAUUUUUUAUUUGGUUGCUCUCUUACGUGUCAUACCGUACAAACCAACUUGACUUUUCUUGACGAUUUUUGAAUUUUAAAAAAUCAGAUAAAUGAAGACAGAUAUUUUAUUUAUUAUUCUCCACCAUUCACAAUUUCCCGUUACACGCCGUUUGCUUUUCUCCCGUUAAUCUAUUUAUCUAUCUCUCUCCCACGCCACUAUUUUUUAAAAAAAAUCUUGAAUUGUUUAUAUAAAUAAACGUCUAUCUCACUACUGAGUGAAAAAAAAAGAAGGCAAAAAAAAAAAACGUCUAUCUCAAUUAGUCGGCUAAAAUAAAUCACUAAUAUUAAACUGGACUCAUCUUUGGAAAAGAAAAUUUAAAACCAUCAGAUAUUCCUUUCUUUUAUGUCCUUGAAUUAUAGUUUAGUUUGUAGGCAAAAGAUGAUAAUAAUAUGAAGAAAUACCUAUCAAUAUCUUUUAAAUUCAUCCUCCUACAAAAGAUGAUAAAAAAAUUAUAUUUAUAAAUAUAAUGUUAUCCAAGUAUUAUUCUUAUCAUUCUCUUAAAAAUAUGUAUACAUCAAGCAAUACACUAGUAUAUUUUACUUUAAAAACAUUUUUGUAUUAAAUGAAUUGAAACAAAAUAGUUAGAACAAACAUCAAUGCUCUUUUGGCUAAGUCACAACUUUUCAAGUUGUUGUUAAAUGUGUUCUUUUACAAGUUUGGUCCAAUUGCAACUUAUACAUUUGUAAUUGCUCAUAAUGUUCUUUGUUUUUCAAUUAUUUACAUAAUUUUAUUUUUAAAACAAUUACGAUCACAUAGAAAACCCCUACGGCAGUGUACAAAACAAAACUCAAUAUUAUAUCAGAUUAUGAAUGACUUAUUCUGUUUUUUAAUUUUAUUUUUAAGAUUGACUAAUUACCAUUGUAAUUCUUUUUAGUUCUCUUUUCUAAGAAUAACUACUAGUUACAAUAUGGACCAUAUUUGAGUGAUUUUUUUUUCUCUCUCUAAAAUCCUUUGGAAAAUCAUGUCAAAUGAAAAUUAAUUGAGUAGCAGUAGGUGAACGAAGAAACAUGAAUCUUUUGGAACUAUAGCAUUGGUUAUUGGUUAAUAUAGUGUUUACAAGCAAAUUAAACUAGAAAGAAAGUCAAAGUGUUUGGCUCCAACUUAAAGAGACACUAGCCUUAAAAGGGACCAGCCGUACGCAGGACAGCCACACGACACUCUCGUUCCUACUUUUCCGUGUUUGACACAUUAAUAUGCUUAAUGAGAACUAUAGAGAGUCAUAACACCAUUAAACGUAACUAUAGAGAGUCAUAACACCAUUAGUAGUUAUAUGUCUCUCUGCAUUAAACGUAAUAGAAAAUAUAUAAAUGCAAUGUUUUCCAAUGUGGUCCAUUUUAAGAUGAUUCGAUUUCAAAGUGGAGGGUGCCCACAUUGCACAUUGGUCUUAGCUUUUAGGGUAUACUGACCUCACUCUUGGCUCCACCUUUGUCUUUUUGUUUUCUUCUUUUCAAUCUUUUGGUAUGGAAAUGACGUUUAAUGACUCAUNNNNNNNNNNNNNNNNNNNNNNNNNNNNNNNNNNNNNNNNNNNNNNNNNNNNNNNNNNNNNNNNNNNNNNNNNNNNNNNNNNNNNNNNNNNNNNNNNNNNNNNNNNNNNNNNNNNNNNNNNNNNNNNNNNNNNNNNNNNNNNNNNNNNNNNNNNNNNNNNNNNNNNNNNNNNNNNNNNNNNNNNNNNNNNNNNNNNNNNNNNNNNNNNNNNNNNNNNNNNNNNNNNNNNNNNNNNNNNNNNNNNNNNNNNNNNNNNNNNNNNNNNNNNNNNNNNNNNNNNNNNNNNNNNNNNNNNNNNNNNNNNNNNNNNNNNNNNNNNNNNNNNNNNNNNNNNNNNNNNNNNNNNNNNNNNNNNNNNNNNNNNNNNNNNNNNNNNNNNNNNNNNNNNNNNNNNNNNNNNNNNNNNNNNNNNNNNNNNNNNNNNNNNNNNNNNAAUAGACCAGAACUAAAGGUAGAGAAGUAAUAAUCACAAAAUGGCUUUUUGUAGGGAUUAUAAAAUUUCAAUGAUCGUUUGGGAUAUGUUUUAUUGACAUUGUUUCAGGUUAUAGCAUAUUUUUCCCUUGCAUAAAGGACAAAGGCCCAUAUGAGUUGAUUUAUUUUUGCGUAGUAGGAAUAUAAGUACAAUAUUAAUGGGCCAGUCCCAUUAAAGAUAAGCACAAAACCUUCCAUGCCAAAGCCGAUGGUAGUUGAUCCAUGCCGGUCCUCCAUGAGGCCAGCUUGUGACCAGUUAAAACACUUCUUGUGAGACUAGUCAGUCAGUCAAUACAAACUUUUCAUCAUCCGAAAAUCUACCAAUAAAUCAAGAGAAGCAAAGACCACGUGCGUAUGUAGAUUUUUGAUAUAGAUGUGAUCGUAUUAAACAGAGAUGCAAAACAUCAAAAAAAGGAAAUUAGUACGCUUAAGAGAUGUGAGAGUAAAAAAAAAAAGAGAGUCAAAGCUCAAACCUCAAAUCAUAAAGUGUAAUAGAAAGGUGACAUCUGAUAGAGUUCUUGGAGAUGCGACCAAAGUCAAAAAGUAUGCAAGUGUUGUCUUCAGACGUGUUGGACGUUGAGGAUGUAAUAGCCAUCAUCUUUCUUUAGGUUGCCUGCACUCCGGCAAAUAUUUGGAUUCUAUUUAGCAAGAAAACGAUAAGACAACGAUGUUCGAUAAACGAAGGCAAAAGGGAUUUGCUGUUGAAUGACAUCUUGACCAUGUUAAGCAAGAAAGGUUCUAGCCUAGCCAUCACAAAAAUAAUUUUGGUAGCUUAAUAAAGAGAGAGAAAAAUAAAUACAAGAGAAAAAUAAAUACAAGAUCAUAUCAAGGAUCCAUUGAAACGUAGCAUCGGCCAGAAUUCGUCCGGAUGCACGCUAAGUCAGCCAGUAUGAUAGUAUUUUCAUCAUAAGUGUUGGAUGUUGAGGCUGUAAUAGCCAUGCUCUCGAGGUUGCAUGCAUUAUGUAAGAUGUAGAUCGCCGCUUUUCUCUCUGUAUCUCUUCUUCCUUUAUACCCAAUCCACUCAACAGCUUCCAGACUCCUGUACAAACUUAGAGGCAAAAAAUCCGGUUCCUUCCACUUUCCUCUUAAACGGUUGCCGCAACAUCUAUGUUGUUUGAACCUGAGAACUCGCAAGUUAGAGCUAUGCAUUAGAAUGUAAGGAAAACAAUCGAGAGCGCAUAUAGCACAUAGCUCUACACACUCUCUCUCAAGGUUUAGAAACAUUUUCCAAACAUGACGCCAUCUUUUUGACAAAACACUUGUCUUUGCCGCUUCUUUUGUCCGAAGGAAUGACAAAAUCUGCACCAAUAACUCGUCAGGUAAAUCACUUAUUCUUCCCAAGGUUGAACCAACUCUGGUUGCUUUCCGAUACAUUGAGAUAUCAAACAAAAUUUGUGGAAAACUGAAAAAGAAAGAAAACAACUUCGUAAAAGACAGCCUUUUGCUAAUAAACGAAUUAGAGAACCCUAAUCAAAUAUGCGCUUCUCUUUCGGUUUUGAUAAUUACAAACCCUAAUAGAUUAUGAUAUUUAUAUAUGAACCCAUAAUGGAAGUAGGAACCCUUAUAUUAAAAGGAAUAUUUAAAAUUACAAAAGCGUACAGUAUGUGCCUUUUUCACAAACUUAAUCCCAAUAUAAUUUGUAUUACAAUUUAUUACCUAUAAUACAAAUUAUUAAAAGAGCGUAUAUGCCUUUUUCACAAACUAAUCCCAAAAAAAAUUCACAAACAAAAGCGUAUUGGAUCCAAUAUAAUUUUUGAGUUGCAACUUGCAAUUAUAAUAGUCAUCAAAAUUUGACUAAAUUUCCCAUAAUACGUAGAAUGUCCAAAUUGUGUUUUUUUUGUUCAAUAAAAUUAAACCAGAAUAUUUUUCUCAUAAAGAAUUUAUGAAAAUUUAUUCGAGAAAUACACUCACCUUAACUGCACUUAAACCGUAAUAUAUAAUUUGGACCACACUUCGCAGAGGCUAAGAUUACUUAAUGGGCUAGGCCCAUGGAGUUAAUAUAAUAGCAAAGCCCUCAUCAUCUUCCUUACGAAGUAACCUUAAACCUAGUCUCUUUGAAAAUUCUCCGAAUCGGAAACUGCAUAAAUACUCGACUUUUUAAUUUCAAAAAGGCGGCUAGGGUUUUUUCGCUUCUAGCUACAAUGUCAUUGUAUCUUCUUAGCGAAUCAUCCUCCGGCUACGCAUUGUUCCAGGUACAAGGUGUAGAUGAGAUUGGACAGAACACGGAGGCGGUUCGGAGCUCCGUCUCGGACCUUAGUCGGUUCGGGCGGGUCGUCCAGCUCACUGCGUUUCACCCAUCACAGUCUGCACUCGAUGCUCUCAACCAAAUCAGCGCCAUCUCUGAAGGUUAACUCUCCACUAAAUUACAGCUCUUUCACUCUCUAGCAUAUUCAUAUACUGUAUUAUUUGCUUUUAUAUUAUAUUUUUAUGCUGGAAAAGAGCUCUUAUAUAAUUAGGUGGGAUUUUGUCUUUAAAGACGACAACUGGAAUCUGCUUAUUCUGUUCUGUAUUAGUUUUUGCUUGAGGUUUUGAUAAGAAGUAUUGGUGAAUUACAUUUUGUAGGGUAUAUGACUGAUGAGCUGAGAAGUUUUCUGGAGCUGAAUCUCCCGAAAGUGAAGGAAGGAAAGAAGCCAAAGUUUAGUUUGGGAGUGGCUGAGCCAAAAAUCGGGUCUUGCAUAUUUGAAGCCACAAAAAUUCCUUGCCAGAGCAAUGAGUUCGUCCAUGAGCUUCUUAGAGGUGUGCGCCAGCAUUUCGAUAGGUUCAUCAAAGACCUAAAGGUGCGAUAUUUAUUUAUGAUUUACCUUGUACCUAUAUCUCUGAUUGUUUUCGCUAUUCUUGCUCAAUAUCAAUUUCUAUAAUGUAGCCUGGUGAUCUGGAAAAAGCUCAACUUGGACUAGCUCACAGUUACAGCAGAGCAAAGGUGAAGUUCAAUGUUAACCGGGUGGAUAACAUGGUUAUUCAAGCUAUUUUCCUGCUUGACACGCUUGAUAAGGAUAUCAAUUCCUUUGCUAUGAGAGUCAGGUUUGUCUUUUUGUUUUGCCUUGCAGAUUACUAUCUUUGUUUUUACCUGAAUAAUGUUUUCUUACCUGCUUUUUAAAACAGGGAAUGGUACUCGUGGCACUUCCCUGAACUUGUCAAGAUAGUAAAUGACAACUACCUUUAUGCACGAGUGUCAAAGAUUAUCGAGGACAAGUCGAAGUUGUCUGAAGAGCACAUCCCAAUGCUUACUGAAGUCUUGGGGGAUGAAGACAAGGCAAGAGAGGUUGUUGAAGCUGGAAAAGCAUCCAUGGGUAAGAAACUGGUGGAGCUUGUUUCAUGAGAAUCAUGAUUUCUUAUUAAAUGUAUCUAUUAGCUCUCUUGUUCUAAAACAUUGCUUGGUUUCCCUACUGAAGGCCAGGAUUUAUCACCCCUUGAUCUGAUCAAUGUCCAGACCUUUGCUCAGAGAGUUAUGGACCUCGCAGAUUACAGGAAGAAGCUCUAUGAUUAUCUUGUUACUAAAAUGAGCGACAUUGCUCCAAAUUUGGCAGCCUUGAUCGGAGAGAUGGUUGGUGCUAGGUUAAUUUCACAUGCAGGAAGUCUGACAAAUCUUGCCAAAUGCCCAUCUUCAACUCUCCAGAUUCUCGGUGCUGAGAAGGCACUUUUCAGGUGCAUUUCAAGCUUUGUUCUGCUACGCAAGUUUAAUUUCACUGCAGUAGCUGACCUUUUAAGUAAAUUUCAGGGCGCUAAAAACACGUGGAAACACACCCAAAUAUGGUUUAAUAUUCCAUUCGUCAUUCAUUGGACGUGCAUCUGCUAAAAACAAGGGCCGUAUUGCUCGUUUCCUUGCAAACAAGUGUUCCAUUGCAUCCCGGAUUGAUUGUUUCGCUGGUAAAAAUCUAGACUUCCCUGAAUAAGAAGGAGGCGUUUGGGAUAGUAAUAAUGCAUUGCUGUUAAUUGCUAACUACAAAACCAUGGUGGUGUCGUAUGCAGAUAGCAGCAGUACAGCUUUCGGUGAGAAACUAAAGGAACAAGUGGAGGAACGACUUGAGUUUUAUGACAAGGGUGUUGCCCCACGUAAGACUGUUGAUGUAAUGAAAGAAGUGAUGGAAAAUCUUGAGAAGAAAGGUACAUCUAACUCUCUUAGUGACCCAACAGAGCUCUCUGAUCUUUUGAGGUAAACGGUUUUGUUUUAUGGGUUGUAUUCUCCUUUCGUAGAUGAGGGAGAAAAAACAGUGGAGGUCUCAGAGAAGAAAAAGAAGAGAAAGACAGAAAAUAAAGAGGAGGAAGAAGAGAAAUCAAAGAAAAAGAAGAAGAAGAGCAAAGCAGGAGAAGAAGAGGAAUUGACAACAACAGAUAAUGGUCACAGCAAGAAGAAGAAGAAAACUAAGUCACAAGAUGCUGAAUAAACAAACAAGCCUUAAACUAGUUUUUUUAGGUUUCUUUCUUCCACAUAGCAAAGAUUACUAAUUAUUUACUAUUGAGUCUUAAACUAGUGUCUUUUUUUUUUCUUCACUCUGUUUUUGACUUUAAAACAACUUUAAACAUGGAAGAGAAAUGAUAUCAGAUUGUGAAACGAACAAGGUUGGUUAUUAGAUUCCAGGUUAAAUUGAAGAUCAAAAUCUUGAAGAUCAAUAUAUGAUUUCUGUUCUUUAAAAAUAUCUGACUAGACAAAUUAACUGUACAAAUAAGGAUUGGAGAAGAUGAAUCAAACAUGUUCUUUAUUAUCUCAAACAAAAAAAAAGACUAAAAUUGCAGAAACCAGAGAAUUCUGCUGCGAAUCAUUACAAAAUGCGAAAACAAAAGAGCAAUGAGAAGAUAAUCUUAAUCGCAGAGAAUGAGUCUAAUCAUGGCGAGAACCAAACACGAAACAGAGAAGAAGAAGAGCGUCACGAAAUCCCUAGCAGACCAUUUCCUCACAGGCUUCGACUCAACUCUCAAACUCUUUGCUCUACGAAGAGCGUCUACUUCUUUGAGCAAAUCAAAUUCGAUACCUUUCUUCUUCAGCUCUUCAACGCAUUUGCGUAACAGCUUCGCAUCUUCUUUCUCCCUCUCUAGCAGCUUCUCAAGAUGCGAUUCCACUUCAGAUUUGUACCGUACCGCCCAAAUGAUCCCCAAGGAAGACAAGAGAGCGCAGAGUGAAGGGAUCCAUGACCUUUUACAGGCACUCGAAGCAGCAGCAACAGACGAAGAAGACGAAGCGUGGAAGAGGAGCAGCAGAGAAAUGGAGUGGAAGAGAAAGAAGAAGAUGUAAAGCUGAGUGAUUUCUCUACGAACAGAGUCGAUCUGAGAUUCUUUGUGAGAGACACGGCUGAGGAUGAGCUCUUCUUCUUUUAGCCAUUGUUUCAGAAGAAGCUUGUGUGUUGGCGUAUCUGCGAUCUGGUGAAGAGGAUGUCUCGUCUUCGCCUCCAUGAUCGUGCUCUGAUCUGACGCCAUUGAAGGUUUGUGAUAUAGAGAAACAGAGAUCGAGAGAGAAAUGUACUAGAGUUGUGUGAUUCGCUGAGAUAAAGAAAUGUGGAUUUUAUUAAUAACGCGAGGCUCUUUAGUAACGGCUAUUUUGGGUUUUUAUUUUAAAAUUUAUGUGCAUUUACAGAUUUGUCCUGAGCGUCUCUAACGGUCAUUUAAAAUGCACGGCUUGGCACCGUCACGCUUUCUUAAAUUGGCCCACGGAAUGUUUGGCCCAUGUAUGGCCCGUAAUUAUAAGUCGACCACUCACGUUAAUCUUGUAAACUAGUAACGCUUGAACCACGUGUCAUCAACAAUACAUAAUGCAACCAAUGGAGUUAUAAAAAAAGCAUUUUCUAUCUAUCUCCGAAUUCCGAACGUUACGAAAUCGUAACAGCACUUAAGGAGGCUAAGCACGCAGACAAUGGUGAUGAUUCACACUUACAUGCAAAUAGUGAAAAGAGCAAUAAAAGCAUGAACAAGAAGCUGGCUUUGCUUGCAAGACUUCUUCUCCUCACCACACUUGUAACAAGAAUAUCAGUAAUCACCAGAGCCGAUGAAGAGCUAAUGAUGCAAGAAUGCCAUAACUCUGACAACCCCACUUUGUGUCUUCGCUGUCUAAGCUCCGACCCCUCUUCUCCUGAAGCCGACAAAGUUGGACUGGCUCGAAUCAUCCUCAAAUGUAUCAACUCUCACCUCCUUACCCUUACCAAGAGUGCUUCCACUUUGGGCUCCAUGCACUACCGGAAUCCCAUGGCUGCAUCAGCGUUGAAGCAGUGCGGUUUGGGUUUCUCCACGGCUAAGCGUGGCGUGCGAGAAGCCGACGCUCACUUGAUAGCCGGAGACUACGACAAGUCUGCGUAUGAUGUCAGCGUGAAGGUGGUGGAUCCUCCGGUCUCGUGCAAAACCAGUCUCGAGACACUCAACAUCCAAGUGCCCUCAAGUUUUCGUUACCAUAUGGAGGUUUACUUGGCGUUGACUCAAUCUCUCCUCAGGAUCAUUGAUCGCUUCUAGAUAGUUUAUUGUUUCUCCAGCAAGUCAUUGUCUUAUCUUAAUAUCAUCAAGAGUCUAUAACUAUGUCUAAGCCUCCAACCAAAAUCCAAAUUGGCUUGUUCUUGUUGUCAUUUCAAGACUGAAUGCAAAAUAGUGAUACCUUAAGUUAAGAAGCUAAAAACAAAGUAGCUGAUGUUUUUAUAUGCAUGGUUUCUAAGUGGAAGGUUUGUAUGAAAAUUGGUGCUUAUAGUAUUUUAAAAACAAAGACAUUAAUGAAUCAAGAAUGAGUUUGAUCUUAACGUCAAGAUCAUCACAAAGUACGAAAUAGAACUCAGAAGUUUUAUGAUAACAUAAAAAAGCCACAAAUUGCCGGAGAUGAAGAAUUGAAUGUUUAUUUUACCUACUCUGUUUGUCGAAACAGAGUUUCUAACAAAAACUAAUUUAUCGUCUUCCACUUGAACAUGAAAGUAACUCAGGUAUGUCAUCGUUAGGUGACAACGUUUGGUCUGUUCAAAUCCUUCUAUGGGUUGUUUUUAAAAUGGUUCAUGUAUUGCUAAUGGUUCUGACUCAAAACUCAAAGCUGUAAUAUUUCAUUGCCUUUUUAGCUUUACUCCUUUUAAAUACAGUUGUUCCAAUCAAUGAAUAUGCAUGGUUAAUUACUCAGUAACAGAAACAAUUGGUAAUCUAUCUUCUAGAAAGAAAGAUAGAUAAUGUUUAGGUAGCAACUCGAGCACGGUUGCCGAAGCAUGUAGAACAAAAUCAGGACAUAUCUUCUCUUUUUCGGCAGCAUAUACAAUAGUAAAUGUAACUCUGUGGGGAAAAUAUACUCUUCUAAAGUGGAUUAAAUUUUAUGUGAAAAUAGUUGGAAAAAAAAAAAACAAAACUUUGUGGCUACUUUUAUUUUUGGUCCUUCAAGGGAACAGCUACAUGCCUAAAAGAUUCAUUCCUCAGGCAACAUGCACCAAUUAACAAUAGCCAAACACAACUUGCACGUUAAUAAGCUUUUUUUCUUUUCUUUUCAUCUAACUCUUUCAUUUUUUAUCUCUACCUCUCAGAUUCUUUUUUGCCCUGAAAACCUCGUUUUAAGAACAAAUACAAGAAAAUGUUGAAAUUAUGUGACAGUUUAUAAUACAUUUUUAAGGGAUUACUAUUAACUGUAUAGAUCAGUCUUUUUUUGAGAAGAAUGAAUGCUUCUUUCAAGUGUAGGAUAAAUAAAGGUAGGAAUCUUUUCUGAUAACAAAUAAAAGAUCGAACUAAGAUAUCAGUUUCGCUUUAGCUUAACAGAACACAUGAGAGUAAGAUUUUGCAAGAACCAACUUUUUUAAGUUUGAACGAAAAAGCAACCAAAAACUCAAAAUUACAUAUAUAUAUAUAUAAACAAUUCAGUAAAAAGGUAUCAGUACUUUGAAGUGCAGCACCAACACGACGCAGAGUUUCAGAUAUUGAUGUAGUUCACUGUUCUUAGAGAUAGCUGAUGAGUUUUCAUAAUUUGAGAGCAUAUAUAAUUAGAUCCACAAAUAGGAUAAGAUCGGAUAAUAGAUUUUGAAAUAAAUGAUAUUCUAUUCCUAUGCAUGGCAAUUUCGUAUUCACUUUUUUUUUGUUUUUGUUUUUGGUAAUAAUUAAUGUGAAUACCCAAUUCUCAUGUUGAUUUUAUUAGUUACAAUAGAUGACAUAUAAUUAACUGGCACGUUAUGAUGUAUAGUUUGAGAUAUUUGGAAGAUCUUCUUUUUUCUAAUGAAAUAUUUCAUUGUCUAGUCCAAAAGACGAGUUUGAAGCUUAGCAGAUCAUGGACAGAGAAUCUAAUAUCAUGAAGAAUUGUACAAACUUCACAGAAAACAAGAUAAAGGACCCAAAGAAAAACAUGUCUCACUUUAAUCUUUGAAUGCAUAUUCAGUCAUGUCAUGACCCAUCCAUCAUCUUUCCUUCGAAUCUCCUAUCUCACUGAACAUGUUUUGAGGCAGCCCUCCGUAUUUGAUAUCUGCGCUUAGUUAUGAUCUCAUUCCCACUAGCCAUAUUUGAUUACUUUAGUUUUUUUUGCAUUGUCUCAAUUUUUCAAAAAAAAAAAAAAAACACAUACACCAAUUCAUGAUGAUUUAGUGGUUGAAAUAUAUGUUAUACUACAACUUAGUUAAGGAUUUGAAUCAUGCAUCUUAAAUGGCAAGAAUCUUCACAGAUCCCAUAAUUUGAUUGGUGACCAAAGUUUAUAUAUCAGACCUUGCAUAAACAUAUACGCAUACAUGCAUGGUUCUCAUGCAAAAGCACAAUUAUAAAUUCUGCAACCAGGGCUUAUCAGCUAGACUGUGGAAAGAGGGGGUAAAUAGGCGCAAAUCUAAAGUUCAUAGACAAGAUUUGUAAAUAUUUAUAGGUAGAUUCAAGUCGUAGCAGGGGCUGUUUAGUUCAUGGGAGUGAUAAAUAAAUUAAAAAUGGUGCAAGAACAUGUGUUAAGAUUCUGGGGCUAGGCAUAGGGUUUCUCUUUACGUAGUUUUCAUAGCGUGUGUAUUUGCGUACGGCCUUUUGAAAAAAACGCGAAAACAUUUAUUCUCUCAUUUUUUUCUUUCUGUUUAAUGGAAAAAGUCGAGACAAGAACAUUGGCAACUGAGGACAACUGGUGUGGCUUAAAUUAGAUAUCUAAUUAUUCGCCUGUGCUCCAUAUAUUAUCUAACCUAUCACCAUUCGACAUAUAUGUAUCUUUAGUAUAUCAAGAUUUAUAUUCUAUCAAUAAUUAAGCUGUUUAUAUUUUUCAUUUUUAUCAUCUGUUUUUUAAUAUGUUGAAUACAAGAAGAACAAAAAGUCCUUAAGAGGGAUAGGUUGGAUGAAAUGUAGAAAGAAAGAAAGUGAAAAACUAACGAAAAAUAGAAACAGUUAGAACAUAAAAGGACAGAAAAAGCUGGUAAUAACUAAAGAUGUUAAGUUAAUUAGAAAAUGGUUUUGACAGCAUUAAAAGAGAGUGUUAUUAACAGAGCAGAGAGUCGUCUCACUAACUGUAAAACUCUGGUGUGUUCGGUCUCCCCAAUUAGUGUUACGGUCAGCCUGCCCGAACUAUCAACAAAAACUCCUAUAUAUAUACACACUUUGCACACACUCUCAUUUAAUUUCCUCCCAAAACAACCCAAAACUAAUUAACAAAAAUGGCAUCAUCUAUUCCUCAGUUAUACGGCGCUGAUUUCACAGCAUUUUCCGGCGAGACUUCUUCGCAGUUUCACGGCUCUUCUUCAUGUCCUGACGUGGACUCAGCGUUAUAUAGCUACCUUGACGACUGUUAUGGCUCCUUCAACACCUCUUCUUCUAAUCCAGCAGAAUCCAUCUUUUUACCCCAACUUUUUGGAAUCUCUGACGUCUCUGCGCCGCCUGAUGAAUACAACAACUAUUACCAGAAAAUGAGUGUGAAUAAUAAUGCUACACAAUACUUUCACGGUGGGGAUCAAGAAUACUACGGUUUUUCACCGGAGAUCAAGCCCUCGUUCCGUCCGGCCACAGGAGAGCAAUCAUGGGUACGUAUACACGUCCUCGAAAUCAUUAACUAAAGAGAGUGACAUGCAUGUGUAUUACUAGUUAAUUAUUAAUAUACGUAAGAAUUGAAAUAUGAAUAUGAAGCAGGGAAAUAGUGAAGGAGGGAUACAAGCUGAGCCAAACAUAAAAGUGGGACGCUAUUCGGUGGAGGAACGUAAAGACAGGAUCAUGAGGUACUUGAAGAAAAAGAACCAACGCAACUUCAAUAAGACCAUCAAGGUACGUAUACAUCACUCUCAUUCUUAUUUAGAUAAUUAUACUCGUUAAGAAAGACAGUUUUAAAACUAUAUGUAUAUAUCCAGUAUGUUUGCCGUAAAACCCUAGCCGACCGGCGUGUUCGCGUUCGGGGACGAUUUGCCAGAAACAAUGACACAUGUGAAGAACAAUCUCCCAUGUCUAAGAAUCACAACAACCAUUCUGAAAAAGAGGAAGAUAUGUUUUCAGGAUCAGACGACUAUCUAAUACAGGUAUUGUUUUUAAUUAUAUUCCCCAUGACAGUAUAUAUAUAUAUGAUAUGCCAUCAUCAAUUAUUAGUAAUUUGUAAAGCUAAUUAGUGCAUCCCUAUUUCAGCAGAUGGAACACGAUGACGGAUGGCUUCACGAAGCAAUGUCCAACCUCAUCCCUUUUCCUUGUGAAUUUGACGCACCUGGAGAUGCUCAUCAUUCAAACACUUGGAGCUUCUGAUCUUACUACCUAAUCUCAUUUACAUACGAAUCAAUGAAUGUCGCUAGCUAUUAAAUUUGAUGAUCAGUUAGUUUAGUUUGAUUAAUUAAGCAGCUUAUUUAUUUUUAUGGUAGAUUUAUCAUAAUGUACUUAGUUACUUAUUCCUGGGGUUAAUGAACACAUGAAGAUUCUGUCUAGUGAAUAAAAUAAAAGAACUUCACUUAAUCAUCAUCAUCAUCAUCAUCUAAUUAUGACGUGAGAAUAAAAUUUUAGCCAAUGGCGAUCUCAAUACAAGAGAAAGUUAUUAUGGUUCCUUUUGAUCUACUUUACCUUUUUACAGUGAAUCAAAGUUUAUAUAAUGUGAAAACCAAAAAGACGAUUCUAAGAUGAGUGAAAAGUUUGUUGAGAUUAUUUAAGGCAAACAACAUCUUUUUUACGAUCGAUGCGAAUAAAUUGGGUGAGGUCGAUAAGAGAUUAAAAUUAACUAGUAGUGGAUUCACGGAACAAUUGUGUAUUAAGGAAUAUAUGAUGCAAGUUUUAAUCAUAAGACGAAUGACUAAACGUAAACAUAUAUAGCUUGUGGCCUUUCUCUUCGAUGCUUACAUAUGAAUGGAUAUAAAGAAUAUAAUGCCGACUAGCUAAUUGGUCACAGGCAAAAACACAAAAACAUGAUAAGUUGUACACAAAAUUCUUGCAAUGAUAGGCAAGGAGCUAAAGAAUGCAUGUUGUGUCCACAAAUUAAAGCAUCCAAAUAAUUUCAUUUAUAGGGUUUAAUUAUUAAUUUUGAUGCAUGAUGAAAAUAUAGCUAGCUAUAUAGAGAGAGAGAGAGAGGGGGGUGGAGAUGAAAGACAUGAUACGGAACCAAGUUCCAAUCACUUUUUUAAGACAUAUAAUUCUUAUAACAAACAUAAUAAGGCUUCAAAAUCUGCAAAUUAUAUUCUCUGAAAUUUGUCCCCUUUAUUUUGUUUUCUGCUUUGACGAAUCUUUGUGAAGUUGAAGGCUGAAGGCUGAAGCCCUCUCGUUUGCUUUUACUUUUCCAUAAACCAUGUGCAUCAUUUUUCUUGGAAAAAAAAAAUCAGUUUUAUGAUCCUUUCUUCUUAUUUUAUUUUGGCUCAACUCAUCAGUUUUAUGAUCCAAAAUCCUAACACUGAAUAUGACAUGUUGAACUAAACAAGUUAUUAUAUAUGGAGAAAUGGGAAACAAACAACCUCUUCAUUCUUCAAUUUAUUGUAGGCCCGACAGCUUAUUAUUACUACUCGGGUCUCCACCGAAUUUAUAUAUGUUAAGGCUCACGAUUUGGAUCGAUCAUAGCAAACUAUAUAUUCAUGACACUGAAGUGUGUUGACCCUGCUUCUUGACGUUGGGAACAUAUAUUUGAUACAACCUAUCGUAUAUGCUUAGGUCAAAUUAAAACAAGAUAAUAAAGAUUGCAUCAAAAUAAUCAUUAAUUGUUAUAUUCAUUUUGUCAUUUUUACUAUCUCUCAAGAAAGAUAUCAGUGGUUACCCAUUUUUCAAUAAUUUCGGUGAAUUCCCACUAUCUCAAACUUUGUUUUUUGUCUUCUAUAUAUAAUUGGUCAACUUGAACAGGCAAAAGGCAAUAGGAAUUCAUUCAACUCUCUAAAACUCAAGUGAUACAAGUGUUCCAAUUAGUAUAAUGUACAAAUUCAAUUCACUACAAGUUUUUACGCUGGUUAAACCCUUAGUUAAUUUGGCUGAUAUAAUGUUGCAAUUUAGUUAAGAGUUUGUACGUUAUUCUUUGGAUUACUAGGGACAUUGUCAUUAAUAAAUUAAAAAAACUGUCGACAGUAUUGUACUUAUUUGCCAGUCUCUUAUAUUCUUUUCCUAUGCUUUUUAUUUUAUAUAUCUCCCUUGUUUAACCAUCUUUAAUUUGGUGGUUUUCUUGGCACUUUGUUGCCUUACUACUUUGUAUCUCCUUUGGUUUGGUGUAUUUCUUCCUUUUAUGUUACAUAUAGAGUAAACAUAUAUAAAGAGUAAAAAUGUUAAUGUUGCAAUUUGAUUAGUAUUUGAAAGACACACAAAUUAAUACAAUUGCGAAUUGUAUACAUAUAGUAUAACAUGCUUUUUUAAAGGAAUUGCGCCUUCACACAGAUUGUUGUGCUUGUGAUGCGUUGAAUUUAAGUAAUACAAAAUGCUUUUGUCCACUUCAAUAAAAUGUUACAAAGAUUCGGUGUUGGAUUUUCCAAUUUUUCUUAUGAAGCCUGUGUGUGUUACCGUUAGAGCAGUGAAGGUCGCUCUCUAUGCAUGUUGAAAACGAAAGCUACAAUCAACAACUUACCCCUUCAAUGAGAGGGAGAGCUAUAAUCUCUCUACUUCCAAGCCUCAAUCUAGUAUUAUUUGUGUUUUUUCUAUGCAUUUCUGAUAUUCCUAUAUAUCUUUUCGAAAAUGAUAUUUGAGUUUUUAUGCAUUUCUAAUAUUCCCAUAUUUUUUUCUGAAAAUGAUAGCAAACAGGGACAAUUGUUUUCUUAUGUGUUUUUUACCCCUUCCAAAUCUAAUGAUAUAUAUAUAUAUAAGUCAACGAUUAUGUUCUUUCGUGCAAUUUUAAGGAUCAAAUGUUUUAUUUUUAUACAUUUUUGGAUUGCAGAAAGUGAAACUAGGAUCGAUGUCAUAUAAUAAGAGAAAGUGCAACUAUCUUUUGGUAUAUGUGCAUUUUGGUAAGAAUAUUGAUUAUUCAAUUUAUUUAUGAGACGAGUAGUUUAAUUAGGGGGGGUACCGGGUACAUAUCAUCAAACAUAGGAUUAAGCAGAUGAUUAAAGUGAUGUAUAUUGCAUUUAAUAAAGAGUCGACGUUGAGAUCAACAGAGCCAUGUGUUAUCUAAUCAUGCAGCAAUUGAAUUUAACAUCUUCAAAAGAAAUAAAAGAAUUGUUACAUAUAUACUGUACAUGUGGUUCGUGGAGAUUUUGGAAAAUAAGAUAAUGCAACGAUGGCCACAAGACAGAGUCCGAUCCGACAGAAUCUUUAUAGAAAAUUAUACAUUGCUAGACUAGAUGAUGGGGUUGACCUUUCCCACUGAACUGGGAAAAAAAAUCUGACCCUUUUCCUUUUUCUAUGUAAUUUGAAAGCACUUAAAAAUCCAAUCAUGAAAACGAUUAACAAAGUUAAAAGUGGGAAAUCAGUAAUCUUCUUCUGAGGAAGCUAAUCAAAACAGCUAGGGACGUAGUUAUUGCAUGCAACUGUGUACCAAUAGCGACCUUGUUACCCAAAUGUGAGAUUUCACUUCCGUUUGUCUUUUUUCACAAUUUUUUUCUUCGAGACAAGACAUCCCUCUCCCAUCUUCUUUUAAUAUUUUCAAACAUUUAACUUUUUCAGUUUUUAAAAAGAUAUGUAGGAAUAUCAGAAAUUGAUUUCAAAACAUAUAAUUUACCUAGCUUCAAUAGCAUUUUCUUAGGUAUUGUGAGUAGACAUUAAUAUACUACUAAUACAAUUUGAGUUUUUUUUCGCAUUUCUUUUUUUUGGUGAGAUCAUCAACACAUAUAUUAAAGUCACACAAUUUUGGUAAUCCAAAGAAAAAAAAACAAAAAAAGUAAGAACAUACCGACAUAGGCAUCCGCUUUGGUGGGCUUCUAGCAGGAGUAUUUUAGCUUUCAACGUACUGGGCUUUCAAUUUAAAGCCCAUAACAAUAAAACAUAGCCCAAGGCGUUGACAUUGAAGGAGGGGCAUGGCUCACGGUAGCCCGCCGUUAAGUAGUAUUAUCAGGCGUGAUUUUUGAGUCAAACUAUUUAGAAGCCAAAAAUGAAAGUCUACUAGAAUUUAUAAUUAACUUCUUCUAUUCUUUUUUUUUUUAUUAAAGAGCUACAAGCAUAAUUUGCUUACGUAUAUCGGUAUAUAUAUACCCACCUAAAGAUGUAUUUGUUUACCUAUUUAAUUUUUCUUAUAUGUUAUAGUUUGAUAUGUGAAUGUCUUUGUGUUUAAUGGCAAGACGCACACCUGACACCACAUGUCCUCUUGUAAGAAAACUAGCUAUAGAUAACCCUAACGUAAGAUGUUUUUAUUUAAAUAUAUAUAGCAUUGAAUGGUUGAAGCAUUUUUAUACCAAGAAAAUGAAAUAAUUCAACGUUUACUUUUAUUUGGAUUAACAUGCAUCAAACUUUUAUGUAGAAUGGGGGUUGGUAAAAUGUUUGACAAACUCAUUGGCAAAACAUUAAAUCAAAUAUCAAUGAGAAGAUAUGUACCAUGUAGGUAGUUGAAAUAUAUUAAAACUCCCUCUUUCGAUACACUACGUACGUACAGAAAAUUAUAUCGAACUCUUGGCAUUAUGCACGCUUGGUAUUUUCGUUAGUAUUUAUAGCCGCUUCACUUUGUUACUUCUCAACAUUCAGUUUGCAAUCUAACAAGAGCAUAAAACACAUUCAAAAUUUCAAGCAGAAGUGUAGAGACAAUGGCUAUCAUCAACUUCGAGGACCAACCCACAUUGUACAAUUUCGUGGUCAAACAAGGCAACGGCGUGAAAGGUAUGAUAGACUCAGGCCUCUCCAGUGUUCCACAGCCCUUCGUCCAGCCUAUCUCUGAGCGAAUCCCGACCCAAAACGCCUAUACGUGUGAGGCUUCCCAGCCAAUCGAUCUUUUCCACCUAAAUGGUCCACACCACAAAGAGGUGGCCAAACAGAUCGUCGAAGCUGCCGAGACACUUGGCUUCUUCCAGGUAAAUAAUAGUUGACACAUAUCAUUUUGGUUGGUGUAGAGAUGAGCUACAUAUGUGAGUAAACAUGUAUAAACUUGAUCUGGAUGAUACAAUCAAUCUUAUCUUAUGAACUUACGUUAAAAAUGCUUGCUUAUAAGAUCGAGUGUCUUUAUCAAACUCUUAAAAAUGCAUGUUUAGUAAUAUGAAAACUGUAUCAUUCUGAGGAUGGAUUGCAAAUGGCAGGUGGUAAACCAUGGUGUUUCGGUGGAGCUGCUAGACUUGCUAAAAACAUCGGCUCAUGAGUUUUUUGCACAAUCACCUGAGGAAAAAGCGAUAUAUUUGAAAGAAGUGAGUCCAAGCAAGCUGGUUAAGUACGGAACAAGUUUCGUGCCAGAUAAGGAGAAGGCGAUUGAGUGGAAGGAUUAUGUGAGUAUGAUGUACACCAGUGACCAUGAGGCUCUCCAACACUGGCCUCAACCAUGCAGGUAUAUACAUAUGUACUAAACUCUACUUUAAACUUGUGUUAUAUAGAUAGUGUAUAAAUGCUAGGAAACUCAUGUUGAAAAUGAGAUGAAAUGUAAAAAAUAAUAUAUAGAAAGAAAUAAAUCAAUAAUAUUCAUUCGGUUUUGAAUCAUAAACUUACAAAAUAUAAACGUGUUGACAGAGAGGUGGCUCUUAAGUUCCUGAAGUCAUCGAUGGAAAUGGUGGAAAAUAUAGUUAACAUUCUGAUGGAGAAUGUAGGAGUGAAACUGGAAGAAGAGAGGAUGAAUGGUUUGAUGGGAACCAAGAUGGUCAACAUGAACUACUACCCCACUUGCCCGAGCCCCGAGCUGACAAUUGGCGUCGGCCGUCACUCCGACAUGGGUAUGUUGACUGUUUUGUUACAAGACGGCAUUGGUGGUCUCUACGUCAAACUAGACAACGGUGAAUGGGUUGAGAUCCCUCCUGUUCACGGAGCUUUGGUUAUCAACAUCGGUGACACUUUGCAGGUUUGUUUAAACGAAUUUAUAAUAUAUAUUUUACAUACUAUAUAUAUAUAUAUGCUGUAUCCAUAUUUAUUUUUGAUAUAUAUUCUAAUACAAAUAUGUAAAAAUGUCAACAGAUUUUGAGCAAUGGGAAGUACAAAAGUGCGGAGCAUAGGGUUCGAACCACAAACGUAGGAUCGAGAGUAUCUGUGCCCAUUUUCACGGCACCUAAUCCUUCGGAAAAGAUUGGACCGUUGGCGGAAGUUGUGAAACGCGACGGAGUGGCUCGAUACAAGGAGCUGUUGUUUCAAGACUACAUGAAUAACUUUUUCAGCCAACCACACGACGGCAAAAAAUCUCUCGACUUCGCAUGUGCCGAGUGAUGCUAUCAACAGUUGCCACGUAACAGCUACUCGCGAGCCUCUGUUUCUUUUCUAUCCUUCCUUUGUUCUCUUUUUCUAUCUUUAGUCCCACGUUACACGGAGUUGUUGUCUUGUUGUUUCCCUUUUUCUUGUUUUGUUUUGUUUUCUUUUUUAUGUAACUUUUUUUAAUCCUUGUUCGAUCCCCAUGUUUUUAUUUCGGUACAAUAAAAAAUGUCCUUCUACGUGUGCAUUCUGAAACAUAAUUGAUCUUUUAUCAAACUUUCAUGCGUGUGUUGGGUUGAAUGGUUUGGGUUCCUUUUACCAAAAUUUCAAAGUUAUUUAACUUUUUACCAAAAAAAAAAAAAUUCAAAGUCCCAGAGUCUGACCUACGUAUUGAUUUUUUUUACUGCAAUGAUUAUAUAACUUUUUACCAAUUCUCCAAGGACUUUUCCCUUCAUUAUUAUUUCCAUUUUUCAUCUCGCUUUCAAGGCAUACUAUACUUACGAUUUAGACUUAUUAUCGGCUUCUAGGUCGUUCUCGUUUUUUCGUUGACUAUUUCUAAAAAUGCAAAAUAUAUGGGACAAUUUUGAAGAAAGUCGAUAAUGACGUAAGCGGUAUGGGAUUAUGGGACUUUCAUGUUAUGACGUGAAUCGUGUUACUUCAAACAUUGUGACGUUAGAUGUUUACUGAUUAUUCAAACCUCGUGCUUUUUGCUUCCUUAAUUCUUCUAAUUAAAUUUUUGCUUUUUUACUUUUGUAUUAGAGUAAAUUUCCACUUACACCCAAUUAAAACUCGUUAACUCAGCCACUGAUUCGAAUAAUUCCAUGUAACUACCUAAACCACUUUGUUAAAAGUAUUUUACGUAUGUCUUACAUUAAUCUUAUGGUCGAUCACAUCGUUUAUUAUGACAAAAAUUCAUAUUAAUUAUUACAGUAAUCCAAAAACGAUAAAUCUUAUUGAUCAUUCUGCUGCAGCUUCUAUUCAAAUAUAUUUUUUCCACAUGAAACAAUUUAAGGUAAUUAUAACUUCUUAUAAUGCCUAAAAAAAGGUUAAGAAAUUAGAAUAAGACGGAGAGGAAGAUGUCCAACAAGAACAACUUGGGGUCAACCAUUGAUGACUCUGGUUGAAUUAUCCUUUGACUUGACCAGCCGCUACGAAUUGACUCAACAAAUUGAAACAAACUAUUAAUAGGGGAUAUAUGUUAUACUCAUUCUCCGAUUUUAAUUCUAUCCUUACAAAUGAAUUUAUAAAAAAAAUUCAUGUUAUUCAUUUUUGAGUGAAAAAAUGAGUAUCUGAAAUACAAGAUUCCCCUUUUUAUAGCGUUUUCAUGGAUCCCCCUUUUUUCUUACUUCUAUUUUACAUCAAAAUUAGAUUAGUUAAUAAUAGUAGUACUAGUUUCUUUUGUUGAAAGGUAAAUGCUUGUGGUGGAGGAUGAUUCCUUUACCAAAAGGUUAUCUAAAGAUGUGGUAAAGAUUUGGACAAAAAAAGUCAGGGAUCAACAUUAGCUUGAACAACACUUUCUCCUAGAGUGAGUUUUGACAAUGAGGAGUAUAUAUUAAUGGGAGACUCUUUAGUGCAGUGGAAAUUGCGUUUUAAUUAUUAGUAGUUCCACUUCUUUUUACUAAUUGAUAGCAUAUUUGCAAAACUUUACUCACGCUCAUCGGAUCAAACUUUCGCCUCUCAUGGUUUGCAAAUAUAGUUACAACAAUCACCACUGCAUACAAUAUAAUAGGCUUUUUCGUAUUUAAAAAGAAGACAAAAACUGUAGUGUACAUAUUAUGGUAAAGCAUGUUUGUCAUAUAUGUAUCUUGACAUUUAUGCGUAUAUCGGUAUAUGCGAUUAUUGAUUGACACUGUACAUGAUCAUCCAAACAAUAUAUAUCGAAUUUAAUACAAUUCUAGAAAGGAAAAUAUGAAUAUCUAUUUUUGUAAUUAUAAAUAAAUUUGACCAAUUCAAACAACGUAUAAUUGUAAUUUCAGAACAUCAGCCCACUCAAAGAAUUUCAGAAAUUUCUGGUUGUAAAAAUUGUAGUGGGAAAAUAUCCAACAAAGUUUCAUAUGGUGGAAACUAACUCUUCCACAUAUGUUAAGAGUUUUUUUUUUUUGUUUUUUUGUUUUUGAUAAACCUAUCUGUUGAGCCGGUCAUGUUAAGAGUUAAAAGUAAUGUGACUAGAUAUUUUUUUAUCCAAAAUUAAUAUCGAACUUAGAAUAUUUGUGAACUGAAAGUCUGAAACUAUCCCGUAACUGUAGUCGCAAGUACUGAAAACAUGUGACAAUAAACGACUUAAUUACCUGUUUGAAGUGAGAAAGGAACUGACGGGUAUUAUUCGGUUUUUGAGUAGGUGGCUUUGUCAUUUGUCAAUUUCAGAGAAACUGCCAAAUAAGUAGAAAAAUGUAACAUUAUUCAUGUUUUUUUUUUUUUACUUUUUCUUUUGUUGAUUUCCCCAAGUUAAAAAAUUUCAAACGAAGCAAAACAAAUCCAACCUUUACGAGCACAAAGUCGGAGUUAAUUAUGCGUUUAACGUCAUGAUGGUUGAUAGAUGUUUCGUGGUGAGCGCGGUAUAUGCGAAGAAUAAUGAUGAUGAUACAAGAAGUUAAUGUUUACUUAACCUUUUACCAAAAAAAAGAAAAGAAAGAAGUUUUGUAACGUUGAAUCCUCGUCAGACACUUUGGAAGAGGAAAACACAAACAUCUAAACUUGGUGUGAAAGGUCAGUCCUCUCCCUGGCGUUUUCUUGUGCGUUCUAAUAAUAUGAAUGGUAAAAGCGUCAUACGUAUUGCGUCUACGACUCCACGUAUUGCGAUGCGAAAAGACUGAUUCUAAAAUCUCAAGCCCGAAAGACUUUUACCGGGUCGGAUCAUUGAUUGCAAAGGAUUUGUAAGUCAACAGACAUGACUUGACCAAAUCGGAUAAUUGAUUGGAUUAUAAAGGAUUAAUAAGACACACACGACACAAACUCUCUUUAUUAUAUAAAGAGCGCAAAAGGAGAAAUAGUAAAACCAAAUCCAUCCAUCUAUGGAGAAGAUGAUGGGAUUACGGGACAACAUAAGAGUAUCAGAAGAAGAUGAGAAGGAAGUGGUAAAGCUUCCAGGAUUCAGGUUUCAUCCCACGGACGAGGAGCUCGUAGGGUAUUAUCUUUCUAAGAAAGUACUCCUCAAGAAACCGAGCAAGAUCGAUGAAAUUGUCAGCCAAAUCGAUAUCUAUAAAUUCGAUCCCUGGGAUCUUCCAAGUAAGUUUUGUUUUACACCCUCUAGCUAAUUUCUUUUGUUUUCUUGCACCAGUACUAGUCCAGACCAUGCAAAUACAUAUCAUUAAUUAGGUCUUAUACGCUUACAAGGGAGAUUACAUGUAUGCAUGUUUGUGAACUGAUGAUAAAACGUAAUGUUUGUUUGAAGGGUCGAGCAACAUGGAGAAGGAAAACUACUUCUUUUGCAAGAGAGGAAGGAAAUACAGAAACAGCAUAAGGCCGAACCGGGUGACUGGUUCCGGUUUUUGGAAAGCCACGGGGAUAGACAAACCUGUCUAUUCCGAUGGACCUAGUAAAACUGUGAUCGGUCUUAAGAAGACACUCGUGUAUUACCUAGGAAGCGCCGGGAAAGGAACCAAGACAGAUUGGAUGAUGCACGAGUUUCGUCUCCCCACAGCCAAUGACACAAUCCCCGGUGGACCUACGCACUCUAACCCUACUCCAACUUCCUCACUACAAGCAGUAAGUUUGCAUACUCGAUCAUAUCAUGCAUAUAAACUUGAACGUUUUAAACGGCAAUCAUAUAUAUAUUACUACCUUUUUUUUCGAAAUUAAAGUUUUUGGAAGUGUGGUUGAUUCUCACUCUAGUAUAUAAAUCGCAGGAAGUGUGGACGUUAUGCCGGAUAUUCAAGAGAAAUGUGUCUAGUCAUAAAUACACUUCGGACUGGAGAGAAUUAGCAAAUGGUAAACGGGUGAAGCAGCAACAAUCUAAUUACAAAGAAGCAUACAUCAGUUUUGGUGACAAUGAAAGUAGUAGUAGUACCAACGUGACCAAAGGGAUCAGUUACGAGAGAAGUUUUUUCCAGCUUCACCAAACUCAUCAACAACAGGACCAGCCAAUUCCUAUGGACACCACACAGGUUGAUUCGCUUCACGAUUUCUCCACCGAUAUUAACACUGAUCACCAUGAAACCUACGACGACUGGGACGAGCUUCGAUCGGUUGUGGAAUUUGCUUUCCCACCUUCUUCUUUUAGUUAGAUCUUUAAACACACUAGUUAACUUACUCGCAUAUAUUAUGUUACUUGGACGUUUUGUAUUAUUAUAUAUUAUAAAUAUGGAUCUUUUGUCUGUAUAAUGAGUGCACCUGAUUACAUAUUAUUUGUAUAAUUCUCCUUUGUUUUAUGUCCUACAAUAUUUAUUUGCAUAGUUUAGUCUUGGUAUCUCAUUGUACAUGUGAUGCUGANNNNNNNNNNNNNNNNNNNNNNNNNNNNNNNNNNNNNNNNNNNNNNNNNNNNNNNNNNNNNNNNNNNNNNNNNNNNNNNNNNAAUGAAAUUAAUCAAAUUAUAAGGCUUAUGAUAAAAGUGGGAAACACUCGGAUAGAGCUUUUUUUUGAAAAACAAGCCCAUAUAAUAUUUGGGCUUAUUAGAUUAUUAGAGCCCAUAGGAAGUGUUACGGGAGUUUUAACACUCGGAUCCUUCAUUUGUUAUGGGAAUUAGUUAAAACAGCCUUACCUGUAAAGGAGUGAAAGAAUUUGGCUUUCUGUUUCCAUUAAGCUUCUUUCUUGCCUUUUUGUUUCUUUUUCCUAGAAUUUUUGUUCUUGUUUUUGUAGCAAUGAUGCAGUUCAAGUGACAGAUUUGAAUUACAGUUUACAACCAAUCAUUUUGGUAUGUUUAGUUUAGAAGAACAUAUUAUCUCCUCCUUAUUUGCUUCUUUGUAGAACAUUUUGUUUGUUGCUUUUUACUUAACUUGUUAAGUGUUAACUUACGAUGAUGAGGAAUCUUUCUAUGUUAUAGAUGGUUUAUAUAAUAUUCCAGGUCAUAUUCUGUGGACGAGCCUUCUUUUGGAGAAGAUGAAGAAAACAGCUAAUGAAAGCAAUAGAGAAGGGAGAAUUGUGUUACAAUACUUUGCAAGCAUAUGGUCAAUCAAAGCUCUGUAACAUUUUCUUUUUGAACAAUUAUGAGCGUCUUUUGACAAAUCUCUUCCCAUGUUUUUUUCUUCAGGACUUUGCUCUGAUACCGUUGUGUCUUGAACUCCAUCUUGCCAGUUAUUUGAUAUUUUGACUACUGAUUUCUCAAGACAAAUACCAAUGCUCUCAUGCCUACAACAACUCAGACAAUUCAGAUCUUUCAUUCUGCACAUGUUUUCACAAUUCUGACAUACAUGGUUAUGUUUUCAGCCCCUUUCACAUUAGAAUAUGAAUUUGUGAAAAAUCAGAAACUGUAAUGAUAUAUUAUGAUCACAUGCACCCGAAUCAAGAAGCCACUUAUCAUUUUUAUGAAAAUCUACGUUAAUAUCAAGCAAAGAGUGAUGACUUAUUAAAUCAUUCUCACAUGAAUAAACAGAAUGAAAGAAAAAACUUAACCUGCAGUUUGGUUGAAUCAAUAGAUGUCUCGUUAGGUCCUUAUAAGUAAUAAGAUCAAGUUUGGUUCAGUCAAGUUAGAAGAUUGUGGAACCUGGUUUGGUGUGUUUGUGUCUCACUGCUUGACUUAGUGCAUUUAACAGAAUCAUAAGGAUGAUUACAUAAUAUAUAUUGGGCUUACAGGUAUGGUGUUCCCCAACUCAUUUCCUUUUACGACCCAUUUACAAUGUUGUUGUACUGUCUUUUUAUUUCUUUGACCUCAAAGAUGUGUUCAUUCUUUGUCUUGGAUAAUCUGUGUCUAUAGACCAAAAACAUAUCAGCUUAACUAGAACAUAUCAUCGCCUCCACAUAGUGGAGAUAAAUAGUAGUGACAUGUGACUGUUUAAGUGUCAAGAACUAUGUGAGAAUACAUGUCACAAAGCUUAUAUCAUUGCCUAACGAAGUUAGAUCAGCACUAAUAUCCCACUCACUUGUUAAAAGCUAAUUUUUUCAAAAAAAUGUGAACAAAGAUACGAUUGAUUGGAUACUGCAGAUGAUAAAACUCUGUCACAAUCAUCCAACUUAGGCAUCUUGAUUUUGUAGGGACUCAAUCUUAAUGGUCCAUUGUUGUGGUGGAUGGGGUCCAUAAUUGCUUUCUUGAUUCAAUUAAGUAAUCGUGUUCCGUUGUUGUCUUGGCCUGCUGGACACUAAGGACACCAUUCAUCCAUCACUUCACAUCAUUCAUCUUCCUUACUGCAGUGCACCACUACAAUCAUCAAUACUAUUAUUACUUUGACAAACUCUUAUUGUAUCUUAAAUUGCAUAUAUCAUAAUCAUAAUCUAUGUAUAGUGAUCCUCAUUGUUCUCUUCUCAUAAACAAAUCAAAUAAUACUCCAUUCAAUGAGUUCUUAAUUACUAUCUUUUUAAUUAUAGAAGUGUCAUCUUCGACCUCAAGUCUGUCUUUUACUAUUUCUUCUCCUUUAACAAAAAAGUAGCCGACGCACAUCUUGUUUUUCCCCCACAUAUACCAUAUUCUCUAUCUAGUGCAUUGAUUCUUCUUCAUACCAUCAUUGCGUUGCUUUACUCUUGUUUUGAAAUUUAUAUUGCUUUACACUUGUUUUUGAAACUCAUAUGUCAUGAUAAUUGUUUGAAUUGAAGAGUCCAAUUAUAUCUAUAUCUAUCGACAUUGUAUUAUACUUUCCCACUUGCCCCCACUAAAGAACCAUACACGAUAUUAAUAGUUAGAUUUUGUUUAUUUUAUAUAUUUUAGUGGGUUGUUCCUAAUGUGGACAAUAACCAAACUAUUUCCUCACCUUUUUUCAUCCAUACGAAAGUACAGUCUUUUACUUGUAAAUGUUUCAUGUCUUGUUUCUUUUAUCCAAUAUAUCAAUGUCAUGUCUCAACCAUAUAUUGUUUUUUUUUUUCUCUGAUAGUAACAUAAAACUUCUAAUUACAUAUCUUAUCUAAACCACAUGCUCUUUUGAUAUUUUGUACCAUUUAGUGGGUGAGAAGAUGAUGAUAUUUGCAUUGGUACAAAUUUAAUCAGAAUAUAAAAGAUUAGGUCAAGUGGGCAAUAGUGGUAUAGGCUUACUCCUUUUACUUUAAAAACCCUUGAUAUCCUCUUCUCACCUCUCUCUAUCUUUGUGUUGUCCAUUUAGAUCUGUCACUAUAAUGUUUAAAAUUGUUACUAGUAUAUCAUGGAUCCAAGAUCUGACCAACAAGAUAUGUCAAGACAUUUUUAUAUUGUAGCUUUGGCAAAUUGAUACAAAUUAUCAUAUGAUCAAAUAGACUUAUGCAUAUGUGAUAUGUCUCACACCAUGAAACAAAGACUCAUGUCAAGCUUAUAUAGUGCAGAACUGAGGAUCAUUUGCCUAUCUUUUUUUUAAUCUUUCUACGAUUAUUCAGUCCAAAUUACUGUCUCACUUGGCCUAUAUAAAACCCUAAUAUAUAAGGUUAAUUGUUUAUACUCGUUCAUCUUCUGAUCCUUCAGUCCAAAAGUUUUCCUUCAAUCCAAUACUAUUAGUAGCUAUUGUUUUUGCGGAAUGUAAAAGCAAAAGCCAAUUAAUGAAGACAUUACUUCUAUUUUUUUUAAAAUUUUUUUUUUUUUUUGUCAUCGAAGACAUUACUUCUAUUUUAAGACUGUGUUUUGGGUUUUGACUUUUAAUAAACAUAAUGAUAUUAUAUGCAUACAACAAUACAGCACAAACAUGACACAAAUGCAACAAUUUUCAACCGAAAGAAAUAAUCAACAUUGUAAUCACAAUAAACUAAAUUUAUCGACUGCGUCAAUGACUAUGGUCUAUGGACGACUUUGAUAAAACCAAAAAAAAAAAAAAAAACCGAAAGUUGUGUUCAACUUUGGUAUGAAAAGAAAAGUAGAAUAUUUAAGUAAAAGAGUUGUGAGAAAGAAGAAAAGAUAAAGAAACAAGGCCAUCAAUGUCAUUGUUGUUCCAUGGUUGACAUGGUAUACCAUUCUUUAUCAUGAAUAAAUGAGGUCUCAACUAAAUUGUUUUGAAAAACAUAUAUAUAUAUAUAUCGAUUACUUUUAAUAUAGCAAUAUGAUAAGUAAUGAAGUAGGGACGUUGAUUUGUUAGAGGUUAGCUUAGACUAAAGAACAAAUAAAAACCGACCCACAAAACAAAUCAAUCAAUUUCGAAAUCAUGAUGACAUUAGUAAAUUUAUUUUCGUCUAGUGCCGUCUUUCCCUUGGAAAUUUCUUCUUUUCCCUAAGAUAACAAAACAUUAACAUACAAAUCAAGUUGUGGAAUAUUAUUACUAAUCUUUAUAUAAAAGAGGAAUCAUAUUCAUUUCAUCUUUAUAUACAUGGGAAAGCAUGUAUAUAAAAAGAUGACUUAGAUAGUUUCCAGUUCUUCAAAAAAUGAAUGAAUAAAAAACUUGUCAUCGUGACCCACUCGGAAAGGAAAUCUAACAAAUAAUUAUAUAUUAGUAAACUAUUCCUGUUUACUAUAAUGUGCCACUGUAUUGACUUUUCUGAAAGCUUAUUCGAGGGUAAAAGGAAAGAAAAACAAAAGUCAGAUUGUUCAAUGAGAUGGUGAAGAUGACUAGACAACAACAUAGGAAGGUGCAUGAGGUUAAUUAGCCAUUUCAUGACAAUGUAGCCCACUUUCUUAGAUUAUCACAUUAGAAUUAGAAUAUAUAUAUACAAGUUAAAAAAUAUAUACAUAGUGAGAUGGUUAGUCGUCGGUUCCAAAACCACAUCAUAUCCAUCCAGUCGGUCAAAUAAUUAAUAUUUUUGCGGGGAAUAUUAUUAUGAGCAAACAGCAUGACACCUGGAUGCUGCAUACGUACGUUUACGUUAUAAUGAUAAACUCGGCAUUGUUUGACAUGAAAAUUGAAGAUUAAACUAUUACGACGACUCUACUACUAUUUAUAACUGAGGGUUUAAGCAAAGACGAAAUAUAUAAGAUUUAGCAAAAAAGACGAAAUAUAUAUAACGUGUAAUGAAAGAUGGGUAGUUUUUUUUUGUUUGGAUACUCAUACUAGAAUGGAGAGGGGAAAGUUGAGGAAAGUUCCAAAGUGUGGAAUCAAAAAAUUCACGUGUUGGGGAAAUAUAUUUAAUUAUGCCAAUAUUGUUUUUUUAAGAAAAAAACCAAACGGUCCCCUCUCAGUGGGCCCAUUAACGGCCCAAGUAUUGUUUAAAAGAAGAAAUGAAAAUUGUGGGCCCGGCGGUGCGAUGUGGAUGUGCUCUUGUGUUUUUUGUUUAUGUUUUUUUUUUUCUUUUUAAAUGCCGAUUUUGGCUUUUUCUGUCUUUUUUUUUUUUUUUUGGUUGCUUGUGGGAGUCCACUUUAUAGAUUUGUUUCCCUAAGUUAAAAUAAAUUGGUUCUCUACCGACAAUGUUCUUUUCUCAUCCUUCCUUAGAUUACUGGUGUGUAGUUGCGUAGGUGUCGCCAUACAUGAUGAUACAUGAACUUAACUAAUUAGAAGAUAUGUGAUCUUUUCUCAUAUAUAUCUUAACAUGUGUUGUGUUGAGAGAGGCAAAGCUAAUAAUACAAGUCAUUCAUUAUUAGUAUUUUCAUUUUCCUUGUGUUGUGUUGUGGUUGUCGAUAAUGGAAAAGUCUAAGCUGUGUACCGGUAGUACAGCUGCUGAGAUUUUUAAAAUAAAGAGAAGGAGAUCAGAGGGAGUGUAAUAGUUUUGACGUGACUUGAUAAUCACAAAUGCAACGUUACGUCCGUAUAAGUUUAAUAGGGGGGCACAAAACUACAACACAAAAGUAGCGUGAAGAGACCGCAAUAAUAAUGUGAUUGCUGGCUUAUAGUAUAUGAUCCAACCCCCUCCGGGACCAUUCCACGAUAACUUCAGAGAGUCGUGCCUCUCAAUUUAUACAUAUGUAAGUAUAUACGACAUCAUCAAUGAUAAAGUGUUAUUUUAGCGGUGAAUUUCAUACGAUACUCUUUCUAUUGAAUGGAGUAUAAUUUUUUUGCAGAUUUUUUAAAUUAAAAAAAACUCUUGUAUCCAAAAAAGAUGUAAACAAAAAGGACAAACAUUUAAAAUCAUGAUAACUAAAGUAUCAAAAGAAAAAAAAAAGGUGGCUUGAAUGAGAACGUGAACCAACUGCAUUUCACAUGCUUCGAAAAAAUAUUAGAUAGAUGUAUUAAAAAAACCGUACCCUCUCUGAUUCCUCGAACCCUCCUCUCAUCACCAUAUAGCUAAUGCGUGAUUUAACCUUAAGUUAUACUACUAUUUCCAACGUAUUCAACCCUUCAACUUCUUCUUAAUCAUCUAUAAACCACUGGUUAAGUAAUAAUGAUGGUGACGUGGUUGAUUGCAACGAGACCAUUAUAAAAAUACAUGCAGCAUUGAAUUAGUUAAACAACAAAUAUUGACAUUCGCAUAUUAUAGAACGAGGACAAAUAAGAAGGGUAUUUUUAAUUAACUAGUACUAUAUAUUAGUAAUAGUAUUAUUAUGAUGUUUUAAUACGAAAAGAAGGUGGUGAUUGUGUUGGGUGGAAUGGAGGCAGUCAAAUACACUCAACUAGUUCUAACAAAAAAAAAUUCGCAUCUCUUUGAUAUGAAAGGGACAAGACGGAGGACGUGGUCUUCACGCGUCUCGAUUCUCUCAUUUCUUCCCUCUCCCCCUCACCUCACCUAAAGCCAAAUCUAUCAGCUCAUCAUCAUGCCCCUUUGUAUAUUUUUAACACGAUUCACAUCUGAACCCUUCUUCUUUUUUUUGGUUAAAGUUCCCAUUUAAACAAAACUAAAUUUCACAUCUAAAUCUUUUUAACCCUUAUCUUCUCUUUUUUUUUAAUUGUUUUUUCACCGACCUGCGAAAUGAAUAAACUACACAACAUCUUCUUGUGUUCCUUAACUCAAGUAUUUCGAAUAUUUGGGGUCCAAAAACAAAAUACAUAUGCGUUUAUAUUAUUCUUACAUCAACUAUUACUUUUGGUACUAUAUUAUUUUUUAAAUAAACCCUAAUUUCUUUUUGAUAAUAAUCGGGUAAAAAAAUAACCAUUUUGGGAAGUUAAGAAAAAGGCCGGAAGAAGUGGAACAGACAGAACACACACGAGACGAGAUUUUAUUUAUAGACUUGCGAGUUAACUACUCUAACACAACAAGGGUAAUUUUGGAAAUUUCACUUGUUGUCCAGCGAAAUUUGCGCGCGCUCUCCACGUCAGCUUUUUUUCCAUUCCAGCACCACCGUUAUACACGCGCCAAUACAAUUCUAACGGCUAGUCAAACCUUGUUCACUAUUCUAUCUUGCGCUUAAAAAUUUUCUUACAGGCUUGGCUAACUUGCACCGUCCCACUCCUUUACGUCUUUUUUUAUUUUCUUUUAGCAUCAGUUCUCUCUCGAGUCUCGGGUUUAGAGGAAAAGUUGAUUUGGCUUUUUUCGUUUUCAUUUUCUGCUUUUGGUUUAAUGGUCUGUCACGCAUAACCCUCCCACGAUUUCGACCACUUCACUUUUUAUUUUAUCUUUGGUAUCGAAUAUUAAAACAGAUUUCUAGAAAAAUACACACAAAUAUUAAUAAUCGAUUGGACAAAAGUGAACCAAAGCUUGUCAAAAGUGACGUUAUACCCCUACUACUACUACUACUAAUGUUAAAAGACUAGUAGUUGAACCACACUUACAAAAACCUUUCCACUUUUUUUGGUGAAAAUUUCAUACGAAAGAUGGGAAAUGACAUUGAAAGUGGGUGUAAACCUAACCCACGAUUCUUUUUUUUUUUAAAUAGCAACAGAUAGAGGUCCCUCCUCGUGAACCCCCUUACGAAAUUUAAAGAUCUGACACAUAUGUCAAAGAUUCGUGUUCCAUCAUCAUCAUCACUAUCCAGAGAUAAAAAUAUAUAUUUUAAAAAUGAACAGUUCUUUUAUCAACCAAAAAGAUGGAUAGAUUCUUUCUUUUUUCAACUAUUUACUUUUGUUUUUAAGGACAUUUACAACUUUACUAGGUGAUGAUAUUUGGGUUAGAUCCCGCUAAGAGGAAAGAUUAACAUGAAGACUAGCGUUCUUAGGAGAUUUACAGACUGGACAAGUGUUGAUUGAAGACCCGCACAUAGUGCAUAGACACAUGUGUCUGCACGGUAACAGUAACACACUUGCUUCUCCUUUUCCGCAGUUUCUACACAGAGUCGUCGCUUCCCUACGCAUCCUUUUCGUAUCCUGCGCCUCUCCCGCUAACUUCCACCUCUCUUCCUCGCUAUCACCCUCGUCGCUGCUCCCGCAACAAGACUGUGCGUCGUCAGCCACCGCGGGCGGCUCCUCCCACCUGUUACGCUCCACGGCGGCGAGAACUUGUUGCAAGUUUGAACGGAGUGCGUUUACGGUGGCUUCAUUAGACUGUGCCACGUCACGCCAUAUCUGAUUCUCAACGCACAAAGACUUGACCUUCUCUUCUAGAAAGAGGUUUAGCUUCCCGAUGUGAUUGAUCUCUUCGUCUUUGGCCCUCAGUGUCUUCAUCAACCCUUGUUCAACUGCUUCCACUAUCCUCCUCCCUUGCGUUUUUCUCUUCUCUUCAAUCUCAAUUCUCAUUCUCUCAACCUGAAGAUCAAAUCAUUGAAGAGACCGUUCAAUCGAUGUGAACCAGGAUAAAAAUCUAAAAAUUAAUACUUGUAAUAGAUCAGAUGAAAACUUACGUGAGUAGAGAUCAAACGGUCGAUAUCGAAGUGAUGUUGUUGGACGUUAGAAGACAAGUCUUGGCCAAGAAACAUGAGAGGAUCGGUGGUGCUUUUGAGGCUUUGCAUAUAAGCCGGAGUAUUCAAAACAACUGAUUCUUCUCUGGAACGUUUUCUCGACGACACAGGACGGAGGAAAUCGACGUUGUUAGCAUUAUUCUCGCUGUUGAAUGUGACCGAACUGUCAACGGAUUGUAUCGUCGGUUUCAUGGAUUGAUGAACCAAACCAUCAACAGGUGCGAUGUUGUAUAAAGGAGGAUUAAACAGAGAAGUUUGACAUUCCACGGCGGGGCUAAACGUCGGAACAGUGCCGUAUCUCAUCUGGGUGUUAUAAACUAAGCCGUCUGCUUCAAUAGGGUGGAUCAUUUCUCUGUUAAAAAUAAAAAAUCAAGAGCAACGUUACAAUAUUGAAAAAAACAGAGGAAACAGAGGAAGAGAAAAGGAGAAGAAGAAGAAGAAUUUGUUUACCUGUUGGAAGAAAACAGAGUGUUCAGAUGGUGAGCUUCAACGGCCAUCGAUGUUUGUUGACUAUAGUGAAAACUUGUUCAAAAGAUGUUUGAUGGGGUGAUUCAGAGAACCUCAAGAAACGUGAAUGCAACGAAAGAAUGGAAGUAGAAGUUGUUUUGAGAGAGAGAUGGGGAAGAAGUAAAAAAGAAACAAAUAUCAAAGCAGAACCACAACACACUCUUGUCUGCCAAUUUAUAGAGAACAGAGAAGGAAGAUGUGAUGUUUUUAAUAUAUUUUUAAAAUUUUGCAUUUGGUUGUUUUCUAGUGUAGCAUUUGUUUAAUAGUAUAAAUAAAGAAAACAUUAAGCAUGAGGAUUCUUCGGUUAUCCUCCGGCUGACCAGUGACCAUUAAAGUAGUUGCCUUUUUCAGCGUUUCUUCAUGAGUAAAUAACAAUAAUAAAUUGAAAACUUUGACAAGGACAGCUGUAAAAUCUUUUGUUCAGAGUUACGGUCAAAUUCAUGAUAUCUGCUCUUUCUUUUUUUUACUUUCUCUGGUUGUUUCUUUUAUUUUUACUCUUGUUAAAAGAAGUUCUGAUUUCUCUUUUCUUUCGCCUAACUCAUCUCUCGUCUUUAAUAUCACUGGUCAAACCUGACAAUUUAAUAAUAGUAGGAUCUAUUGGUAACAAAUAUGUUCGGUGUAAGUAAAGUAACUUACACAGUGUAAGAUUCAUUGUAUACAUACAUGAAAAUGAAAUGCAUUUACGACGAAUGUGUGUAUAUAUGUUUAUAUAAACGCCAAAAAAUAAAUAAUAGAGGUGGCUCAUGUGAUAUACUCGUAUCAAGAGUCCUCUCAGUCUUGUAACUAUCUAAAAUUAUUUAAUAAAUAAAAAAAGAAACCGAUCGAAAUGAUCAUAGUUCAAGAACCACUGUUUAUUCAAAGACAUGUCAUUGUUUAUCUAAUUUUAACAUCAUCCUCUGUAGUGAAUUUGGGGAAUUACUCUGUACCAUUAAUUGCUUUGCAUGCAUGAAUGUUGAAAACUGAAGAGGCUCAGAAAUUUUCUGAAACAAAAUAAUGUGAGGAGUGGCUUAUCCGUUUUUGGAGAGAGAGAGAGAGGACAAAAUCCCGUUAGAUUCCAACGGAGGGGAGAGGGGGUGGCGAAUCCGUAAAAAAAGAGCCACACCACAUAAGACGGCCACUGACAGCGCCACGUGGCAAUACAGACAAAACAUAAAGAAGUGGGACAUAUGGUCCACGUGUGAUUGAGUUGCCGGGAUACGAGGGUCGCAUGGGCACGUGUGUACUGCCAGCUUGGCACUAUCCGAAUAAUUCGAAUUAUAAAAUAAAAAAAAAUUGCAGCCGUUGAGAAAGGUACGGUGUACCCACCGCUGCUGCUUCUUUACCUUUUUUUCUAAUUUUGUUUUGCCUUUUUCAGUUUUGAUUUAUUAAUAAUUAUUAAUGAUGUUUUGUCUGUUACUUUCAAUGGUUCUCUUUGCCACGUCUGUUUGGAAACUAACCUCCUGCCACGUGUCCCACAAACCUUUCCUCUUUCUUUUACUUAUGACUUCAAUUGCCCACAUUAAUUCAAUAUUUGAUGGCUAACGUUUUUAAUUUAUUUUGUGUUUAAACUUCUUUUGUCAAUGUUUCUGAAUCAGAAGGAAGUGUUUGCGUUGUCCUUCCAAUACUUCGUCUAGGUGGGGAAUUGAAUGGGGUUUCCGUUUGGUUUGUUUUUCCAUUCAAGAAUCGGAUUAGGUUAUAAAGAUGUUAUUUUCUAGUUUUAUGUUAAGUUUUGGUUAUCUAAGUCUAAGUAUAUCUUGUAAUUGAUAUCAUAAUAAUACAUACUGUAGACUUUGGUAUAAUAUUGCAUGCUGGCUUGCACCCUAUGUAGAAGCUAUAUAUAUCUUUUCUUUAUCACCAUUAUUGUUUUUCAGUUGUGAUUUAUGUUACAAGAUCAACGCAUCAUGUUAACACACAAAAAUUUAAGCUAAUUACACACAUAUUUUAACUUUGAUUUUUCAUAAUUUUUUAGUAUGAGAGACUUACAGCUUUUUGCCUUUGCUAAUCUAUGAUGCAUGUGUACACCUUGUUUCUUUGACGAUUCAAAUACUAAUCAAAACUAUAUAAUGUCGAAUUAUAUACACUUUUAAAGUUAAAUAAUGAUAAUUAGUCGGGGCACUAUCAUCAUGUUUCGUAUAAAUAAAAAGCCACCGGCAGAUAAAUUAAGUUAUCUUGGAAAUAGUAAAGCACGAAGAGAGGGAGGGGCAUAGAAUCACGAGGUUAGCAUAGCAAGCGCAUUAAGAUUGGCAUGUCUUCUUUUUGCAUCAUCUUCUGCUUUUCAGACAUUAUCUCUUUACCAUUAUACUAUUAAUACAUUUUUUUAGUCGUAUCAGGCAUUUUCUUAUUACUAUUUCGUUCGAUCUGACAUCGUACAACUAUUAUUUUUAUUUUUAUUUUAUUUUCGCUGACAACUCAAAAUAUAAAAUAAGAUAUAUACAAGUUGCCUAAUAGCAAAAGUCGAGGCUCAUUCCAAAAGCUAUUACUAUUAUUAAUGUCCGUGGGAUUAAUUAAAACCAUAAAAAUUUGCAUAACCAACGGAAAACAAAAGAUCAUUUGAAUGAGUCCUCACGUCUAAACUACUAAAUUUUUUAACAACUUUAUGAACUUUGGGGCAACAGAAGUGGUCUAAUGCAAUCCACAUGCUCAUCCUCUCAUUCUUUUAGCUAGUUUAGAUUAAGGUUCAAGUUGGUGACACAAAACAAAACAAAACAAAAUGAUUAAGGUUCAAGUUUCUUUCUUCUGUUUAACCCUGAAUGUAUGAAACCUAGAGUGACAAUGGUAUUCAUGAAAGGAAUGAAACUUAAGAAAAUAACAUCCAUUCCAGGGUCUUUUCUUGAAUAAAUAUAACUUUGUUUUUUUUUUCUUCAAUAUGUACUUCCGUGCAUAUUUCAACGUAUGGUUUGAUUUCUGUAACUUUAACAGGUAAGUGUGCAGUGAGGAAAUCAUGAAAGAAAAUAUCAAAUAGUACUAAAAAGAAUUGAUUUUGGUUUUGCAACAAGUAAAGAAUAUAAAUGUAUACUCCAUGUAGGUGACGGUUUUGGCGUGCCUGCUUUUGAGGGCAAAGGCAUGACCUCCAUUGAGUUUGAUGAUAAAAGUAAGUUUCUUCUCUUUUCUUUUUUCUUUCUUUAGUUGAAAUUAAACAAAAAAGUCGUUGAUCUAUUAUUUUCUGCACAUCAUCUCAACCGCUCACCAUAAUGAGAGAAUCUCAAUGUCACACAAACACAUAAUCGUAUUCGUACCCUUUCCUAGCUAGUUUUGUAUACAUAACAAACACUUUAUUAUUAUUCUUUUUUUUCUCUCUCGAGGGAAUCUCGUUUUUAUCAUCCCUAGCAAUAUUUAUAAUAUAUAGUGUUUGUAAGGUCCUCCUCUACCAUACAUAUUCUCGAUAUAGACGUCAUAUAUGCCAUACAUAGAGGUGUGUUAAAUUAGAGAAUAUGGACAUUUCUUGCAUAUAUAUAAAUGUAUGGAAAUAUGGCAUCAUUGGCAUGUAUAUAGAUAUCGAUAUACGUAAAAUACGUGAAAGCAAUGCAUCGGAAAAGUUGGUUGAGCAAAGAAUUGGAUACGGCUCGAGAUGGCAUCACAUGUAUUGGAAUAAGUGGAGCAAUGUGUCAUUAUNNNNNNNNNNNNNNNNNNNNNNNNNNNNNNNNNNNNNNNNNNNNNNNNNNNNNNNNNNNNNNNNNNNNNNNNNNNNNNNNNNNNNNNNNNNNNNNNNNNNNNNNNNNNNNNNNNNNNNNNNNNNNNNNNNNNNNNNNNNNNNNNNNNNNNNNNNNNNNNNNNNNNNNNNNNNNNNNNNNNNNNNNNNNNNNNNNNNNNNNNNNNNNNNNNNNNNNNNNNNNNNNNNNNNNNNNNNNNNNNNNNNNNNNNNNNNNNNNNNNNNNNNNNNNNNNNNNNNNNNNNNNNNNNNNNNNNNNNNNNNNNNNNNNNNNNNNNNNNNNNNNNNNNNNNNNNNNNNNNNNNNNNNNNNNNNNNNNNNNNNNNNNNNNNNNNNNNNNNNNNNNNNNNNNNNNNNNNNNNNNNNNNNNNNNNNNNNNNNNNNNNNNNNNNNNNNNNNNNNNNNNNNNNNNNNNNNNNNNNNNNNNNNNNNNNNNNNNNNNNNNNNNNNNNNNNNNNNNNNNNNNNNNNNNNNNNNNNNNNNNNNNNNNNNNNNNNNNNNNNNNNNNNNNNNNNNNNNNNNNNNNNNNNNNNNNNNNNNNNNNNNNNNNNNNNNNNNNNNNUUUUUUGACCGUUGCACUUGAUUUCAUGCAACCCAUGUGGACCCAACCUAAUCUAUCUGAUAAAGUUGAUAAUUGAGUAGAGAGAGAGCUGCAGCAAAAACUUCAUGAAUAUUUUCAAGUCUCUUUACACGUUACGUGGAUCCAAGGCAAUUUGUGGAUCGAGACGGGGGCCGUAAUAAUCGAGGACGCAUAUGUAUAUUGUAACAAUUUAUAACGUAUAAAACAAAACAAAAAGAAAGCACAGCUCUCUAUUAUGUGUGGUUUACUCACUCAGCCUUUCACCUAAUCCUUCUGACCCAUCCCCACGUUAACGUUGCUCCAUUUUGGAAUCAGAUGCCACAACUAAUUAAUCAACCUCUCUUUCCAUGUUUGACAUGAUGAAUCAUGUUAUAUAAUAUCCCCUGUCGUCGAUAGCUACAAAUUGACUAAGUUGUCAUAUAUAUUUAUAUUAAUUAACUAUAUAUAGUGGUGUUAAUUAGCUGCCAAGAUUGAUUAGCAUAUAUAUGUAUGGGUUGAAAAUAUUAAAGUUUUUUUUUGGGUGAAGAAGAUAAGGGAAUCACCUCACCCUCCCACCCACUACGCAUAUAAACAGAAAACAAGUGAAAAAUCUCGAUAGGGUCUUUUCUCUUUUUUUUUUUUCUCAUUUAAAAACUAUUGAUGAUAUUGGAUUAUAAUAUUAAAAAUUUUGAAAUAGAAAAUGUGAGACCAAGAGAAGACGUGAAUUCACUGUCAACUUUUUUAAGAGAAUGCAUGAACAUGUAUGUGUACAUAGAACAAAUAAAACAAAGGGUCGGCAAACAAAUGAAUGGUUCUUCCCACUCGGCCAAUUCCAAUACACCACAUCUCUCUGUGGGUUUAUGUCAAUAUCUUUCAAAAAUCAUGUGUGUUUAGUAAUUGAGGAGAAUAUGUGAUAUAUAUGUAUAAACAAAAACAAAAUUGUCAGAAUUUGUAAUGAACAGAAACAAAUAAAUGGUGGUACCUCCUCAUACAAGAGAAAAGAAAAGGGUAAGAAGAGAUAUUAAUAAUAAAAAUGUUUGACAGGGAAGGUAGAGAGAUAGGUGUGUGUGAGGUUGUAUUAUUAUUAGCAGUGUCCCUCUCUUGCUCUAUAAUUUACACAAACUUGUCCAAUUCAUCACACUUCCCCAACCAAACUUGUUUGCUUCAUAUAAUUCAUUUUAUAAAAAUAUGUAUGCAUUGCAGGCAGAGACAUGUGUGUGUCUGUCUCUAGGCUUAAGUAGCUGCUACCCUCUUUUUCAUAAAUUAUAUCGAUUGAUUCCGUGGGAUAUGAUAUGAUAUGACCUAUGUAAGACUGUGACAUUUGUGUUUUUUUGGCCCUCUGUGUUAUGUACUCAUCAUGGAAUGCGACAUUUUUUUUUAUAUAUGUAUAUGAUUAAUAAUGAUCAAUGCCAAUUUGGGAACUCUAGUAAGUAUGCUUUUAGUGGUCCACCCCCAUUUCUAGUCUUAUCUUUUCGACCAUUUCAUAUCUCAUUUAUUCCUUUCUCAACAAUCCAAAGUUAGCUUUGAUUUUUUCAAUUUCUAUAUAGAACAUUCGGCUUAUGGAAAUAAUUAGAAGUUGACUACUACAUGUUUGUUAUCUGAUAUAUUUCGGCCCAUUAGGCAUUUUCUUUAUUUAUUCGUCGACACUUAGAGGCCCGAGAAUUAAUAUAUUAUUAAGCCCAUGACAAACGUUUUUUUUAAAGUUGGGAUUACGGGUUAGUGCUAGAAACCUUAUAUAUUUUCUGGUUCUGAUUACAACUUUGUGUUUGGUUGAUUUCUCCAAGCUUUGAGCCUCAGAUAAGCCCACCCUACCAGUAGCCUUGUAUACACUACUUAUUGAUUGGUUUAAUUUCUUUGCACUAUAAAAACAUUUACUGUAACGCAAGAAAACAAAUCUUUCGAGUAUAAAUAAUAGAGUGAAGAAAUGAUAAAGAUAAAAGCUUAGUGAUAAGCUCGUUAUCGAAUUACGUUUGUUUUGACGAAAUUUUCCAAUGUUAGAACAUGGAAGUAAUUAAUAUAUAAAAACUUUAUACUCGUACAGACCACUACGUUAUGUGUGACACGAAACAUAAACGUAUUAAUAGUCAUCGGAUUUAAAUAAACACACUUUGGUAGGACGUCUUGUCCUUCACCAACAGAAGUCAUUAACCUUCGCUUGUCGGUAAACUUUACAUUUCAGGGGAAAAGACAAAGAUUUAAAGUUAUAAUUCGAAAUUUCGAACAACGAGAAACUUGUAAUUAUAUUUAUAUAAAAAAAAAAAACAAGAACAAGACAAACCUCCUAAUCAAGGGGAGAGAUAGAGAUGGGCAAAGUCAUCUAGAGACUCCAAUAUGUGACUCUGGUCUCCGUUUUCGAGCAACCACAGAAGAUGGUCGAACAAAACGACCUCACAUUUCACCGUGAUUAUACAACUUCCAUCCUCUUUAUCGUCUCCUUCGUAUCUCUGUUGCUUCUCUACGAGAGCGUUGAGCAGGGGAUGCUUCAGGUGUUUCUUACUGAUCAAGUAAGGUUUCUUCGAACGUCCAACCAACACUGUCUGGUACAAAAACGGUGUAUGGCCUUGGUCGACGUCAUGGAGAUGCUCUUGGCUAUCUCUCCUGGCCGAUUGGGAUCUGAGACUUGUGUAAGAAUAUGAACGACCCAAUUGUGUGGACACGCUCUUGCAUCUCCUGAGCAUCAUCAUUAACCUCAUCUUCUUCAUCAUUGAUCCAAAUCUACUGGCCCUCUAUCUCUCUUUUAUUUUGCUGUUUUAAGAAGACACUUGAAACAUACUCAGAAAGUGAGAAUAGUGUUUAUAUUUAAAGAGGAGCGACAAGGUAAGGUGCUACGUCUCUCGAUUCUUAAACAAUUUAAUUUAUAUAAUCAAGGUUAGCAACUAAUUUUUCUCCACUUUAAGUCUCAUAAGCUUCAAGAUUACUUUUCAAUCAGGUACAUUCCCCAAAUAUUAUCUUUAUGAUUUGUGUGUACGUUUUUUUUCAUCUUAUCUACCAAAGUACAUACUUACAUACUAAGAAAAUGCAUGUGUUGGCAUUGCAAUUCAAAGAGAACGUGUCAAGAAAAGAGAAACGAAGAAGAAGAUAUGAAGCCAGCACGAAAGUCCCGAAACGGACACGUCGAACCUGUCUCCCUUUAAAUACGACGGCUCAUGCCCACUCGUGAUCCCCUUAAAACCUAAAAAUGGCAAAGAACAAGGACGACAUAGAGUAUGCAACGGCUCAAGCCAAGCUUUCGGAAGAUGAACCAAUCCGUGUAAGCUACAAACACGGGACACCAUUAGAGGGAGGCAAGAUUGCAGAGUCCGAGCCUGUGGAGCUGUUCUCGAGUGCUCAGAGGAUCGAACAGGGAAAAGAUCAGUCAGUCUCUGGCGGUCAAACACAGAUGCAACGUGACGUUAAAGAUCUCCGCGGAACACGUACAGAUGAUAGUCCUCGUUAAAGCUACAGUUUGGUGGGUUUGCUUUGUUCUCUAUGUGUACGAGUGUAGACAACUGUUGCUGUCUUAAUAAAACGGACUGGAGCAUGUUUAUAAGAGCAAUCGAUAACUUCAAUCUCUAUUCUCAAAUAAACACAUCAUAUAUGUAAACCGUUUCCUCAGAAACAAAAUCUCAGUUUAGCCAUCACUGCAUCUAGUAUAUAAAGGAAUGAACCAAAAUAUGAAUAGAGUGUGACUGGGAUUGUUCAACAAAAGCUUAAUGCAAAAAUCACAAAAGGUUCAAAACUGAUGCUGUUUUAAAGUCGAGAAACUAGAAAGAUAUUACACAACAGAGAUAGUCUUCGAACUACUUAGAUCGCUGUCUCAUCUUUCGGCGCUUCCUCUUUAGUCUCCUCAUACGCUUCUUCUUCCACUGUCCAAAACAAAUGUUCAAUCACAACAAUAACAUUAAUACAAUAUAUUAACCAGAGGCAAUAACCAUAUCAAGACUAAGAAUUUUAAUGGUCAAAAAGCUUCUACAAACUUGUAAUGAACGAUACAUAAUCUUAUGGAAAAAAACAAAAAGUCAUCACUUAUCUAAGUAGAUCGCAUUGAAAUCGAUAAGCAAAGCAAAGGCUAGAGAUUACCAAUUACAUCAAACCUAGUUCUAACAAGCGUAUACUCAGUAACCAAUCUAAUAACGUUGCAACGCUAGAUUUGCUCUAUAUAUGUAAAAGUAUCAAAUUCCAUAAGAGACUAAAAAAAUUGACAAUGAAAUCUCUAGAGCAGCAAAUAAAUAAGAACAAUCUGCACAUCCAAGAAUCUAUGAAACAAUCAUUGGCAAAUUAGAGGAAAUGAUCAUAUACCUUGGCUCUCAUCUUGCAAUCGUCGUUUCGCUCGCCGUCCACUCCACUUUAGGGAGGAAGAAGAGUCUUUAAAAUAUAUAGCUAGGGUUUUGCUUACCUCACAAAAAAAAAACUGAAAAGGCCGUGAUAUUGUAAAUGGGCCCUAAAAACUUAAGGCCCAUGUAACGACGAGAUGAUUAGAUUAAAUUAGUAAGAGAAAUGAGAGAGAGAGAGAACAAAGAAGAAGAAAGUACAUAGAUGUAGUACAGCGAGAUAGAUUGUGAGAAGAAGACAAGACAAAACAAAAGUGCUGUUUUCUUCUUCUUCUUCUUACCCAUCAACACAUACUUCCAAUUUUGACUUUAACAGUGAUAUAACUCAUAUAUGUCCUCAUCAUUAUUGCCAUUGCAAUCACAUCUAUGAUAUUUUUGUAUGUUUGCUGCGUUCUGAGCUCUUUAAUUUAUUAUAUAUAUACUACUGUAAACAGUGAUAUUAAAUACAUAUGUCGCAUUUGGUUCACUGUAAAGAACAGCUAAGAACCCAUCUCAAGCUGCCCUCUCUUUUCUUUCUGCAGCCAAUAUGUAUGUCCCCUUGUUUCAUUCACAUUUCACCACCCUUCCCUAAAUGCCAAUACAAGAGAGAGGAGAGAGAUGUUCCAUAUAUAUACUUACUAUAUUAUAUGGUUGGUCAGAGACGAGAGAGGGAGCUAGGGACUUACCACCAACCUGAUUUAUUGCAAUGGUAUUAUUACCAUUUUAUGCAUUAGAGAUAUAGCAUCCUAGCUGUUGAUCUUUUAUCACACUCACACUAUCUAUACUAUAACAAUUGUUGCCAGUUUAGGAUAAGGACGUGCAUUGUAUAUCAAUUUAUAAUAAAGUUUUUUACAUGUACAUAUUCCAUAUAGAGAACGAAUUAAACCACUUAACCACACAUGCAACUAACUAUGCAAACAAAUCCGAGAGUUUAGCUAGGUUUCACGACGGGACAUGUUAAUAUAUGAAAGUCUAGUAGCUAGAAACAACAAGACGUACGUGGCUUACCUAAGGUUUUAUAGGGUUUUUAAUACUAUUAGAUUUUUGUCUAUGGGUGGUAUUAAUAAGUCUUUGUCGUCCUAGGAAAAGUGAAAACUAGGACAUGUUAAUGUCCAUUUGACGUACUAAAAAAAAUCGGGUUAUCUAUUUCUUCUAACUAAUUCCUCCUCUCUUGUCGGCCUUUCCUGUUUAGGCCACUUGUCGUGGCUCGUUAUCACGGUAUAAACAAUAUAUAUAUAUAUAUUAGAUGUGGAAACAAAUAAAGUAUAUAUAUAUGGAGAAAAGAAAGAGGCAAAGAGACAUAUAAAUUUAAAAAGCAUCAUGCAUGAGAAUCAAAUAAGAGAGAUAGAGAAUCUAUCAGAGGGCGCAAGACUGGGAAGCAUCACGUUCUCUUCUUCAUUUUCCCCACCUCUUCUCUUCUUACUCUUUAACUUUUCUAUCCGUUUUUUUUUAUUAUUAUUUACUUUUGUUUAUUUGGUAAAUAUAUAUAUAUAUAUAUAUGUAGACAAAAUAUUCCAAAUACUUCUGUUACAAUUAUUUUAAAGUUGUAUUUACAUCAUUUAUAGAUUGAAAAGAAGAAGAAGAAAAAAAAACACAUAAAAGGACGAUUCAUUCGUUCAGUUUUUUUAUGUUUAGGAGUUUACCAACUUCUCUAAAUUCAUAGAUUUUAUGUAAAAUUAAACUGUCCAUAUCAUGAGUCUUAAGUAAAACUAAAACUUCUAUAGAAGAAUCCAGUGUUACUAUUUAACGAGUUGAAGUAUAAAAUAUCUUAGCCACUUCAAUUAUUUUACACCAUUUGGAUUGAAGGCGACUCGUGAGAGGAAACAUCCCUUGAAGUUGGUGAGUAAAAAUUGUAGUAUAAUGUGUGGCUGAAAAGCUUUAAUAUUUAUAUAUGUGAUUGAAAAAACAAAAAAUGUAGUAAUCAGUGAGUGUUAAACACUGUUUUUUACGCUCCAAAAUCCAAAAAUAAUUGGCAAGAGGACGAUGGGUCCCUAUUCAAGACCGGUCAAAAGACCAUCGCAGAUUUUUGUUUUCAGAGUCUGUUUUGUUUUUAUGGCGUAUAUAUUGAAAAUGAUAUUUCAAAAACAUCAAAUUGCAUGCUUAUACAGAUUAACUCUUAAUGUAACCCCCCCUUUACGUUCAUAAAUUAAAUGAAUGUUUGAUUUUGCGAAAUGAAGGAAACUAUAUAUUAUAUAUCUUCUUAGGGUUCUCAUUUUACCCAAAUGCUACUUCUUAGUUCAAGACCAAGAGUAACUUUCUAAAGACAUAUCUACAUAUUAGCUAGGUAAUUAAUAACCACUAGACUUGUUAUAUAUGGUUAGUUUGUCACUUGUCAGCAACUAAUAACAACAUUUGACAUAAAUUUAUAGGAGUAAUUAUCUUUUGAAUCACUUCAAAACAUUAGUUUCAAAUGGAUCAAACAAAUACAGACUAAUCCUAUUGCGAAUUGUAAUAAUUUCAUUAUUCAUAGAAACUAUUCUACAGUUAUGCCAUCAGUUUUGUCUAUGAACCAAUUAAGAACUAUUGAAAAAUGGUCUACAACUGAAUUAUUAUUUGUCCCACGAGUAAAGUAGUCUAAUUCACAAACAAUUUUUUGAACACUAGUUUGAUAUUUAUAUUGAUAAAGAAAAAUGUUUACAUAGUCUUGAAAUAAACAAGUAUUUGGGAAAUAACUUGUUAUCCAUGAAUAUUAGCUUAGCCAAAAUGUCUGCAACUUAAUCCGCUUUUAUACGUGCAACGAAUGAAAAACAAAUGAUAAACACUUAAACAUAAGCUCGUAGCCUUCUUCUUCUUGUAUGUGUGAUGUGUGUGCUUGUAUACUUAAACACAAGCUUAUGUACUUGUAUAUAUAAUUGUGGUCACUACAUUGAGGUGAGGACGGACGAAGGAAGGAAGCAUCCAACGGAUGGGAUUGAAAACACAGUGUUCGAGAACGACCAGCAACUUUUAUUUGUGAUGUAGCUGCUCUUUCUCAUUUAUUUUGUAAUGUACGUAAAUUUUUUUGAAAAGCUAAAUUAUUGGAGCCAACUUCAAUUUUUUUACUCGAAACAUUUUUACUGACAUCUUUCUUCACGCUUUGACACAUUUCACCAUUUUACCCGUCAGUUUUAUGGUUCCUUUUUUUUAAUGUCCCUCAGUUAUAAAAACAAAUCCCUAAUACUAUUAUUCAAUCAAAGCUUCAAGUAAUUAUACACGGUUUAUGAAUACUACUAUUAUAUACGCCGGAGAUCGACAAGUAGCAAUACUUGAUCUGAGCAAACAUGGUAACAAAGCUGUCUCUGAAUCCUUAAACAAUAUAUUAUUACACAAGAAUAAGUUGUUGAGACUAGACUUAAAAUAACGAUGAACUAACUAAAGGCGAUACGGAGAGGAUUUGCGUUUUGGAUUUGUCUCUCUAAUAUAACAUGCAGGAUCAUUAUUAAAGUGAUUAAUAAAAAGGAGGAGAACAAAAGCUGUCGCUCCCUAAAGUGUAAAUACAAAUUUCAUGAUAAAGUACACACAGACUGACUGUGCCAAUGUGUCAAAAAAACUAGUUUAUAUUAUCUAAGCAUGUGGUUAAUAUCUUCGGAAUCCAUCUCUGAACAUGGGAAGCACUUCCUCUCGCUACAGUAAUUAAUGACUACUGACUUGGGCUGUAUCGAACAACCCGCUCGCUCUCUACGUACAAUAACCUCAACGGAAAAAAAAAUACAAUACAACUCUCAAAAUACUUAAACCUUAAUUACAUUCUGAACCCAAAUUCUAAUCUCAUCUAACGAAACAGCCCCAAUUAUAAACUAAAAGCGAAUGUUUUAACCCCCUAAAAUACAAUUUAGAAUCCGGUUCGGUUCUUUAGAGUUCACUGGUCGGUUCAAGUCUGGUUCGAUUUGUACGGUUCUUUGUGUUGUUGCUCUGCAGCUGAGCUCUGUUUCCGGACGACGAAGACGAUGAAGAAGAAGCGAAAAGUUGCCCGAAGAAGAGACCUGAUUUGGGUCCGCUACGGAGAGAAGAGACAGGAACAUUGAGGACAGGAGUGAUUCUUACAUUAGCGGAGUGAGAUCUCGGCAUUCCAUGGUGGAGCUUCAUUCUUGGUCCUCCGGUGAAGUUACCGGGACUGCUUGAGCUUCUCUCCAGUCCAUGAAACACGAUCUUCCCUGAUGCAUUCAGUCUUGGACUAUCAGCCGUCACCGUCAUUCCCCUUGACUCGACACUACUCUCUGUCGAUUCAUCAGCCGGCGUGUGACGUCUUGGCUUCCUCGGAUGGUUCAGGUUGCGUAAGUGGUGGUGGUGGUUGGCACGUGGCCGAGCGAAGGGGUUUGGUGUUCCGGGUUUGUUGUCAAGAUCUAGAGAUAGUCUUGGAAGGUCCUCGAGCUCGUGACCGGAGGACGAAGAAGACGAGAGCGAGAGGCGCGACGAGGAGAUCGACGUUGACGAAGACUCCAUGACGUCUGAGUCUUUUCCCGGCGGCGGAGGAGACGGUGGUUGAGCGGUGGAUUUGGAACCCCGGUUGAGAAAAUGUCUAAACGAUGCCGUUUUCGGGUUUGGAGAAGAAGAUGACAAACGCGACGAAGCUGAAGCUGACGCUUCUUCUUGUGUUUUAGCGAGUCUCUUAAGACCUAAAAGCUCACGCCAUCUCACGGUGCAACGAGGAGCUCUCGGAGAGAAGAGGUAAGGAUCGGCGACGCCGGAGAUCUCCAUCUCUAUUCUUCGGCAUGGUUUAACCGUUGUGUUAACCUCCGACGUUAUAGGCUUCUCCUCCGAAUUAGUCACGCCGGAAAACUUAAGCGGGACUAGCUUUCCGUCGGAGAAAAGCUCGUCGGCGGACAGCAUUGUGACGGGAUCUUCGAGAAGAAACUCAAAGUCGUCGGCAAGAUCUUCCGACGGUUGAGAUUCACGGGUCAAUGACAUUUUGGAGCUCGUCCAAGAGUGACUCGCCGAGGUACCAACAUUUUUAACGCAACCCGACGCCANNNNNNNNNNNNNNNNNNNNNNNNNNNNNNNNNNNNNNNNNNNNNNNNNNNNNNNNNNNNNNNNNNNNNNNNNNNNNNNNNNNNNNNNNNNNNNNNNNNNNNNNNNNNNNNNNNNNNNNNNNNNNNNNNNNNNNNNNNNNNNNNUAGAUUCUCACAUCCAAACACAGACACGUGUUCUUUUUUAACUUGAUUCACUCGCUUUUGGGUAAAGAUGCGGGUCGGGCCGGGUCUGAAAGUAAUAACCAAUUUGGUUAGAUAUUUAUUUUAUCCUCUGUUACGAGAAACAAUAUAAAUUGAAUGUUAUAGAUAUUUUGCAAAUAUAUUGACCUCUUUUAUUUAUAAGAUGAAAAUAUAGGGAAUGGUUCGAUUGUAUUCAGAAUUUUACUCUAAUGAGAAAUAUAUCUUACCUGCUGGAGUCCAUUUGUAUAUGGUCAGAUUCAAAUACCACGUACCAAUAAAUCAAGUCCGAUCAUUCAUAAGUACAAGGAAUUUUUAUGAUAUUUUUGACACACCUAAUCUAUUUUAUGUUUUUGAUCGGUACAUGUUAGUCUUAACAUGUAUUCUAACAUGCAUUCUCGUAUAUUGUAUGUAAUUAGCAAUGUGCCCUUUUUGCAUGGUUUGGGACUUGCAAAGUCUUUGUUUUUGUCAAACUUAAGACUCGUGCAUGUGUUCUAUAUGGUUUUUGAGAUUAAUAUUUUGCUGGGAAAUAUUUAUAUUACAUGCCCAAGCAAAUAUACUUUUCCGUGUAUAUAUAAUAUUAGAGCAUUUUAAAUGGAUCGACUGUUGUACCACACAUCCACACCCACAUUCUCCAAAGAUUUAUGUUACAUCCAAUCCAGUAGAAUAGACAAAUUUCUCUCAAAGUACAAUAAUAUUACACGAAAACGAGAAUGGAGUUUUAUUUUAUUUUUGUCUUCGUCGAAAGUAGCAUUAAAAAGUAUGCAUUGAAAUUUAGGCAAGUCAAAGAUAUUAAUUUGGUUUGUCUCCCAUAAUUAAGCUGGUACGAUACGAUCAUUCCAUAGAUUUACCGAUUCACCUUUAACUUCAAAUGACAGCACCAGAUAAAACUUAAUGUCAUGGCCCAUAACGAAACGUGACUUGAGUGUUAAAACCAUAAAUGGUCCGACUCGUUAUUACUUCUGUACUUUUGCUUCUUCAGACUUUUUUUUACUGUUUUUGUGGCGACACAAAUUAUUUCGUACAUCAUUUACAUAUUCAAUGCUCAUAACAAAAACAGCUUGAUUUCAUUGAUGAAUUAAAAGAAAAAAGAAAAAAAACAGCUACAUUGUGGAAUUAAUAUCAACCUGUUAAAUAUAUACUGCUUCUCUUUUAUUUUCACAAAGGCAGAAAAAAUUUAUCGAUUUAUUACAUAUACUGAGCAUUAAAAAUGGCCUAGAACUUUUGUUUUUAGGAUAACUUUAAAAAUUUGAUGGGUAAUGAAAUUUUAAUCUUAGAAAUUAAUCAAACUGAAAGCUACAUAUACUUUUAUUUUGGCAUUUAAUAUAAAAUAGUGGUUAGUUACAUGGAGGAUUACAGAUUGUAAUAUUGAAGUUGACUUUAUGGGUUGCUAAUUAUUUAUACCACUGUUCCUCUUUCCUCUUCUGAUCCUCAAUAUAUAUACUCCUGAAUCCCUGAUAUAUCCUCUCAAUCUCUCUCGCGCUCUCUAUCCCCUCUUUAUUAACGUAUCAUCAUAAUCAUCAUCAGAUGAUAUAUAAACACUAGUUAACUAAAAUCUUCAUGAUAUUAAUAGAAAUGGAGAAUAAAGAAGAGAAGAAGGGCUUUAUAAGUAUGGUUGAGGCCAACCUACCUCCUGGGUUUAGAUUUCAUCCCAGAGACGACGAGCUCGUCUGCGACUACUUAUUGAGAAGAACCUCUCGCAACCUUUAUCAACCUGUUGUCUUGAUCGAAGUCGAUCUUAACAAGUGCGACCCCUGGGAUAUUCCUCGUAAGUAACUUUUUAUGGUUUCUGAUCUUUAUAUCUCGUUUACUCAUCACCGAUUCAUUUAACUGAUCCAAAACGUUAUAUUUGUAUAUACCAUUCGAUUGUUUCUUAUACUAUAUACUAUUAUCGAGUACAAGAUGAUCAUCACUUGUUGAUAGAAACAAUUAAACGUUCUGCUUGUGAGCCACCUGCAAAUUAGUAUAUUUAUAUUUCUUCUUAAGGAAUUUCUCGUGAAAAUAAUAUUUAACAGUGCAAUUUAUUUAUACCAGUUUACAUAGUAAAAAAAAAAAAAAACCAAUCAUCCUAAUCCUACAGACGUGUUGGAUGCAUAUUGGAUGCUUUGGUAAUUAGGAAAUAGGAACCUAGUGGCCGUUUUAAGAUAUGAUGCGGAUAGAAAUCAUUUGGAUAUUAUUGAAUACAUGUCAUCAAGAUAAAGACAAUUCUGAAAAGAGAAUUCCCUUUAUAUCUUAUCAUUAUAAGUUUCCUAAUAUAUAUCGGAGGAAACAUUCAACGCCUGACUUCUUAUCAAUGUUUUAAGUUCGAUGGUACAUUUAAAAAAGGAUAAUUUUCAGAAACGGCGAGAGUGGGAGGAAAAGAAUAGUAUUUUUACAGUCAAAAAGAUCGGAAAUAUGCAACAAGGCAAAGAACAAACCGGGCUACGGUCAUCGGUUAUUGAAAAGCCACCGGAAAAGAUAGAGUAAUCCAAAGAAAUGGUAGGCUCGUUGGUAUGAGAAAAACACUUGUGUUUUACCGUGGUCGUGCCCCUAAAGGUCGUAAAACCGAUUGGGUCAUGCACGAGUUUCAUCUCCAAGGUUUACUUCUUCACCACCCUCGUAAUUAUCUCAAGGUAAUUCUUCUCUCCUUUUUACUCUGUUUCUUGUUCCACAAUAAAUUACGUUUUAGGAUUUACCGUAACUUUAAUGAACUUAAUAAUAUAUACUUUUAUCCUACUUACUUAACAAUAUAUAUAUAGUUGGAAUUCGAAAAGUCAAUUUGAUUAUAAGAGACAUAUAAGAGAACGAAUUUUGUGAAACAAUCAAUAUGAAAUAAAGGUUCUUCUGACGGUUUCACUAUUUGUGGCUGAUCUAAGAUGAUCUUUGACUUGGCACACAUAUAUGCUCUUAACCAUAAUUUUGACAAAUUUGCUUUCUUGGAAAAUGUUAACAGGAAGAAUGGGUAUUGUGUAGAGUUUUCCACAAGAAUAACAACAUAGCUGAUAGAGACGACAACACAAGCGGUUCUGAUGAAACAACUACCACAUUGAUGGAAUCUAAUUACAUCAACUUUGAUUAUGACAACAUCAUCAAACAGCAUGUAUCAUGCUUCUCCAAUUUAUCACAUAACCAAAUCAACGGCAACCAAUCUAGUUUAGUCUCCAAGAACUCCAACUCGUUGUAUAAUGCUUCCUCUGAUCAAAUGGUUCUCCGAACUUUGCUAAAUCAGUUCACCAAAAAUGUCGAGAAAUCGCAGAGUUACAGAGAAGGAAGCUCAUCAGAGAGCCAGUUGAGGACAUUGGCAUUCCAAGCCACACAUAGAAUUACUGAUUAUGGUUAAGUGUUACCGUAGCAUCUCGAUCACUAUGUAGAAGAAUCAUAUUCAUGGUUGGAAACAUUUAUUCACCCCUCUUAUGUAAACUUUUAUACCAUAAUGGAUCACUCGACACUCAUAUAACACACACGUAUAUAAAACAUAUAUAUAUAUAUAUAUAUAUAUAUAUAUAUUUGUUUUAACUUAAUGUAACUUUAAACACUUACAAAAAAAGAAAAAUAAUAAAAUCGUACGUUACAAUGAUAUUUAAUAACACUUUACGUUAUGUACUUAUGUAUAUUAAUGAAAAGUUAAUAAGAUCUAUUAUAUUGAUCGCGUUUACUGUUUGGGCUAUGCAACAUCGUCCCGUUACGGAGGUCCAAAAACAGCAAGUCAAAUCAAAUAACCCACCGAAAAUUACGAAAUUAGUCAUAUCAUUAUCGGGUGAAAAAAAGGGAACAAAUCUGAGGUAGAUUUAUACUUUAAAUAUGAUUUUGACUUUUGUGGAUGAGAGAGAAAACAAAAAAAAUAUUCAAAGGCUUCGGUCUGAAUAAUUUUUCCGAUUGGGUAAAAAAAAAGUAAGAAGAUCCGGGUGUUGAUGUGUUCUGUCCGUUGGAUUUAAUAAUAUACCUUAUUAACCUGUUGAUUUUUUUUUGUUUUGUUUUCCAUAAAUCAUGAUUAUACCUACACUACAAUAAGUUAGUUGGUGGUAAAAAGGAAAAGGAAAAAUCGGCGUUUAUGCACCAAAAAGGGAUAUUUUGUGGUAAGCCGGUCAUAAUCCAAAGCCCACCGACCUUUCCCCUUCCUCCGUCGUCGUUCUUCUUUUGUCUUUCGCCGUUUGUUUCCUUAUUCGGCAUCCAGUUUUUUUGUCCCCAUCCUCUUCCUCCGUCGUCUUAUUGCGAAUUGCCUUUUUCUCUAUUGGAAUUGCUGAUUUCCCCCAAGUAUUGCAGGUUUAGGGUUUUUUUUUCUUUUAUGGUAUUGUUCCAUUCAUUAAUUCAACUGGUUUCGAUCUUGAGCUAGGGUUGGUGUUGAAAUUACAUAAUUUCCCCAAAAUUCGAUUUAGUUGGAUGUCAAUGGGAUGAAUUUUUCUAUCUGUAUGUAACUUGGUGUAAUUCACGAGCUAGGGUGGUGUGCGUUUCCUUCUGUAUUUUUGGUUACUGUAUCCUCUAACUCAAUUUUGUUUUUUUAAUAAUAAUUGUAGACUGUGUUAGCUUAUCGUAGUGGUGAUGAUCGUGUGUCUUUGUUGGCGGGGCUUUUAGCUCCACAUUCUUCUGUUGCAAGUGUUUUUGAGUCAUAUUGAGAAUGGCUCAGGGGCAGAAUAGGAAUGUUCUUCAGCCUGGACAGAUUCAGAAUCCUGCUUCCAGUGUUUCUUCUCAGCAUAAUGCCUCUUCUCGUGAUACUCUCGGAGUACGGCAGGAUAUGCUCAAUAGAAUGUAAGAAUGUUUCUCUCUUGCAUUUUUACUUCCUUUUGCUGUCUGCUUUCGUGUAUUGUGUUUGCUGUCUAUUCCAUUGUAUAUCUUGUUGUUCUCUAGUGCACAUAUGAUAUUACUAGUCGUUUAUGAAGUUAAUUUCCUUCUCUCCUUUAUCAACUUUUGGAUUGGGGUUUGGUUUUGUAACUAGUCCUAUGGUCUUAAACCUUAAGGGAACUCGUGCAUUCACUAUACUCUUUAUUUAUUUGAUUGUUGAGUUGAUCUUAUGUUUUCGUAAAAUUUAUGUGCAUGGAGAACGCUCUUAUUUAUUUGAUUGUUACCCAUUAUUUCUCAUUCUCCCCAGCUACGCUUGGUUACAGCAGAGGCAGCCUUCAAAGACUGAUGAGGCCUCCAAGGCAAAGUUGUUUGAGGUUGCCAGACGGUUAGAGAAUGCAAUGUUGAAAAUGGCUAAGUCAAAGGUUCCCCCACUUUUGAUCUUCUCAUUUCCACAGUUUGUUAAAUGUUUUCUAGCUAGUCGCAAAUUAUACUUACAAACAGAAUCACUUAGAUGUUUUAGUGUUGCACAGCUGGUCAUUGUUCUUGAUGAUAAUUUCUUUUUGCAGGAGGAUUACUUAGAUUUCAGAAGUUUUGAGGCUCGCAUAGAGUCCACUCUGAAACAACUGUUUAGUCAGCGCCAUGCUAAUCCUUCAAGCUCGGUCAGUACGAUGGUUCAGACACCUGGGGUUUCGCAUGGAUGGGGUCAAAGUUAUACAGCUACCCCUAUGGUGGAUAUAAGCACAGUCAAUAGCAGUAAUAACAUACCGGAUGCAACAUUUGAAACUGGAAGGCUAUUGCCAACUAAUCGCAUGAACCGAGGUAAUAUCAGUCAGAGAUGAUGAUAAGUUCUCCGUAUGCCUGUAAGGUUUGACCCAACAAAGAGCCUGUCCUGAUUCAAUCUUCAUACACUUUUUUUCGACAGGUUCAGUAAAUAAUGGUCGCCAGCAAUUAUCUGCAGUUGGCCAGAUGAUUCCUACUCCUGGAUUUGACAAUAGUGCUAGUACUGAUGUAUAUCACUCUCAUCGAAAUGACGAAUACGCUAGAGAUCCAUCUCAGCUUCUUACUGCUGGGUCGGACUUUGGAAAUCCAUCCCAGCUUCAGAGGCUACGUCCUACUGCUUCAAAUGACCAUAUGCGUUACAACCUUGAUCACCAAUUGGGAGGUGCUUUCAGGUCAAAUCUUCAUCAGAAUACAUCUGGGAUGACCAAUAUUCCUCUAAAUGCUGGUGUAGGGAUAAGUGGGAACAAUGUACACCUUGCUACUGGGCCCAGGACUUCUGAAGUCCUCAGUUCUGCACAGUUUUCAACUUUAUCCCAACCCUUUCAGCAGCCUGUCGAUCAGUUGCAGGUGUCACAUGCGAACAGUAAAUCUCUCUAAUUUUCCUUUUAUCUUAUGCUAUUUAAAUUUCAAUGCUCUCUUGAUUGGCUCCCUUAGCCUUACCUUUCUGGCGAGUAUGUAACUCAUGGUGGUAUGCUAAUUGGAAGUUGCUUUCAUCAUGUGAAGGAUACUCAAUGAGCAACUCUAAUACUUUUGGGUCUGGGGAUCUCUAUGGAGCUCUAACAUCAUCUGGCUCAAUGGGAACUGCUGUGGAUAUGAAUUCAAUGAGCCUGAAUCCUAUGCGGAGAGUUGAUGCUUCUUUUGGUAGUAAUCAGUCAAGCCUGCAAGCAGUGGAUAACAAUCCGUUGCUAAAAUCUCAACUACGUCCUCAGUUCGAGAAUGGGAAUUUCCAAUCUUCUUCCAAUUCCAAAGAAACUUUGGCUCAGGUGAGUCAUCGACCAUUAGAACAUCGUUUCAACCAACAAGUUCAUCAUGGUCAAUACCAUCAACAAGAGCACUUACUGAACAAUGACACGUAUCGUCAAUCUCAGCUAGAUUCAAAUUUAGUUAGUAAAGUUAAGCAUGAACCACGCGUGGAAUACUACAGUGAAGCUUUUCAGAUGCAGGCUAUAAACAAAGUAGAACAAUCCAAGUCGCAAAACCAGUACAAGCAGAAUGCUGUCAAAGACGAGUAUGGUGGUGCCCAGAGUACACCAGUUUGUAGUAGCCAGCUAAAGAUUUCUCCAUCAUUUCCACCACGAAGUCAACAGACGCAGCAUCUAUCACAAAGGAAAGAUUUGAGUAACUUCUCAGCUGGAGUGCAGCCAGUAUCAGGUCUGGGUCAGUGGCAUUCAUCUUCGCAGAACUUAACACAAGUAUCAAAAAAUUCUAAUGAAGAGAGAGAACGUUUUGGGGUAAGAUUUUCUAUGCAUCAUGAAGGAACUAAUAAUAGUUUAUCUGUUAGAGAGUCUACAAAUUGCCAAAUUGUUGCUCCUGAAGGCACCUUGGAGGCUCCACAUCUCUCAGAAGGAAGCAACGCCUUGAGUAAACAGCUGAAUGGAGAUUGUGGUCUAAGUUACAAUAAUCAGAGGCGGUGGCUUUUGUUCCUGCUACAUGUACGUAAAUGCAAUGCUGUGGAAGAUAACUGUGAAAGCAAGUAUUGUUUUUCUACGAAAACUCUAUUGAAACAUAUCAAUUCCUGCAAGGCCCCUGCUUGCGCAUAUCACUAUUGUCUUCAAACCCGGAAAUUGAUUCAUCAUUACAAGCACUGUGGGAAUGAAGCAUGCCCAGUCUGUGUUUUUGUCAAAAGCUUCAAGGAGAAACAAAAAGAAAAACGUACCUCCUUCCAAAGAGCUGAGCUAGGCUCAGCUAGUUUAAACCAUGGACCCAUAGAAUCCUUUGAGCCUAUGCGAACUUCUAAUGAAAGUGGCUUUAAAGAUCCGUUUGUUGUUGAUGAUCUGCAACCUUCUCCGAAGCGCCUGAAAGUAGAGAAACACUCUCAAUUUGCAAAUCCUGGCACACAGAGCAUCCCAACGACAAUUUCACCUGGUGGAACUGAAGCUUAUUUUUCAAUGGGUCUGCAAGAGAAAGAUAGGCUACAAAGUGAUGUCUGCAAAACGGUCAAAACAUAUGUGCCUAUGAAUGCAGAUAGUUCCGAUUCUACAAGGAGGCGUGUUCCUGUUUCUCAUGAGUUGGAGAAGCCUGUUGGUAAAGAUACUCCUAUGGGAAGACAUGGUGGUGGAGAAUCUGCAGUAGAUGGUAAAAAUGUUGGUUUAUCAGAGCAAGAAAAACCAAAGUGUUCAAACGAAAUAAGCGCACCCAAAGAAGAGAAAGCGGAGCAGUCUGUGGGCGUUGUAUCUGCAUCUAAUAACGGAAAGUCAAAGAUCAAAGGAGUCUCACUGAUUGAGCUGUUCACUCCAGAGCAAGUAGAGGAGCAUAUCCGUGGUCUUCGUCAGUGGGUAGGCCAGGUAAGCUAAAGAAAAUUUAGAUGCAAAUCUUGUUUGAUAUGAAAGAUUGAGUUUGACUAAGAAAGAUUUUCAAUUUACAUUUACUUUUUUAGGUCUCUUUGGUGUUGUCUGAAUAUUUCUACCUUUUUGUGCAUAGCUUUUCGUUUAUAAAAGACUUAGAGUUGCAUAUGGCUGGUAAUAGUGGAUAAUGCUAGUUAUUCUUUCUUCGUAUUUUAUUUCAGAGUAAAACCAAGGCAGAAAAAAAUAAAGCAAUGGGACUCUCCAUGUCUGAGAACUCUUGCCAGUUAUGUGCUGUUGAGAGGCUUGCAUUUGAGCCAACACCUAUUUACUGUACACCUUGUGGUGCACGUGUCAAGAGAAAUGCUAUGCACUAUACGGUUAUGUCUGGUGAGUCACGGCAUUAUGUCUGCAUUCCUUGUUACAACGAAGCGCGUGCAAACACUGUUUCUGUUGAUGGAACUUCUGUGCCGAAGUCAAGGUUUGAGAAGAAGAAAAAUGAUGAAGAGGUUGAAGAAUCGGUACGCCUCUUCAGUUACUGAAGUUCUGCAAUUGCUUUAUAGAAUUCCCUAUUUUAUACUUAGCUGCUCUACUCUUUUUGAACCAUUGAUUCUGUGCAGUGGGUGCAGUGUGAUAAAUGUCAAGCAUGGCAGCAUCAAAUUUGUGCUUUGUUCAACGGCCGUAGGAAUCAUGGGCAAGCAGAGUACACCUGCCCUAAUUGCUAUAUACAAGAAGUGGAACGAGGAGAAAGGAAACCAGUAUCACAAAGUGUUAUUCUGGGGGCAAAAAGUUUGCCAGCCAGUGCUCUUAGCAACCAUUUAGAACAGCGGUUGUUCAAGAAAUUAAAGCAGGAAAGACAGGAGAGGGCUAGACUUCAAGGAAAAAGCUACGAUGAGGUGAUUAUUAAAUUUCGAUAAAUCUUGGGUUAUUUUCCACUGCAUAUCUCUAUCGUGACUGCUGCCGGGUUUAACCCCACAUUUAAUUAUAUCAUGUUGAUUUUUUUGAAAGACAUAUCAAGUUGUGCUUACACACAGGAGACACGAAAUCAGCUAGUUUAUGCCGUCUAUUGUUUGAAAAUUCACCUAUAUGGUUAAAGCCUAUUUUCUUAAACUGCUCUUUCCUAUAACAAAGCUAAGUAAGAUACCAAUCAAAUUUCCUUCUUUGUUGAUAUAUCAGGUUCCGGGAGCCGACUCACUUGUUAUCAGAGUUGUGACAUCUGUCGACAAAAUACUUGAAGUAAAGCCACGUUUCCUUGACAUUUUCCGUGAAGAUAAUUACUCAUCAGAAUUCCCUUAUAAGUCUAAGGUACAGACUACAUAUGCUUGGUUCUUAUUUGUUUUAUGUUUUCUAAUUAUGCUCUCCUUCUACUACAUAAGGUCUGCUAACUAUCAACUUCCGUACUAUUCAGGCCGUUCUGUUGUUUCAGAAGAUUGAAGGUGUUGAAGUAUGCUUAUUUGGCAUGUAUGUCCAGGAAUUUGGAACUGAUUCUGCGUCUCCCAAUCAGCGGCGGGUAUACCUUUCCUAUCUGGACUCAGUUAAGUACUUUAGACCUGACGUUAAAACAGUGUCUGGAGAAGCCCUCCGUACGUUCGUAUACCAUGAAAUUCUGGUGAGCUGCUUUUCUUCUGACAGUUGCUUACAGGCACCUGUGUUGCUGCACAAGUCUAAUCAGCAAUGGCCCUUUUGGAUUGCAGAUUGGUUACCUUGAUUACUGUAAGAAACGUGGGUUUUCAAGCUGCUAUAUAUGGGCAUGCCCCCCACUUAAGGGUGAAGAUUAUAUUCUAUAUUGCCAUCCUGAAAUUCAGAAAACGCCAAAGACUGACAAACUUAGGGAAUGGUAUGCAGUAUAUAUUUUAUUGUGAUACUUGUUUUUCACGUGGAAGAGAGAAAAUUACAUCAUUAUAUGAUGCAUAAUACUCCUUCCUUAACAGGUAUUUAGCAAUGCUAAAGAAAGCUUCCAAGGAGAAAGUGGUGGUUGAGUGUACAAACUUCUAUGACCAUUUUUUCGUUCAGUCUGGUGAAUGUAGAGCUAAGGUAACAGCAGCACGGUUGCCAUAUUUUGAUGGCGACUACUGGCCAGGUGCCGCUGAGGAUUUAAUAGAUCAAAUGAGCCAAGAAGAGGAUGGCAAAAAGUCCAAUAGAAAAUUAAUGCCCAAAAAGGUCAUAUCCAAAAGGGCUUUAAAAGCAGUAGGUCAGUUGGACCUUUCUGUUAAUGCCUCGAAGGAUCUCCUGCUGAUGCAUAAAGUAACUUUUUAUACUCAUUGUGUUUUUCUGUUCAUUCCUUUGUUAAAGAAAGAGAAUAUCUCACUCGCCUGUAACUUUUCAUUGUUUUCUUUCUCUGUAGCUGGGUGAGAUCAUCCUCCCAAUGAAGGAAGAUUUCAUCAUGGUUCAUUUGCAACAUUGUUGCAAGCAUUGUUGCACUCUCAUGGUGUCUGGAAAUCGUUGGGUGUGCAACCAGUGUAAGAAUUUUCAGAUUUGUGACAAGUAAGUUUUACUUAUUGGCUCGCUUUGUUUAUUUGUUGCUUGAUAGUUUAAUUAAAUCAACUAUAUUGGGGUGCAAUAUAAAUUCAAAAUCUCCAAAAUAAUGAUGAAAUAGCCAGGAAAAAUGAUUUUUCUUCGCUGAACUAAAAAGCAAACUCUAGUACAUGUGCUGGAGGGGAGUCUUGUUUUAUAAUGGGAGCCAAUGUUAGCUUUAAUGCACUUGGCGUUUUCUGAGUUUGUUAGGUUAGAUCUGAUAGGCGUGCCUGGGAGGUGUAUAUAUUGUUUGGCUGCAUCUCACUAGCUUUCUUUUACCACAGGUGCCAUGAAGUGGAAGAGAACCGUGUGGACAAGGAGAAACAUCCCGCCAAUCAGAAGGAGAAGCAUGCACUCUUUCCUGUAAGUUUCUACGGCGGAAGAGCUCUAAGAAUCUUGUUGUUUGUCCUUUUUGGGAAAAUGACAAGGUUUUGGUCUCUGCAGGUUGGCAUUGAUGACGUUCCUACUGAAAUUAAGGAUAACGAUGACAUCCUCGAGAGCGAGUUCUUUGAUACUAGGCAAGCUUUUCUGAGUCUUUGCCAAGGUAAUCACUAUCAGUAUGACACACUUAGGCGGGCAAAACACUCUUCUAUGAUGAUUCUCUAUCAUCUUCACAAUCCAACCGUCCCUGCAUUUGCAACGGCAUGUGCCAUCUGCCAGCAAGAACUUGAAACUGCUCAAGGUUGGCGUUGCGUAGUUUGCCCUGACUAUGAUGUUUGUAAUGCUUGCUACUCAAAAGGCAUCAACCAUCCACAUAGCCUCAUUAGCCGUCCAUCUGCCACAGAUUCUGUUGUACAGAACACACAAACUAAUCAAAUUCAGUCUGCCCAGGUAUUACUUCUCUUUCAAUCUUUUAGAUUUAGUCACAUAAUUGAUUGUCCAUAUGCGUAUUCUUGUUCAUUAUUAUUUACUAAUCAAGCUGAAAUAAAUAGAUAGGCUCAGCUCCUCGUUAGGAUUUAUUAAAAUUCCUUUUGGAUAUGGUGUAGCUAGCUAAGGGACGGUUAACAUAUGUUUAGAAAAUCGUUUGCAUCCCUUGGUUUCUCUUUUCCUUAUUGCUAAAUACGGUUUGCCUUAUUGGUACUGCAGUUGAGAGAGCUGUUGCUACACGUGGUUGCAUGCUGCACUGUCCAGUGCCAGUAUCCAAGGUGUCGCCAUAUUAGGCGUCUCGUCAAGCACGGUAUUAUAUGCAAGAUCAGAGGUUGCGGCCUCUGUAAGAAAAUGUGGGCCCUCUUCAGAUUGCAUGCCCGAAACUGCAGAGAUCCCGAAUGCAAAGUCCCCAAAUGCAGGUACGUAAAUCUAAACUACUUUGAAAGCAGAUUGUCCUUGAUUAGUAGAUGUUUUGUCAAGAAGUUGAUUUGUGUACUAAUGAUCUGACACGUGUUUUGCAGAGACUUGAGAGCUCAUUAUAGUAGAAAGCAGCAACAGGCAGAUACAAGACGCAGAGCAGCGGUGAUGGAGAUGGUGCGGCAGAGAGCUGCUGAUGCAACAGCUUCCACUCCUGACUGAUGAACAGAUAGAUACUUGUUAUCUCUCUGUCAAUGGGGUCAAUGGGUUCGUGCCAGAAGUAAGGAUGCAAAUGGCAGGCGAAUCAAGAAAGAAUGAAAUAUUUUUGGUUGAUUAAUUUGGAGAUUCGAGAAGCCAGUUUAGGAGAGCUCAUGAGAAAAUGAGCAGAUGCUCUUCCACAAACUGCUAAUGUAGGUUCCAUGAGGAGGUACAUAAAUAUUUUUUCUUACAUUGUAUUCUAUAGGGUAUAGACAUGUGACUCUAUUUUUGGUGAUUCUUUUAACUGAAUCCAUUUGAAUUCGACUACUGAUAUAGAUCUCUUAACUCAGUCGUUGAUCCAGUCGUCUUGUAUAUGUAGUAUUUUUGGCAAAGCUAAUAAAUUCCAGAUUUUAAUUAUAUACUACAAACAAGCAGUGCGAGUUUUCAAUUUGAUAUUCAACUAAGGUUAUAUAUCCCAUGCAUGAGGUCCAUUAACCAUAGAAGCAGCUCGGAAUCAACAAAAAAUACACUGCAAACUAAAAAAAAACCAGAAUUAAUUUAAUGAUUCGGUAUAUCAUGUACUUUCUUUGUGAUUCAUACAAGAACACACAGAAUUCAGAAGAACUGGAUCUGACAGUUUAGCGAAACUCUGGGAAGCUUCUUAAGAGCAUUGACGAUUCUCAGGUACCUUUUAGCAUCCUUGUCUUGAUCCACUGCAACACCCAACCUUGACAGUUUCAAGACAUUUCAAAUUUCCCAAGAAAUGACUCAUCUGUUUGAGCUCUCCUCUAGCACCAUGAUACCCUGAAAUGUUUAGCAAUUUCACUUGACAUGUCGAUAAACAGCAUACCCGCUCCUCCUUCUUCUUCUUCCUCUGAUUCUUCUUAGCCCUCUUAGGGAUGCAAGCGCAGGCGUCCCCGCAUUUAUAUGUAACUUCGUGCACAAGACCCUGAAAGCAGUAGGAGAUUCAUGUACAAUAUCAAAGCAAAGGUAACUUUAGCAAAGAAACAGAAGUGUGUGUUGAUUGAACGAAACUGAUGAUACCUCGAUGACUAAAGUUCCUAGAUUUGGAGAAUUGUUGAGGAGAAGUGGCACCACUUGCCAGCCUCUUAAGGAGGUUGUGAAACACCGGCAUUGAUUGACAGCACAAGUAAAAUACCUGGAUUUAUUAUUGGCCUAACCAAGAAAAACAUGAGAGAGUUUGCUACCUAGCUAGCGUGCACUUCAGAUUGAAUCAACCAAAAGAAGGAGAAGUAGCAGAAACAGACCUCAAGAGAAUCAGCAGACAAGUGAAGGGCUUUAACAUUGCUUAUCCCUGUAACCAGACCCGUAACAUCACCAAAAACAUCCUCUUUUUCACCAUCUUCAAAACUCUCAUCACCAUCUGAAAGAUUAUGCUCCCAUGAUUGAAUAUGGAGUCUAGCUUCUACAAGGGAACUCAAAUCAACCUUAUAAUCAAAUCAACCCAGUAAGGUUUCAUUACCCAGAGCGUUUUCCUUUUGGAUCGAUUUCUUUUGAUUUAAGGAUUUGAUUUUGUUGUUCUUUGUUUUCAUGGUGUAGGUUGAAGCAUACAACCGUGAGAGUAGCUCCCAGAAGGUGAAGCGUCAUCAUACUUUGGCUAAGUCCGAAGUUUCUGGACCUACUGUUGUUGUGUAGGAAGAGACAAAAACAAAAGAAGUCCUUAGGUUAGGAAAGAGGUUCAGAGAUAUCUCGAGACCAUUUCAAAAUACCAAGGAGCUGAUUGGUUGUGGCUGACGUUUUGUCAAUUGUAACUUCAAAAUUUUGGCGGUAAAGAUUUUAGUUGUAGAUUUCUGAUCAGCAACACUAAAUAGAAACGUUGAUAUGAUCAAAAAUAAUGUAUGUUGAGACUUCUCACACUUACUGUGUGGUCCGGAUUCAUAAACAAUGUUAUUAAAUGUCUUGGAAGCCGUUAGAUAAGAAGGUAUGUUGGGUAAUGAUCAUGAUCAUGAACAGCUACCUCCCGCUGUUCAUUCUUAUGAAAUCUGUUAAAGCUUUUUACAUAUGACAGUAUUUAAAAUGUUAUUACAACAAGAUGUUGUCGGGGAGAAACAGGUAUCUGAAACGAGAAUCGAAGGGGAGUAUUCCGCAGUUACGUGAGGCGAGAAGGCUUUGUCUUCUCUGAGAGAUGCAUUGCUCCACAAAAGCCGCUUGAUGCGGAGGAAGGUACCUCGAUAUCCAGACCCCCAAGUUCGAAUCCUCCACCAAACUCUUGGCGUAACAAUGGAGCAUUUUGGGUACUAAGAGUUUCCCUUUGCUACUCAGUCCUACUGAUGCUUGUAUGAAGUCCCUUUGAGCUUCUAGUAGCUCUUCCUUCACUCCAUUCGCUGUGUAGAUCCUCACCUGCAACAAGAGAUAAAAGUCUCCAAUCUUUAGACUUCACAUUACACAGUUUACGUCAAAAAGGUGCCAUAUAGUUAGUUAGUUACCGCAGGGGAUGAGUACAUUCCACAGCUUAGAGCAAAGCCGAGAAGAGGCUCAUGUGUAUCAAUGCUUGCCUUGCGCUGUUCUUCUGAUACUUUCAUCUUGUGGAUGGCAAGAAGCAGAGCCUGCAUCAGCAGAGUAAAUUGAUUAACUGAUUCUGAAAGAGGAGAACAAAAAAUCCUCAAAGAUGAAGCUGAGUGCAAAGCUCAUACAAUUUGUGGCCUGUGCAUAGGCGGUUUCAUCUUCAGUAUCACAUAUUCCAUUGCCGCCGCAGUAUAUGAGUGCCCUCCAACUGUAUAGGCCGCCUGUGGAGCCAGCACAAAGGAAUCAAAUAAGGCAAGAGAGAAAUGAAAAGGCUGAACAGAACAAAACUUGUGUCAACUGAUAUAACCUUUUGCAUCAAUGAGAAAAGCUUCAGGUCGCUUCUUGGGACACCAUAAGCUAAAUACGCCUACGUACGUAUAAAAGACCAUCACUUCAUAAGCAUUCAUUUCAUUAACAAUGGUUCUUGACAAGAAGAGGGGGAAAAGGGACUAACAUGCAUAAUCAAUGCGUUGUAAAGGUUAAUCCAGAAAGCUAGCUUCUCGUUACAACUCAAAUGAAUAGGGUUUACUCUAGCUAAUUGCUCCACCAGUGUCCUAUUCACAGAAUCAGCCAUGUUCAUGUAUUUGAGUCUUACAGUUAAAUCAUAUUGACAAAACCAUUAAAAGAAACUCCAUUACCUGAACUUCCUCAAUGCCCCGGAAGCAUAUUCCAGCUGUUUCUUCCCAACAGACAUCCAAGAAACCUCGGAUGCCAAACUAUAGUUUCCAAUCUCCGCCCAGCUUAACUUCCCUCGAACUCUAUAAGGAUCAAAGACAUCUCCCGUGGCCAAAACAUUGGCGUUAUUUUGGAUAUCUAUUUGGGGGCUUUGCACCCAUGAAGAGAUCAUUGACCGUUCUGUUGAAGGCCACCAGGAGGCUGAGCUUGAUAGAUGCCCGCGAGGUGAUACUGGUGAGAGUUGGCUCUCGUUUGAGGAUGCUUUUGAAGUUGCUGUUGGAUCAGCCAGAGACAUAAAGAUAUUCUUCAUACAUCUCACCAUUUCUUCAGACAAUAGAUUAGGAUGAUCCCACAGGUAUUUUGGUGGUAAUCCUCGAGGUAGUUUCUUCGCAUUUGUCUUUCUCGUUAGCCUCUUUUCAAGAGAGUCAGUACUUGGGUCCAAUGUUUUCUGGUUUAGUAGGUGCAAAAUGUCAGAUACGUUUCUUCUUUCAUGUAAACUAUAUCUCUACUUUUAGACAGAACCAACCAAAUCUAGGAAAGAGGAAUAUCAUUAUAUCAGUACCUCCGCAAUUGAUUCUGCUGGAGAUGAUUCAGAUGAAGAUUCUUGGUUUGGGGCUGUCAGGUCUUGACAUGGACUGUCUUCUGUUGAUUGAUGGAAUUCUGAAUCCGAAUGAUUCAAAUAUCUUAAGGAAGAGGAGGAAUUCUGCAUAACUAAGACAUAGUUAAACACUAACAAAGAUUACAAAGAAAGAAACAGUGAUAAAUUAAAUAGGAGAUACAUACUGGUGGAGAAGCCGAAUGUGUCAAAUGGUAUUCUGCAAGUCUCCUCUCGUUUCGUUCUUGGCUAAGUUGGAAAUUCAGUGACAUCAUUUCUUGCUCGAGCUUCGUGACUGCAGUCUCUAGCGAAACUAUAUUGGAAAGAAGCUCCUGAGCCUGCCAAAUUAUCAGAAUCAUAAGCGAAAACAAAACAGUAGUUUUAAAAUGUAAUCACAACAGCAUGAGUUUAGGGAAACACACAGGAUGUGGAACACUAGAAGAAGUAGAUAACUCCCAAGGAUCUUUCUCCAUGACACUCUCUAAAUAGGUAUGCAAAUCUAUUUCUUCUUGGAGUUGCAGUUGUAAUCUUUUUACCUGCAACAGAGAAGUUCUUUAAACACUAAAAACAUUCCACAUAAUCAUCACUACUCUUAUUGAGUUCAGAAGCUCACAUCCUCUUCAAGUUGAAAUCUAUAUGGAAAAGCUUCACCGCUCGUAGAUUCUUCACAAGUUUCUAUGCCCUGAACAAAUUCAGUAAGCAAGCUCUUAUUAUAUUUCAAGGACUUCAACAAAUAAAAUCUGGAGUAAGUUUCUGAAUUGAAUAUAUGUAUGUUCAUACCUCUAACAUGGUUACUGUGCCCUGGGAUUUCUUUUUAGAAUGAGAACGUCUGAGAAAUGGAUUGGAUCUGUUGAAAAUUCAGUCAACGAGUAAGGAGAUGCAAAAACAAAACUCAGAAGUAGUAAACAAAAAAGAACAAGAGAUGGUAGCCCUUACUUGGAUUUUAAAACUUGAGAGUCAUACAUCCUCUGGAGUUUGGCAGUUAUUACCAUUAAACCAAAUGAUGAAGUUCUCCAACAAAUGUACUUCAGCCAAUUCUCUCAAGUACAAAAGAGUUAAAUUACAUAGUCCCUGCAGAAAUCAGAUUCACAUAAUAAAUGAGAUAGGAUAACAUUUAGAGAAAAAAACUAAUGUUGUUGUCUACUAAGCAGUAAGCACAAGACAUUAAACAAAUUUUGGAAGUUGACAAUGGCUUUACUCAGCACAUGGAAUCCAAGUACAAGAUGAAGAGACAAGAGAAGACACUGUUACACCUGUGAACAUCUAAUACGGACAAAUUUAAUUAAAAUUACACAAAAGAAGCACAGCAACAUGUCCUUUUUAAAAACGACCAGACAGCAAAACCAGGCACAUGGUCAAAAUUUCACAUUGAAAGGGUUUGAGUGUUGACAGGUUAAUCAGUUAUUGGUUCAGGAUAACACAAUGACCAGCUGAAGCGAGAAGAUGCAAUCUCUGAACAUGCAAAUUCUAGAUUUGGUGGCUAAUGUGUGUAGUCAAAAGGUUGAAAUUUCUUGUGGUAAUUUGACUGAAAGCUAAGAUAUUUCAAUCUGAAGUAUUCAAUCAUACAAAAUUGAUGUAAAAUUAGACAAAAUUGAUGUAAAAUUAAACUUUUUUUGAAAAGAGAAGAGAUAAAAAGGAAGAAGAAGCUAAAGACUCAAUCCCUAAAUGACAGAUCAAGUGGUCUCUGAAAAAAAACAAAUCUUUCUAAUUGGCUUCAACAAAAGAAUUAUACCAAAAUAAUUGGGUCCGAACAAACAUAAAAAAGGAUUGAAACUUUGGGUAAUUCUGCAACAAAAGAAAAUUGAAACAAGGAGAAAGAAGAGAAAAGAGCAGCUGUGGGGACAAAAGCAAACCUUUUUCUAGUUCUUGCAAUGACUGAAAGAGAACAUUCAAGAAUCUGAGAGAGAGAUAAAGAAGAAGAAGAAGAAGUAUGUGAUUCAAGAAACCAAACCCUAGGCUUCUUCUGCUAGAUUCUCCCAAUCUAACUCUCUGCCUUAAUUUCGAGUACAAGAGCAGAGAGAACCAUCCUCUUAUUUAUUUUCCAAACUUAGAAAAAGUUUCUCAAUUUGAAAUUCAAAAAAACUUGUCAAAUGUGUGUCAGCAUUUAAUGCUUAACUAAGAAAGACUCUACUUUUUUUCUUCUUAUUAUUAUCCAAUUAUUAAAAAAAAAAAAUGAAACUGGGGCAGAGAGUACAACAAGACAAAGAUACAGUCGAACAGAACAGUAGAGAAUCUGUAACACUAGUUUCAAUUUACACGGGCACUUAGAUUUUGACGUCUUUUUCUCGAUUUUUUUUUUUACAAGUUAUUUUUUUUUAAAUUAGUUUCAAGUUAUUAUUUUUAUUCAAGUUAUUCAAGUUAUUUUUAUUUUUUUAUUUUUGUUUUUAUUUUUAUUAGUUUCAAGUUAUUAUUAUUUUUUAAUUAGUUUCAAGUUAUUAUUUUUAUUUUUAUUUAUUUUUAACCAAUACCCCUAAAAGUUAUUUAAAAUCUAAAAAGAAGAGAAGCAAAAGACCAAACUCACUUUAAUUAAACAACAACAAAAAAACCAAACUUGAAGCCAUCCCCCAUUUGUCAUUAAUCACAUGCAAUAUAUAACUCAUAUGUUUUAUACAUAUUUUUUUUGUUGCUUUCUAGUCAGAGCUUAGUGGACUGGAGCCUGAUUCCCUUUUUCUGGUUUUUUUGUUUUCUUUGUUGACAAUUUGACAUUUCAAUAUUAUUUUCUUUUUAGAAACUGUUUAAUAUUCGAAAUUUGAAAAAAAAAAAAAAAAAACACUUUCCCAGAAAAUCAUGGUGCUACUUUGUGUUGAAAUUAUUGUGUUGUGUAUUCACCACGAGUCUUUUUUUUUUUUUGUCUUAAAAUCUUUUUAGAUUCUUGCGAAUAUUUCUCUAAAUCUUUUCACUUUGGAGCUUUAAGUUAGUUUAAAGGAGGAAAAAAAAUGUAAUAUAUAAAAAGUUGAUCAUAGUCGAUUCACCACCAGCAUUGAAAUUUCGUAACGAUGGGAUUUAACAAAUAAUACAAAUUUACAAAACUAAAAAAAGCUUUGGCUUUGCAUUUUGCGCAAUAUGAAGUUUGUAAACAACUUAAUUUUGUCAAUCUUUGCAAGAAUACCAAACACAUGGAUCUUAUCUGGGUAAAAAUGUACUCUGAUCCAAUGAUAUUGUCUAAAGCUUGUGAUCAUGGAGGAGUCACAAACAACUCUUCUUUUCUCAUCACUUACUAUGGCUUUGUAGGUGGAGAUUGUAAUGAACAAACGCCAUCUCUUCCAGAUGUUUUUUCUCACAGUGGCUCAUUCCUUCAGUGAGCAGCAGCUUCUCUGCUAAGCCUCUCUUCAGCUUGUACUUCCACGCACCUUCACAUGUCUGGCUCAGAAUCUUAACGGCAAAACUCUUCAGCUCUGCGUGUUGUCCCCCGUUUUGAGUCCACCAAUCAACUACGCCGCAAAGAGAACAAAUUAAUCAAAAUGCAUGCAAACAGAACAACUAUAUCAAAUAAAUAAAAAACAAAAAAGCUCACUCACCUGGAAAGAUUCCAGAGAUCUGAUCAGCUUGACUUGCCUCGUUAAAGCAAGAUUUACCGAGUCUGUACAUACCAAUCUGUGCGGCAAUUGUUACUUGCAGGCGAGCUUCUUUUACCAUGUGAACCAUCGAGAAGGUGAGACCAGUGUAUACUUCUUGACUAAGAUGGAAAUUACCUGAGUAGUAAGCCGUUGGAUUGAGAAAGUAACCAGCACCAUGGAGAGGAUUGUAGAGGUGAUGUUUCCACACAUCAUCCACCACAUCCCAUACCGGCUGAUAAAUCUGUUUCUCGUUCUUGAAAUUCAACGCGGUGCUCAGCUUGAUGCUGUUGAGAAUGUCAUAGACAUAUCCAAUGUGCAUGUUGUUGGCAGUUGAUAACCUGAGCAAUCCAUGAACCAGAGCAGAUGUGCAUCUCACAACUCUUUCAACAGAUUCCCAAAAAGAGGAAUCACUCACCAAACUAAGUACUGCUACGAUGUUUGCUUCUUCUUCCUUCCAAUAAGAAGAAGCAAACAUUCCUGCCAUCUUCGCCCUGAACAUAUUCUCUACAGUUAGAUAUGGUGUAACAAACUCAAACUCGGAGGCAAGUGCAGUUACGUCGACUCCAUGACUGUGAGCUCUGAAGAUUUUCAGCAACGAGGAGUUGUUAUGGAUGGACUCCUGAAUGAUAUUGACCUUGUUGAGUAUGUCUCCAAAGGAAUGCAUUUUCCCAAUCUCCACCAGCAUAAGCUCGAUGCAAUGGGAUAUGCUCACUGACCAGAAAACUUUCAUGUCGUGACCCGCAAGUAGCUUCCCCAAUUCCCCAACCCAACCAGAAGUGGAACAUGCAACAAUCUGAAUCACAUUGUGCACCCCAACUUCCUCAACGAUACCAUGCACUAGCGACUUUAAGGCAGUGACAUCGGUUUUGAUACCCGAAACAUCCGAGGAUUUCAGAUAAACUGCCCCAGCUGGAGAGUCCGCAACGAAAGAAACCAGAUCACGGCCUUUCUGGUCGAUCCAGGCAUCCAACAGGAUGCUGCAGCCUGUGAUCUCCCAUGAAUCUUUGAUCUCCUUCACCCGAUCUUGCACUUCCUUCAGUGCUUCUUGAAGCAUCCAACCGUUUAAAUCACGAGAGUCAGGGAUCUUUAGCGCCAAAUUACCACCAGUUACUGUCGUCAUCAGCUCUUGAAAACUUGUUGAAUCCAAAGCGGAGAAGUCGACACCGUGUUCAUAUAAGAAACGAGCAAGGCACCUUUGUGAUUGUUUGUCAGCUUCCACAGCUGCAUUCUCGUUCUCAGGAGAAACACGUUUUCUGGGUCUUCCAGGACUAGGCUUAGCUGCAUUCACGUUUUUAGAAGCACCACUUUUUCUAGAUCUGAGCUCCAUAAGCAUCGUAUAAAACGCCAUUCUCGUAGUCAAUGAUACUUGUGGGCAGUAGGUUACGUCUUUACCUACAUAAGCCAAAUGCAGCUUGAGACGAUAAAAGUUUGUCAUUCGCUUUCCACAGGAGUUGCACUGAACCCGAGUUCUCCCCUCCACCCAAGUUCCAUGCUCAUGAAUAUUCAUCUUCACGUCGGUACCACCAGCCAUUGAAAACAGAGAAUGAACCUGCCUGCACCAAUCUUCAUAUAUAUAUGGCUUUAGUUUGACAUACUCACAUACAUUUCCUCAACUUAAUCGAAAUUAAUACGUGUCUACAAAGAGAAGAAGAAAACAACCGAAACUUCAAAUCCUACAAUGACCAUAUAUAAUGUUCAAACAACCACCAAACGAGUCCAAAUUACGAAAUGGAAGACCAUAUAUAUAACUUAUCCUAAAAAUUAUCGAAAUUUGUUUUUCUUUUUGGGUAUUAAGAAUUAUCGAGAUUGUUCAUCAUCAGUUACGUCGUCCAUGGUGACACAAAAGAUCAAACAAAGCAAACAAGUUUAUAAAUUGAAGAACCGGGAAGAGCGACAGUUCCAGUUUUCAGUAACGAUACCAAUAAACAAAACUCCUUGUUAUUAGAGCGAGAGAGUGAAGUACCUGAUUAAUGGUUGUGUCAAAAGGGUCGGAGUCCUAGCCUCAGGGUUGGGUUACAAGAGACAAGGAAGACCGAAGAGUGGUCCAAGUCACAAACUCUUUGUUGGGAGGGGGAGAGAGAUAGAUUUGUUUUGACUCAGUAGAUAAUUGUGUUCAUGAGAGACCACCGGCCUUUUUUUUUUGUUAAACAUGACACGUUGACACUAGUCCUUUUUUCAUUAGUCAAAACUAGAUAAGAAAUCUAUUAAUUAGGUUUUCUUAGGGAAAGUUAAUCUCUUGAUUUUAAAUUUUAACUUGGGUAAUUUCCCACGUCUUAUGCGUGUAUGUGCGGCAAGUAAAUUUUUACAUUUACUUUUUUUUUUUUUUACCAAUUUUUUUACAUUUACUAAUGUGGAAUGCAACUACAUUGACCAUUAAUACUUCUCUCCUUAGCUAAAAGAAGAUCAGAAAUGCAUUAGUUAGGCUUCUAUUUUAAGAAAAUUUAAACCUAAAAACUUGUCAUUAAAGAUGCUCUAACGGAAAAUAAAUAUUUUACUUACAAAUUUUAUACUAAAUCAUUUAACGGUCUAUAUAUACGUGUGUUCUACGGCAAGUUAUUUCCACACUUUAAAGCGAUGCGAUAGCAUUGAAAAUUUAGUCCCUCUUUCAUUAAUCAAAAGAAGAUAGAUUUCUAAUAUUUUACCUUUAAAACUUGUAUUAGGUAAUUUCCCAUGCUUUAUGCAAUCAUAUCAAUUAUUUUUGUUUUCAGCAUAUUUAAAGUCAUGUAAUUUUAUUUUUUUGGGGUCUCAGGUAGAUAAUGAAAAAUAUCUAGAUAAAAUUGUGAUUUUUAGUUAACUGGGAUUAAAUUUUUGACUAUAUGCAGACGAGGAAGUGAAUUUGAGUUUGAAAGUGAAAUAUUUGUUUUGACUCAGUAAAUAAUUCAUUUGAAGUAGUAAAUCAUAUUCCAAAAGGGAGCGUUGUAAAAUGAAGACAUACUCACUUUUUUGGUAUCGUUUGAACGAAGAACUCACAAUUUUGGUAUAUUUGAAUAAAAUAAGAUUUACAGUCAACUUCUUUCCACCAUUAGGUGAUUGAUUAAUUGUCAAGUGAACGUAAGAAAAUGAUUCAACCACUUGUGGUCUCUUGACAGCUUUCUCCAUGCCUUUGUACAUAUUAAGCAAGCAAAGCUCAUCUUCAGAACCUAUGUCAAUUGCUUUUCUCAGCACAUGGAGUCUAGUACAAGAUGGAAAGGCAAGAGAAGACACUGAUAUCUCUAUACCUGUGAAAAUCUAAUAAAGACAAAUCCCCUUCUAAUUAAACAAAAUAAGCGCAACAACAUUUCAAUAUAUCUGCUCGAUUCAUCAGUAUUGGUUCUAAAGAUGAGCCUUGAUGAAUAUACAAACUACAAAACUAAACCUGCACAAUUGACAAAAGCUGAACGGCAUCAAUCCAUAUAAACAUCUGCAUCACAAUCUCUUCACUGCUCUUCACUUAGUUUGGCUUUGCAGCUCUGUAGAUGAAGAUUGUAAUGAACAAACGCCAACUCUUCCAGAUGUUUUUGUUCACAAUGACUCAUUCCUUCAGUGAGCAACAGCUUCUCUGCUAAGCUUCUCUUCAGCUUGUACCUUGAAGCACCUUCACAUGUUUGGCUCAGAAUUUUAAUUGCAAAACUCUGCAGUUCUGGAUACUGGCUCGCUGUUUGUGUCCACCACUCAGCUGCAGAAAGAAUUUGAAAACAACAAAACCCUUUGCUCACCAAUUCAACAACAAAAGCGUCUACAAACAAAAACAACUAAAUCAAAAGUCAAGGAGUUUACUCACUCGGAGAUAUUCCAGAGAUCUGAUCAGCUUGACUGGCCUCGUUAAAGCAUUCUUUACCGAGUCUAUACUUAUCAAGCUGUGCGGCAAUUUUAAUGUGACCUUCUUUAGCCACAUGAACCAGAGAGUGGGUAAGACCAGAGGCAACUUCUGGAUCAAGAUGGAAAUCAGUUGAGUAGAAAGAAGUCGGAUUCAGAAAGUAACCAGUAGCAUGAAGCGGAUUGUGAAGGCGAUUGUUCCAGACAUCAUCUAUCACAUUCCAGAACGGCUCAUAAUAUUGUUUCUCGUGACUGAAUUCCUUCGCUAUAUUCUCCUUUAUGCCGUCCAUGGUGUCAUAGAUAUAUCCUACAUGCUGAUUGUCAGCAGUUGAAAACAAGAGCAGACCGUGAAUGAGAGGAGAUGUACAUUUCCGAACUCUAUCAACAUUUUCCCAAAACGAGGAAUCAUUCACCAAAUCGGAUAUUGCUUUGCCCUCUUCUUUCUUCCGAUCAAAUGAAGCAAACAUGGCUACCAAGUUUUCCUUCGCCUUAAAAAUAUUCUCUAGAGUUAGAUACGGCGUAACAAACUCAAACUCGGAGGAGGAGACAGUUGUGACUAUUCCAUGGCUGCGAUCUCUGCAAACUUUGUUGUUGUUGAUGAACUCCCAAAUGUUAUUGACCUUUUCAAGUAUGUCUCCAAAGGAAUGCAUUUUCACAAUCUUCACAAGCAUAAGCUCGAAACAAUGGGAUAGACUCACAGACCAGAAAACUUCCCUGUCGUGACCCGCAAAAAGCUUGCCCAAUUCACCAACCCAACCAGAGGUCGAACAUGCAAUAAUUUGAGUCACGUCACGUACUCCAACAUCCUCUACAAGCCCACUGACUAGCGAUAGUAAGUCAGCUACAUUGUGUUUAAUAUCUGAAACAUGAAAGGAUUUCAGAUACACAGGACCCGCAGGACAGUCUGCAACAAAGGUAACCAGAUCGCGGCCUUUCUGAUCAAUCCAAGCAUCCAACAAGAUGCUGCAUCCGGUGAUCUCCCAGGAAUCUUUAAUCUUCUUCACAUAAGCUUGCGCAUCCUUGAAUGCUUCUUGAAGCAUCCAGCCGUUUAAAGCAUGAGAAUCAGGGAUCUUAAGCCUCAUCUGACCGCCACCUGCAGCCAUCAUCAUCUCUUUGAAACAUGGGGAAUCCACAGCUGAAAGGUCGACACAAUGUUCAUAAAAGAAGCGACCAAUGCACAUUUGGGCUUUGUUUGACAACAAAUCCUGUUUGUCAGCCAUAUUCCCGUUCUCAGGAGAAACACUCUCACUUGAUGAAUCUUGGCUUUUCCGACGCUUAGGAGAAUUACUCAUUUGGAAAUUCCCAACUCUCUUAGAUUUAUCCUCCAUAAGUAUCGCCCGGAACAUCUCUCUAACAGUAAGCGAAACUUGGUCACAGUGAGUUACAUCUGUACCUACACCACCCAAGUGAAACCUCAGACGAGAAAAGCUAUUCAUCUCUUUCCCACAGUGAUUGCAUUUAACACGAGAUUUCUUUUUGUCCACACAAAUUCCAUGCUCAUGAAUAUCCGUCACAGAAGAACCAGCCAUUCAAGAUUUCGUUUACUUGACAAAACACAGAUAAUGAAUCAAAAUUGGAAGCAGUUGUCGAUUCCCUCAACUCAGACCCCUGUCCGUUACCUACAGCCU
rnacentral:lncRNA from 1 species